rnacentral:lncRNA from 1 species
UUGUACUUAGUAUGUGAUAGGAGACCACUAAAAAGAUAAAAGAUGCUAGCUAAAAGCAUCAAUAAUUCAUAGAGAAUCCACGGGAAAGGAUAAGGCUUAUCAGAAUCCUUACCUCAACCAUAUGAAGACUGUUAACCAUAAAAAAAAGAAGACAAUAGUUGUCUUCAAUAAUGCAAGGGGAAGGGUUAGCUUGUUUCUAGGAAGUCUACCAUGUAACAAGUGCUAUGUAAAAAAAGAUAAUCUCAUCUCUAAAAUCUAUAUGUGUCCUGUAAGAAGGGAUUAUGUUAUCUGUUCAAGUCUAUAAAUAGGGUCAUGUUAGAUAGGAGAUGUAUAACUCACGAAUAUACUCUUAUUCCCAUCUUUAUUCUCUCUUUAAAUUCAUAAAUAAAUUGAAAAAAAAAACUCUUUUUGAGUGAAAUUAUCAUCUUUAUAUCUAUCUUAUUUAGACUUGAGAAAAAAAAUCAAGAAUCUUACAUGCCAACACUUGUGUUAAAUGAAAAAGAUUUCAUUUUAUUAAGCACUCUUCUAAAGGCAAUUGCAAGGGAUUCACAUAGAUAGAUCUUAUUAGGCAAGUCUGUAGUGUGUUGCAUUAGGCCGUGUAGAACAGUUACAGAAGUGAUCUUGCAUGAUGCGUGCAGCUAGAGCGAUGUUGACCAUGGGCCAAUCUAUGGUCUCGAGUUAUUAGCGAAUUUAUUCCCGAAUUUUGAGGAAUAGUACAUUGGCUAGUACAUGGAAUUAUCUUAUUAUAUUUUGGACAAACAGAAGCAUGUUAGACCUAGAUUAUCUUUUAGAUCUUACAAGAUAUAAAGUGAUAAGUGUAACUUAAUUUUCAUAAAACGUUGAAUGAUAAGUCAAGAAACUUCUAGAUGCCACAAAUAAUCUAGACUUUAGUUAGGAAUUUAAGUUAUUUAUGCAAUGGAAAUUGUUAAAACUCGAUUAAUUGCAAGCAAACGCUUGUAUAAAGACAUAAAGAAAAUAAACUUUGAAGAUAACAAUGAAAUAUAUGAGACCUUUUAGGAAGAAAAUAGAAUAACAUUAAUAGAAUCUAUCUAACCAAUCUUGAAAAAAAUUAAAACAGAUCUAAAACAAAUAACAAGACUCUAAACCAUCCAUAAUAAGUCUAUUGAUGGAUAAUAACAAUAAUAAUGAUGUGAACUUUUUGAUUGGGAAUGCUGAAUUUAGAUUACAAUACCAAUGUGAAAGGAUUGAUGGCAUGUACCUUGGUUGGGAAAAUAGAUUGGACAUAUCUAUAGAUUUGUUGGAAGAAAAAAUCUAGUUUAUGUCUCAAGAGAGACAAGAAAUGAUGAAUGCCGGUGCUAUAAUAUAUGAUGAUUUUUAUGAAUUUUAUAAUCAUUUAGAUCUUUAUAACAAUAUAAUUAAAACUUCAAAAAGCUUUAAAAAUAGAUGCAGAAGAGAUUGGAAAAAAAAAAUCGUCUAGUUGUUCAAAACCAAUUAAAUAAAAAUAAAAUGUGAAAUCCUUGAAUUAUAUAAAUUAUAUAAUUUCACAAAAAAUUGUGCUUUGGUGCUUAGUAUGGGUAAUUAGUGUGGUAUAAAUGCUCAUUUUUCUUUUUCUUUUGUAAAUAAAUUAUUGCAUCUUAAUUUUGUUACAUGUUACGAAUUUUGUGUUUUAAAAUACGCAAUUUUGUUUUCGUAUUUUGGGUUAAUUUUAUAAUUUCCUACUUUGUUCGACUAUAUGCACAGGUCCUUAACAUGUUGAUUGAUGUUGAAUAUAUAUUCAAAGAUCCACAAACUACCAAUGACAACAAAAGAAAUUAAACUAAAUAGUUAAUACAUAAUGAUUGGGUUGUUUUUACUACUUGUUAAUGAUGUAGGACGUUAUUUUAAGAUUUUAAGAUUUUAUUACUUUAGCCAUUUGAUAUUUCUUUUUUUAAUUAAGGUGUGUGUCUUAAUUUUUUUAUUUCUAUUAUAAUUAUGAUGUAGUUUCCAUUUUUAAGUUAACUUAGGUUAGUAGAUUUACUCUAUUAUAAAUACAGAGGUCUUGUAAUUAUUUUUGUAACUUCAACUUCAAUUAUUCAAUUAAAAACUCCUAUGUCAUAAUUUCCUUUGAUAUUAUAUAUUAAAAAUCUCUCUUGUAGAGUUGUUUAGAUUAUAGCAUCAUCUAACUUUGCGUAAUGCAAUAUUAAAAAUCCCAUUUAGUUAUUUGAAUUAGAACGAGAUCUAAUAACACUUCGAUUAGAACGUAACUUAAUUGUGUUGUCUUGAUUCAGUACUUAAACGAUGUGUAGUGUUUCUCUUCCGCUACGUUGCUCCGUCGAUUAACAUUUCUAGGGGAAAAUUAAUUUCACCGUGAGAUAAGAGCAUUAAAAGGAGUUCAUAAGAAAGUAAAAUUAAUGCUAUGUUAAAUGUAUCGCAAGCUACUUAUUUUUCUGGAAAUUGAAACGAUUAAUUAACUACGAGGUGAAAAUAAAUAAAUAAAUGAAUAUGAAGUUGAAAAUAAGUCUCGCCGCCUGGACCCAAGGCCAAAACAUUCAUGAUAAGUUAGGUAAUUAAAUACAUGUUUCAAGCUACAUGUUUUCAAUCUCUUCAUGAAGAAUGAUGAUAUUGAAGUAAAUAACUAAUUCAGCAAGCGCAUAAGACAUAGAAGAUAAUAAUGUUACCUUUUGUAGGAUAACUAACUCAAAAGGAUAGGCCUUUGAAGAUAUAGUGACCUGCUUGCUUUCCAGCAAAACUUCCAUGCAUUCAAGCACUGAAUUUGACGUAAAGCCAAGAUUGUAGCCUCCUUCCAAUGCCAAAACAAUCUUGCCUUUUGCAAAAUCCAUCAACUGGAGAAAGAAAAUUACAGACGUGGAAUGCGCCAAAGACUCGAAAGUCAACCCAAAAUCAGUAGCUUGCAAGAAAAGCCACAAGAUAAAUACAACAAAAUGAAAAUAUUAAACCAUAUCAUCUUGUUGUCAGCCUUAGAAAUUUAGCAUUCCCUCCAUUCUGUGUUCUACAAUUUGAAACAUCAAUAUAAAAAUGCUAAAAUAUUAGAGUAAAGAGAAGAUAAAAUUUGAAUGCUACUCUUUUUUAAUAUAAUUGAGUAUCCAUAUGGUGUGCCCCAACAGUCCCCUAAAGAAUCACCAGUGGCUGUUCUGUUCCAAGCAUUGUGUUAGAAAGAUUUAUAAGAAAAAAAGAUUAAAAAAUAACGAAAGUAGGCAUGUUGGAGUUAUGAAGCUCAAAUAUGGAGUUAGGGAUAUGUAUGACACGUCGCUUGUUUGUCAGGAAGAAUAACGACAUGUCGAGCAUUGGAGUUCAGAGCAGCUGAAUGAUACAAACGUUAUGUCGGCUGGAUGUGUUAGUAAUGCACGUGAUGCGUCACAUGUUCCACUAAUUUAAACGGCAGCCACAUCUGCGUUUUAGUUAGCAGAUUGCGUGAACAAUUGACAAGUGUCCCAGAGCAAAUUCAAGAAGUGGUUUUUUCGGUUAGAUCAUGCGGGAGGCAGCUGGAGAUCUUCUUGGUUGGAAACCCAGGAGGUGAUCAGGUUGAUACUCAGCUUUCAACGCCUGUUACAAAACAGGAAGAACAGCAACAACCAGAUGAUCAACACAAGAAUAUCCCUGAACAACCAUCACUUUUAGAACCUCGUCGUAGUGGGAGGGUAACUAGGUUACUGUUGAGUGUUAGAAAAUACAUAUUUAUAAAGGAGAAAACCGUCAUUUUACAUUUCAAGUCUUAUUAACAACCCUUACUUUUAUGUAUUUAACCUUCUUGUGAUUUAAUUACUUGUGUUUUAUUUUAAUUAAGUAUUUUAUGUAUUUUAGGGGCAUUAUAGUCAUUUCACAAUAAAGGAGAGAUCAGAUGGAAAAACGGACAUCACUUUUGAACUCAGGACGGUCGAAAACCUUAGGAGGGGCAUAAAAGGAAAAAUGGCACUAUUCACAUGUACGGUACUAUUCACGUAUACGGUACUGUAUAUGUUACUGUUCACGGCACUGUUCACAUAGACGGACCGAUGACGUGGCAUUGACCGAUGAUGUGGCAUUGACCGAUGAUGUGGCAUUGACUAAUGAGGUGUCACGAUCCUGUUGGACUAAAAUUCUUAUAUACUGUUAAUGGUGACGUGGCAGCAUAUCAGUGGACGAAAAAUCUCGCGUACGGUGCAUGCAUCACACAGGAUUAUUUUCAACCAAACUGUGUUACUGUUCAUCCGGGUCAAACCGUGUUACUGUUCAUCCGCGUGGUCAAACCGUGGACUGUUGACUGAUGACGUGGCGCAAUCCUGAGCGUCCAAACUGUUUUUAAUCCGAUGGCCAUGAUUUACUCCAUGUAUCUAUAAAAAAGGGGCUUCCCCCCCCUAAUUUGAUAGCUCUGAAUCCAUUUUUGGGAUCCAUUUUCUGUAAUUUCUUCUCCAUCUUGUAUUUUCUUUGUAUUUUAAUAAAUUCCCAUUUUGCCCCUAGUUCAAUUAUGAGUAGCUAAUUUCCUUUCAAGCUUGGGUUGAAGGUGAAGUCUCAACAUGUGUCAUGGGCUUUAUUUGGUAAAUUUAUUUUCUUUUCCCCUCUAGUUUUUGUGGAUGAUUUGACUUAUCGUCGACAAAUAAUACUGAUCUUGUCUAGAUACCGCCUUGGUUACACCGGCUCUCUAGUAUAAGGUUAUUAUUAUUUGGCACGAUAAGCCCUUAGCACCAUAUUGAUUAGAUCGUGGUUCAUGAGGUGUGGAUUCCCCCCUCAUGAUUUAAUUGGCAUUAAUAAGGAUUAUUUAGCCCAUGAUGCAUGUUGAUACGGAUCCAGAUACCCAAGUACGUCAUUUUAAUAGAAUUCUCUUCAAUUUAUUCUCGCCAUUUCAAUUCCAAUUUUAGAAUUUAUUCUCGCCAUUUUAAUUUAAGUUUUAGCAUAUCCCAAAUCAUUUCCACCACAAAUCCAAUCACCCAUUUACAAAAUUAAUUCUACACAAUUAAAAUCCACCUCCUCGUGGGAUCGACACUCGUCACCAUUAGUCUAUACUACAAUAGAUUCGUGCGCUUGCGAGUACAUUAAAAUUUGCACAACAAGUUUUUGGCGCCGUUGCCGGGGAGGUAAGUAAUUUUUUCAUAGAAUUAAUUUUUGUGAAUAAUUUAUUUUAAAUUGUUUUCUUGUAUUUUUUAUUAAAAAAAAAAAGUGAAUCCGCAUUUAGAGGUUAGUAUUUCUUUUCUUUUUCUCUUCUUUAAAAUUCUGUAAUUUAAUUUUCAAUUUAUUUUUUCUUUGUAAUUUUUGUUUAUUUUAUUAAUUUAAUUUUUAGUUAAUUUAUUUCACGUAUUUGUUUUUGUGUAUUUUUAUAGAAAGGUUGUAAUAGCGCAAUAAGGUUAGUAUCGUAAUUUCUCCCUCUUCUUUAUUUUUAUUUGUUUUUGUUCCCAUCUUUAUUUUUAUUUUAUUUAUUUUGCAUGCAUGGUCGUAGGUCAUUAUUACCAAAUCUUGAACCUAUAGACCUUGAAUUAGAAAAAACACUUCGCACACACAAACACGUUAAAAAUAAAAUGGAUUUACAAGCACCACAGGAGAGGCCAUUUAAGGACUAUUUUAGUCCCUUAGCUAAUUUGAGCACGUCAUGCAUAAGAUACCCAAAUGUAGCUGCUAGGAGUUUUGAAUUAAAACCUAGUGUGUUAAAUUAUCUCCCCACAUUUUAUGGCCUAGAAAAUGAGGAUCCAUAAAAUCAUUUGAAUGAUUUUCAUGCCAUUUGUCAAACAUUCAAAUAUGAGAAUUUUUCAGACGAUGAUGUUAAACUCAGAUUAUUCCCAUUUUCUUUAAAGGAUAGAGCUCGUUCAUGGCUUAAUACAUUGCCUGCUAAUAGCAUUGCAUCAUGGGAACAAAUGGUUACAAAAUUUUUGAAUAAAUAUUUCCCAGUGCAUAAAACCAAUGCUAUUCGCAGGGAAAUUUCAGAGUUUACACAGAGAGAGGACGAGCAGUUUUUCGAAACAUGGGAGCGAUUUAAUGGGCUACUCUUGAAGUGUCCACAUCAUGGGUACGAGAAAUGGCAUCAAUGCCAAUACUUUUUGGAGGGAUUAUUGUCGAAUGUGCAAGAAUGGCUAAUGGCAACAAGUGGAGGAGAGCUAAUGUCAAAAAGCGCAACAGAGAUUUGGGAAUUCUUCCAGCGACAAGCGGAUAAUUCCCAACAACGGAGUCGAUCACUCAGGAAUACUAGAAGAAUUAAGGGAGUAAAUGAGGUUCAAAUUGGCGAGUCAACUUCGGAAAUCAAAGAAGUCAAGGAGAUGGUUGAAGGUCUUGCUCGACAAAUAGCAUCGUUAUCGACUGCUAAAUCAACAGAAUCACAUGACCAUGACUCAUACUCAGAUCAAGCCAAUGCCAUAGGUGUAAUGAGAAAACCAUCGAAUUACAACCCAUACUCCAACACAUAUAAUCCUGGAUGGAGAGACCACCCCAAUUUUUCAUGGUCUCAAGGAUUCCAAUAGAAUGGACCAGCAGCUCCAGCUCCACAAAUUCCUCAAGUUCCUCAAGCCUCUCAGCCCCCAUUUAGACCAUUCAAUCAGAACCAGAACUACUCUCAACCCAGACCAUGGGAGGAUUCAUUCCAGAAUCUCAAGAAUGCUACUCACUCUACGAUUGAGCAACAGAAUCGCACAAUUGAUGGACUACGAAAUGAGUUAAGAGCAGGCUUCAACUCACAAGCCCAAUCAGUUUCAAGCCUCGAGAAGAUGGUGGGACAACUUGCUUCUUCAGUUCAGACCUUGGCAAUGACUGUUGAGAAAGGCAAGUUUCCAAGUCAACCAGUGCCUAAUCCUAAAGGAGUGCAUGAAGCAAGUACCAGUUCACCACAACAGCAUGGAGAGGUCAAAGCAGUCAUGACCUUGCGAAAAGGAAAGGAAGUCGACAAUAAAGUGGAGAUGCCGGUGACAAAAGAAAAUCAAAUUGUACCUGUAAAUGCUGAGGACUCACCACCGGAGGAAAAAGAAGAAACCAACCCACGAGAAUACGUUCCCAAAGCUCCAUUUCCUCAGAGGUUAGUGAAAGGAAAGAAGGGAAAAUCCACCGGUGAGAUUCUCGAAAUCUUCAAACAGGUAAGUGUUAACAUCCCUUUACUUGAUGCUAUAAAGCAAGUUUCAUCUUAUGCCAAGUUUCUUAAAGACCUUUGUACUAAAAAGAGAAAUAUGCAUGUUCAAAAGAAGGCAUUUUUAACAGAAAACGUUAGUUCUAUACUCCAACAUAAAAUUCAUUUAAAAUGCAAAGACCCAGGCUCCCCCACUAUCUCAUGUAGUAUAGGGAACCACACAAUUGAGAAUGCUUUGUUGGAUUUAGGAGCUAGUGUAAAUUUGUUGCCUUACUCUGUAUUCGUGAAACUUGGACUGGGAGAAUUACACCCAACUCCAGUGGUGUUACAACUUGCAGAUCGGUCCACAAAAAUACCUCGUGGUAUUGUGGAGGACGUGCUUAUCCAGGUAGACAAGUUUUAUUUUCCUGUUGAUUUCAUUGUAAUUGGCACUCAACCAAUACAGGACUCAAGGAAGCACAUCCCCAUUAUUCUAGGCCGACCUUUCUUGGCAACUGCAGAUGCUCAUAUUCAAUGUAGGACCAGAAAUAUGCAAUUGUCCUUCGGCAACAUGACUAUGGAGCUAAACAUCUUCAACAUUGCCAAACAACCUCACAGUGCAGAUGAUGGAAUUGUUGAUGUGGAUUUAAUAGAAACAAUAGUUGAUAAUACUUUUCUUUCAAACCUUAGUGAUGAUCCUUUACAAACAUGUUUAACUCACUUUGGUUUGGAUUUUGAUAUUGACAGAUCGGUCGAAGAGGUCAACGCCCUACUUGACUCAGCACCAUCCAGGGACACUAAUAAAUGGAAGUCAAGAGUUGAACAACUAGCACCAUCAGAGAAGAAACUCAUUCCAUCAUCAGAAUCACCACCGAAACUCGAGCUCAAACCAUUACCCAACACUCUGGAAUAUGCAUUUUUGGGAGAAGAAAGUACUCUGCCGGUAAUCAUCUCAUCAUCCCUAAAUGACGAACAAAAAGGUAAGUUGUUGGAUGUUUUAAAAGAGCACAAAGGGGCAUUAGGAUGGACCAUAGCAGACAUAAAAGGUAUAAACCCAGUAGACUGCAUGCAUUACAUUCACCUUGAUGAAAAUGCUAAAACUACUAGGGAGAUGCAACGUCGGUUAAAUCCUAACAUGAAAGAAGUUGUUAGAACUGAAGUCCUUAAGCUAUUAGAUGCAGGUAUCAUUUACCCAAUUUCUGAUAGUUCAUGGGUCAGUCCUGUACAAGUCGUCCCCAAAAAGUCAGGAGUCACAGUAGUUACCAAUGCUGAUAAUGAAUUGAUACCAACUAGAGUAACUACAGGAUGGCGUGUAUGCAUUGAUUAUAGAAAGUUGAAUUCUGUCACACGUAAAGACCAUUUUCCUUUACCAUUUAUCGAUCAAAUGCUUGAUAGAUUAGCAGGCCACGAAUUUUAUUGCUUUCUAGAUGGCUACUUAGGAUAUAAUCAGAUUCCCAUAGCACCAAAAGAUCAAGAGAAAACUACUUUCACUUGCCCUUUUAGCACAUUUGCAUAUAGGAGAAUGUCAUUUGGAUUAUGUAAUGCACCUGCUACAUUUCAACGAUGCAUGUUAAGCAUUUUUUCUGAUAUGGUUGAACGAUUCCUUGAAGUCUUUAUGGAUGAUUUUUCUGUCUUUGGUGACUCGUUUGAUCAAUGUUUACAUCAUCUAACGCUAGUUCUGCAGAGAUGUACCGAGAAGAACUUAGUCUUGAAUUGGGAGAAGUGCCAUUUUAUGGUAAAACAAGGUAUUGUUCUCGGUCACAUCAUUUCGAGCAAAGGUAUUGAGGUUGACAAAGCCAAGGCGGAUCUCAUUUCUAAUCUUCCUCCACCUAAAACAGUCAGAGAAGUAAGAUCUUUCCUUGGGCAUGCUGGUUUCUAUAGACGUUUCAUUAAAGAUUUUAGCAAAGUUUCUAGACCCUUAUGUAAUUUACUUGCUAAGGAUGUACCUUUUAUCUUUAAUGAUUCAUGUCUCAUGGCGUUUGAAAAAUUAAAGCAGUUGUUGACAUCAUCACCCAUCAUUCAGGCCCCAAACUGGAGCUUAGCAUUUGAACUCAUGUGUGAUGCAUCUGAUUAUGCAGUAGGAGCAGUAUUAGGAUAAAGAGUUGAUCGAAUUCCGCAUGUUAUUUACUAUGCUAGUAUGACAUUGAAUGAUGCACAGUUGAAUUAUUCAACUACUGAAAAAGAAAUGCUAGCAGUAGUGUUUGCAUUAGAGAAAUUUCGAUCUUAUCUCAUUGGUUGUAAAAUAAUUAUAUUCACAGAUCAUGCUGCUCUUAAAUAUCUUCUCACAAAGAAAGAUGCAAAAGCUAGACUAAUUCGUUGGGUGUUACUUUUGCAGGAAUUCGACUUGGAAUUCAAGGAUAAGAAAGGCACAGAAAAUGUUGUGGCGGACCACCUCUCUCGUCUCCAUUUUGACACAAUUACACAGCCAUUAAUAUUAAAUGAGUCAUUUCCAGAUGAACAAUUAAUGAGUGUGGAAGUAUUACCUUGGUAUGCUGAUAUAGUUAAUUAUCUUGUUACAGGUAAGCUUCCAGAGCAUUGGACCAAGCAAGACAAGGCUAAAUUCUUUGCGGAAAUAAAGAAUUUCUUUUGGGAUGACCCAUAUUUGUUCAAGUAUUGUGCAGACCAAAUUGUUAGACGAUGUGUCCCUGAAAAUGAAAUUCAGAAUAUUCUUUCAUUCUGCCAUGCACAAGCUUGUGGAGGCCACUUCAGUGCUAAGAAAACCGCGACUAAAGUUUUACAAUGUGGUUUUUAUUGGCCAACUAUAUUUCGAGAUUCUUACACUUUCUGUUAUUCAUGUGAUAGGUGUCAACGAAUGGGGAGCAUUACACGAAGGAACAUGAUGCCACUAAAUCCAAUUUUAGUGGUUGAGAUUUUUGACGUAUGGGGUAUCGACUUCAUGGGACCCUUUCCCUCUUCUUUUGGCCAUCAAUACAUAUUGGUUGGUGUUGACUACGUCUCAAAAUGGGUAGAAGCAAUUCCAUGUAGAACCAAUGAUCACAAAGUGGUGAUAGGAUUUUUGAAAAGCAACAUUGUCUCACGCUUUGGAUUCCCUCGAGCAAUAAUCAGUGAUGGUGGUGCCCACUUUUGUAACAAAGCAUUCAAGGCUCUUUUGACAAAGUAUUCAAUCACACACAAAGUGGCGACCCCGUAUCAUCCGCAAACCAGUGGCCAAGUUGAGAUCUCCAAUCGAGAAAUAAAGCACAUAUUAGAAAAGACGGUGAGGCCAGACAGGAAAGAUUGGUCAUUACGACUUGAUGAUGCAUUAUGGGCAUAUAGAACGGCUUUCAAGACCCCGAUUGGGAUGUCACCCUACAGGCUAGUGUAUGGAAAAGCUUGCCACCUACCUGUGGAACUCGAGCAUCGUGCAUAUUGGGCCAUCAAGAAAUUCAACUUUGACAUGCAGCAAGCCAGCUCAGAAAGAAGAUUACAGCUGGCAGAACUUGAAGAAAUUCGCAAUGAUGCAUACGAAAAUGCCAAGAUUUACAAGCAACGAAUGAAAGUCUUCCAUGAUAAGCAAAUUAUGAGAAAAUCGUUCACUCUAGGUCAGAAAGUGCUUUUAUUCAAUUCUCGCUUGCACCUAUUCCCAGGUAAGUUACGCUCUCGUUGGUCUGGCCCAUUUAUUGUACAUACUGUUUUUCCACAUGGGGCAAUUGAAAUUAAGGACCCAAAGAACGGUGUCACGUUUAAAGUUAAUGGUCAAAGAUUAAAGUCAUAUCUAGAGUACCAACCACAUGGAGAAAACAUCGAAAUAAAUUUGAGUGACCCACCAAAUUUGAAUUGAUUUUUUUUCUUUUCGUUGAUUUGAUUUUUCUUUAUUUCUUUUUAUUAUUAUUCUUUUGCUAAUUGAAAUUGUUUUUGCAUAAGUGUGUUUAUUUUACCAUUAAGUUUUCUCUUAUCAUUUUUAAUCAUGAGUCUCAUACUUAGACCGUUCCUCCUGAACAUUCUUAAACCACUUCAACGUGUCAAAACUCAUCUCAAAAGGCAGAUUCUAUUUUGUAAAACACAACGCAUUUGGGCUCUACAACCACCAGAGUUAGUAGCCUAUGUUGAGGGUUCAGAACGCCAACUCAGAGACAUUGAGCGAAGUGUUUACGACAUCCAGUUGGAGCUUGAGGUAAAUUCAAUAAGAGGACGAUUUUAAUUUUCUUUGUGUGUUUUAAUUUGUUUUGCUGUUUGUGUGCUUUAGUUUGUUACCCCGGUGAAGUGGCGGAUAACGGUACUCCGUGACAAUCAAGUCGGUUAACUUCAGUUUCCCAUAAUAACUGAUAUUCUGAGGCGAAGGUAUGGACAGAAACGAGAUUCUAGCGAAGCUUCACAAGCGAUUCCCUUCACUUCCUCAGAAUGUCCUCCUUACGAUCUAUAAAGCCCGGUCUGAACGCAUGCGAGUGCUCAUGAGGAAUAACAUACCUGCAGACAUCCGUUGGUUAAUCGAGGCUAAAGUACGAUUGGCAGGUGAGUUACCUCCUAAAUUUAUUGCAUACAUGCCUGGUUGUGGUAAAGGAAAUUACGCAAGAAAACGACGAGCUCGAAGAAUUUCUGUUGCUUGUCAUAAGUGUGCCAGAAUGAGUUGCGAUAAAAACCCAUGUUCUUUAGGAAUGGUGUCUGAUAAUAGGGAAGAUAAGAUUCAAUUCAUUAGGGAUGGCUUGAAUAAGGAGUCAUUGGAUGAUAUCCUUUUGUCUCUUGAAACGCAUCCCAGUGGAUAUGUGCAAGGAGCGAUUCUCCAGUUAUGGCCAUUAUUCCAAAAAGAGCAUGCACGAUAUAGUCUCGGGAAUCUGACUAUAAACGACCCUGUUUGCCAGUUUAUAAGAAAACUGGAUGGGAAGCCCAUCCUCGACCCAUAGAGGGCGUUCAAGCUGUUUCUGGACGUAAAACCAGAGGAAGAUGUGAGCCACAGUCGCAACUACGUGUAAAUAUCCUUUUACUUUACUGUUAUUUUAUUUCAUUUCACUGUUGUUUUAUUGUUUGCAUUAUUGUCUUUAAUAAUUUUGUUACUGUUUGCUUUUUCCUUUUUACUGUUUCCUUUUUAACUCGCGAGCCACGUGCUUUACGCGUUAUUUGACACUGGCAUGUUACCUUAUUCACAGCUGUGAUCCACUGUCACCAAGAUUCUUAAAUGUGAUUUAUCUUUUGUCAAGCACUCACAAAUUGUUUUUGAGAAGUAUCACAAUGGCAGCUACUCCCAAUAGACAAUUCAAGAACAUUUGUGUGCUUUCUGGAUUUACCUAUGGCAAACAUAAAGAGUUCGUGGAGGCAGCCAUAGAUCUUGGUCGAAGCAUAGCAGCGAGAAAAUUACAUUUGGUGUAUGGAGGAGGUAACCAAGGGUUAUCAAAAAUGGUCUCAGAAGCAGCUUUUAUCAGAGGAAGUCAAGUGUUAGGCAUCAUCCCAAGAGUCCUAAAACCAUUGGGCAGUUCGUCUGACUCAUCAACUGGAGAAGAGUUAGUCGUCUCAGGUAUGCAAGAAAGAUUAACUGAAAUGCUUAAUCAUGCUGAUGCUUUUAUUUUCCUUCCAGGAGAUUUUGCAACACUAGAGGCACUUAUGACACUAGCAUCUUGGGCCCAUCUGCACAUCCACCAGAAACCCAUCGGUUUGUUAAAUGUCAAUAACUUUUAUGAUGGCUUUAUCGCAUUUCUUAACCAUGCAAUAAAAAACUAUUUCAUUCAUUCUAAUGUGAAAAAACUCUUUAUUUGUGCUCACACUGCUAAUGAGCUACUUGAUAUGUUACAAGCUUAUAAACCGGAGCCAGACCCCUGGACCUUUGUGUUGGAGCGACCAAAUAAUGAUGGUAACAGUAGCCGCAGUAAGAAGUACAAAUUAGAUUUAACUCUUCGCCUGUAAAUAUUUUCUUCUGUGUUGCACCACCCAGGUGAUGUCUUCUAAACUCUACUUCUUUCCUUUAAAACAUUGAGGACAAUGUUUCGUUCUGGUUGGGGGGAGGGAAUAGUCGAAAAUUGUGGAAUCUUGGUUAAGUUUUUACUGAUUUUUUGUUGUAGAAACUAACUGUUGCUAACAUUUUAUGUUGAAGAUGGCUGAAUAUGGAGUGUAGUUACUCUAGAAACGCAUCUUCAUCGUUUAAAAAAAAAAAAAAACCGUUUUCUUCCUCUUUCUCCUUUAUAAAUAUAUAGUUUCAAAUUUUUGAGUCAAAGAUGGCUGAAUAUAGAGUGUAGUGCCUCUAGAAACGCAUCUUCUUAGUUUAAAAAAAAAAAAAUUCUUUUUCUAAUUAAUUUUUCUACAUCAUUUUCACAUUUCUGCAUACAUAUUUUCCUUUCAUGUUUAGAAUAGGUUGGGGGGUAGAAUGUUGUUUAAAAAAAAAAAAUUUUGUGUUAUUUGUUUUAACAUUGGAUGACAUGAUUAAUUUCAAAUUUUAGUAUUUGUAUUAUCUUUGGUCUUAAGUGAUGUUACGCUAUGUUUGCUACUUUACAUGUUGAUGUCGGAGACAAAUAUGAGUUGCUUGAAGGAAUGAACAUGUCAUAAAUAAGUGCCAAGUGAGUUGUUGAGCCUAUCAUUUUCUUGGAGAGUAACCCUUUUGCCCAUUCUCUAUACAGCUUAGCAGUUUAUUAUUUUAUACACGAUCUCUAGAUUUCUUUUAAGUUAACCCUUUAAAAAAAAUAUGGUAAAAUUAAAAAAAAGAAAAAAGAAAAAAAAUGUGUGUUGCUACAUUGGGAGGCCCAUCUAACUAGUAGAUAUGGAUAAUUAUUUAGAGCCCUAAAAGACGAUGGAAAGGCCAUCUUUGAUCUGUUUGAGCCUUUCUAGCCAUCCCUUUUAUUAAAUAUCCAUAGUUACCCCUUUUGAGCCUUUAAAAAAAAAAAAAAAAGAACAAAAACUUUUUCUUUGUCAACUUAUCAUCUUGACCCACUCCGAUUUGGAGUAUUACCCAAUGUCUUUUAAGUUCCAUCACCUAUUUAUGUUUGAGAAAAUGUAAAUAAUUAUGUUGUUCAGUGAAGUUAUGCCAAAUAAAAGCAAAAAGAAAAAAAAAACAAAAACAAAAGUUGUUGUUUCAAAAGAAUAAAAAUAACAAUAAUAGGUGAAAUCCACCUUGCAAGUUCCAAAAAAAAAAAAAAAUUCUGCAUUUUUCUCAAACAUACACUUUGUUUUCCUUAUUUCCUUUCUUUGUUAGCCAUAUCCCUAGCCUACGUUACGUCCUAAUAAAAGUCCUUCUUGAUUUUAGGGAACUAUAGUUUGAAGUAGAAGCUAGUUAUAUGGGCUAAAAAGAUGUAGUGAUGCAUAAUAAUAAAAAAAAAAAGAUAAAUAAAGUGGGUUGACUAACAUUUUAUUUGACUUGAGAUCGUAUUAUUUCUAAGCUGAGGGCAUAUUUAUUUCAUCUUGGUGAGAGCAUGUGAUAUCAUUUCUUUAUUAUUUUCUCUCUCAAUUACCAUUCAUUGGAGUGACUAUGUUUAUUGGGUUUUAAUUUCUUUGUGAGAGUGUCACUACUUCCAUUGAGAUUUUGGGGUUUGACAUGUCAUUCUUGAAAGUAGCUAUAACAAAGUCUACUGGGCUAAUUCAUGUGGAUGGUUGAUGUGGGUGUGAUGUUGCUUUAGACUGGAGAUAAUGCUUAUACUUUUAUUUGAUUGCUAUCAUUAAUCUGAUUGAAUAAACACGAGUGUUUCUAAAAAAAAAAAAAAAAUCAUUUUGAAUUUGAAUUUUGUUUUCGCUUUAUUUGCUAGGGACUAGCAAUAAACUGGUUGGGGGGUGUGUUGAGUGUUAGAAAAUACAUAUUUAUAAAGGAGAAAACCGUCAUUUUACAUUUCAAGUCUUAUUAACAACCCUUACUUUUAUGUAUUUAACCUUCUUGUGAUUUAAUUACAUGUGUUUUAUUUUAAUUAAGUAUUUUAUGUAUUUUAGGGGCAUUAUAGUCAUUUCAUAAUAAAGGAGAGAUCAGAUGGCAAAACGGACAUCACUUUUGAACUCAGGACGGUCGAAAACCUUAGGAGGGGCAUAAAAGGAAAAAUGGCACUAUUCACAUGUACGGUACUAUUCACGUAUACGGUACUGUAUAUGUUACUGUUCACGGCACUGUUCACAUAGACGGAUCGAUGACGUGGCAUUGACCGAUGAUGUGGCAUUGACCGAUGAUGUGGCAUUGACUAAUGAGGUGUCACGAUCCUGUUGGACUAAAAUUCUUAUAUACUGUUGAUGGUGACGUGGCAGCAUAUCAGUGGACGAAAAAUCUCGCGUACGGUGCAUGCAUCACACAGGAUUAUUUUCAACCAAACCGCGUUACUGUUCAUCCGGGUCAAACCGUGUUACUGUUCAUCCACGUGGUCAAACCGUGGACUGUUGACUGAUGACGUGGCGCAAUCCUGAGCGUCCAAACUGUUUUUAAUCCGAUGGCCAUGAUUUACUCCAUGUAUCUAUAAAAAGGGGGCUUCCCCCCCCCCCUAAUUUGAUAGCUCUGAAUCCAUUUUUGGGAUCCAUUUUCUGUAAUUUCUUCUCCAUCUUGUAUUUUCUUUGUAUUUUAAUAAAUUCCCAUUUUGCCCCUAGUUCAAUUAUGAGUAGCUAAUUUCCUUUCAAGCUUGGGUUGAAGGUGAAGUCUCAACAUGUGUCAUGGGCUUUAUUUGGUAAAUUUAUUUUCUUUUCCCCUCUAGUUUUUGUGGAUGAUUUGACUUAUCGUCGACAAAUAAUACUGAUCUUGUCUAGAUACCGCCUUGGUUACACCGGCUCUCUAGUAUAAGGUUAUUAUUAUUUGGCACGAUAAGCCCUUAGCACCAUAUUGAUUAGAGCGUGGUUCAUGAGGUGUGGAUUCCCCCCUCAUGAUUUAAUUGGCAUUAAUAAGGAUUAUUUAGCCCAUGAUGCAUGUUGAUACGGAUCCAGAUACCCAAGUACGUCAUUUUAAUAGAAUUCUCUUCAAUUUAUUAUCGCCAUUUCAAUUCCAAUUUUAGAAUUUAUUCUCGCCAUUUUAAUUUAAGUUUUAGCAUAUCCCAAAUCAUUUCCACCACAAAUCCAAUCACCCAUUUACAAAAUUAAUUCUACACAAUUAAAAUCCACCUCCUCGUGGGAUCGACACUCGUCACCAUUAGUCUAUACUACAAUAGAUUCGUGCGCUUGCGAGUACAUUAAAAUUUGCACAACAGUUACCUGCGAGAUACAUACUUUUGGGAGAAACUUAUACAGCUAUCUCAGAUGAACAUGUACAAGAUCCCACUAGUUACAACAAAGCUCUAAUAGAUAGAGAUGUUGAAUUUUGGAAAAAGGCCAUGAAUCAAGAAAUGGAAUCUAUGUAUUCCAAUAAAGUCUGGGAACUUGUAGAGGCACCAAAUGGGGUAAAACCUAUAGGGUGCAAGUGGAUCUACAAGAGAAAAAGAAGAGUAAACGGAAGGGUGGAAACAUUUAAAGCAAGAUUAGUAACCAAAGGGUUGUAUUUAGAAAGAGAAAUUGAUUAUGAGGAAACCUUUUCCCCGGUUGCUAUGCUUAAAUCCAUUAGGAUUCUGCUCUCCAUUGCUGCAGUGCUAGAUUAUGAAAUUUGGCAAAUGGAUGUCAAGACUGCCUUUCUUAACGGGCAUCUUGAAGAAAAUAUCUGCAUGCAGCAACCAGAUGGAUUUAUACAAAAAAGGCCAAGAACACAUGGUUUGUAAGUUGCAGAGAUCUAUUUUUGGAUUGAAGCAAACAUCCCAGUCAUGGAACAUCAAAUUUGAUCAAGCGAUUAAAUCGUUUGGAUUCAUUCAGAACAUUGAUGAAUCAUGUGUGUACAAGAAAAUUCAAGAAAAAUUUGUAGCCUUCCUAAUUCUUUAUUUAGACGAUAUUCUCCUAAUUGGAAAUGAUAUAGGAGUAUUGACUACAAUAAAAAGUUGGUUAGCAAAACAAUCUGAUAUGAAAGACCUGGGAGAUGCAAGUUAUAUUCUUGGUAUCAAGUUACUACGAAACCGGAAAAAUAAAAUUUUGCCUUGUCUCAAGCAGUCUAUAUCGAUAAGAUAUUGGCUAGAUUUAGCAUGGAAAAUUCCAAGACUGGUUUAUUACCAUUCAAACAUGGAAUUACAUUCUCUAAAGAUCAAUCUCCUAAAACAUCUGAAGAGAUAGAGAGAAUGAGACGAGUUCCCUAUGCAGAAGCUGUGGGAAGUCUCAUGUAUGUCAUGCUUUGCACUAGGCCCGACAUCUGUUUUGCGGUAGGGAUAGUUAAUAGAUAUGAAUCUAAUCCUGGACCUAAACACUGGACUACGGUCAAGCAUAUAAUGAAGUAUCUGAAAAGAACUAAAAAUUAUAUGCUUGUGUAUUCUGGUGAUGAACUCAUUCCAGUGGGUUAUACUGAUUCUGACUUUAUGUCAGAUAAGGAUUCCAGAAAAUCAACUUGCGGCUAUGUGUUUACAUUAGGAAGUGGAGCUAUUAGUUGGAGGAGUGUGAAACAAUCUUGUAUCGCAGACUCCACAACUGAAGCUAAAUAUGUGGCUGCAUCUGAAACUGCAAAAGAAUUUGUAUGGCUCCGCAAGUUCCUACAAGAUCUUGAGGUGGUACUUGCUGUAACUGCACCCCUUAAACUAUUUUGCGAUAAUAGUGGUGCGGUAGCUCAAUCUAAGGAACCACAAGAAACAAAAACAUAUUGAGAGGAAGUAUCAUCUUAUAAGGAAAUAGUGUAGAAAUGUUAUAUGACAGUGCCCCAAAUGACAUUAGAUGCUAAAUGACAGAUCUUAUUACAAUAGCCAUUAGUGGAAAACCUUUAUAACCUGCACUUAGAGCCCUAGAGCAUGUGCAAUAUGCCAGAUAUGCUUUAAGAGCUAGUGGGAGAUUGUUGGAAAAAUAUGCUCUUUAAAAGCAUAUGUGUUUAUUUAAUUGUAAUAAACAAUUUUUCUGAUUAAUAAAAUAAAUGAGGUAUUUUAUUCAAAUAUCUUAAUUGUAUUAAUAUUUUUAUUAAAGUCCAUUUAAUCAUAUUAUAUGUAUUUAUGUGAUCACCAUGUGGAUUCACAGAAGACAUAAAUACAAGUUAUCUUAUGAUUAAAUAAAUUUAGUUCGCAGUUGAUAAAUAAAGUUGGGCACUUUAUUUAGGUAUAGACUGUAAUAAAUUUAUUGAAUGAUUUGUCUUAAUCAUGUAUGAAUUUAUUGAUGUAGUACGACUACAUUGAACAGGAUCACAUAUGAGAUUUAAUUAACUUUGUAAUAACUGUCAGACUUAUUAAAUCUCAUAGGCAUUGAUUUUACUGUAAUCUUAAUACUGAGUUAAUUAUGAUUUCAUGAUUGUAAUUGUUAUUCCAUUUGAGUUACCAAUGGGCACGACAUAUACUUGUGGUCAAGAUUACCCAGUAUCUUGGUGGGAGCAAUUAUGAGUAUUGGAGUUAUGGAUUAACAAUAUAGAAUUUGUACAACACAUCUCUUGAUGGGUUUUGGCAGUUGAUCAUAUAAUUCUCUGGCCAGAGUGUGUCAACAUAUUUAGUAUGUUGAAAAUAAUCAUUAACGAAAACCAGUAAGUAUUAAAGAACAAAAUGUAAUUAAAUUGAUUGGAUAGUUGAGAUAUCGAUUUAAUUAAUGAUGUGGUACAAAGGAUUGUGCAGUAAAGAAAUCAAUGUGGCUUGAGACGAAUUAUUAUUCGAGCAUAUAAUUAUGGAAGUCAGUUCCAAUCUUUUAGUGGAGUAUUCCAAUCUUUUAGUGGAGUAGAUUUAGAAUUAAAUAAUUGGGCUAGUUUAAUUACAGGCCUAAUUAUUGUAGCCACUAUUGUAUGUUCCCAAAUGAUCCCCGGGUUAGCUCAUUUAAUUGACUGCACCACUAUUGGAUUAAUAAGCAAGAUAACUAGCUAAUUUGGUCAAAAGCCUAAAUAUAUCAUUUAGUGGGAGGCUCCAUUUAAUUAGUUUGUGUGUAAGGGGCCUUAUGUUAUUUUACAAGGUAGGUCCCUUAUAGAAAAAGCAAGUAAUGUGAGUUUGUUUUUUAUUAUUUGGAGUCUAGGGUUUUCACUAAAGGGAGAUAUAAAAGGCUUAUUUUCUCUAAAGAAAAGAGAUAGCAGCCACUUUAUAUAGAUCAGAGAAAAAGAUUUUUCUCUCUAUUGUUGAGAGAAAAAUUUUCUCGUGCUAGUUGAUUUGGUAGUGAUAAAGGUGCCCACACGUCAAGUGCAGAUCAAACCUGAGUCAUAACCUGAAAGAUAAUUGGUGACAGUUCGUGAUCUAACAAGCGUGGUGGUGACGGAUCGUGAUCUAGAAGCCUAAAUCACUUCAGCGGAAAAAUCUAAAUCGAAUUUUCAAGGUACGAUUUCGAGAUUACGUAUUCUUAUAUAUUAUAUGAGAGCGAUCUUAAAAAUGUUUUAUAAAAAAUUUAAAAAACUUAUCUUUCCCCAACAUAUGGAACCAUGCAAAAGGGCUUUAUUCAAACAAAGCUGCAUAGCCGUUGGCAAUCAAAAUACUUUAUCAAUUAAGUUAAGUAGUAAGAAUUGGAUUGUGGAUUCUAUUAAUUAUUUCAAGGAAAAUUUUAUAGAUAAUGGCGUAAUGAAAUUUACGGCAUCAAUACCAUGAUAAAUAUAAAUAUUGUAAAUUACAAAUAGAAUUAGUAAAUGUAAAGUAAAACCAGUAAAUUCAUAAAAGAUUAUUAAUUAUUUAAAAAAUUAACAUUGUUUCUACAUAAUUUUAGUGAAAAAUAUUUUAUUCAUUUACAAAAAAAAAUUCUUUAAUUAAAAAAAAUCAUUAAUUAAAUAAAAAAUUAUACUGAAACAAAAGUGGAAUAAGUUUAAUUGAAUUGGUUACCAUAAAUUCUAUAUUUAGUCUAGAACAUUUGUAUACAUUUUUUUCCCAUUUUCUAUAAUGAUAUCUAUUUAUUACACAUGUUAAUUAAGUGUAAUUAUUUAUCUUGAUGUGGAUCAAGUAAAAAAAAAAAAAGAGAUAUCAAUAAAAUUAGAUCUAAUUUUGAAUAUUAUGUAUACUUUAUGUAGUUUCAAACAUUUUACCUGUAUUUGGAGACCAUUUAAGGUUGUUGUUGAAGAAGUGUAGAAAGAUGUAAAAUAACGUCAUCUUACAACAAUUAUAAUGAUAUCUAUUUAUUACACAUGUUAAUUAAGCACAAUUAUUUAUCUUGAUGUGGAUCAAGUAAAAAUAAAAGAAAAGAUAUAUCAAUAAAAUUAGAUCUAAUUUUGAAUAUUAUGUAUACUUUAUGUAGUUUCAAACUUUUUACUUGUAUUUGGAGACCAUUUAAGGUUGUUGUUGAAGAAGUGUAGAAAGAUGUAAAAUAACUUCAUCUUACAACAACUAUGAAAGAUAUUAAAAUAAUAUUUUUUUCAAAAUCCGAUUUUGAGCAAAAAUUUCAUCCUUAAUUAAAAAUCACAUGUAUUAUGGAAAUGCAAAACUACCAUUGUUAUAUUUAAAUUAAAAAAUAAUAAAUAUAUAAGGUAAUAAACAUUAUAACGAGUUUUUAUUUUAAAAUUGUAAACUUUUGUUUCUAACAAUAACUCUGAUAUUAAUUAAUUUAUUUUUCCUUUUAUUCAUAAGUUUUAUGCAUAAUCUACAAACUUUAUGUUUUAUUUUGCAUUUAAUGUUGAUUUACUUUUUUUAUAUUAUACUUAUAAGUUUUCAUUUUAUUUACCAGUAAUACAUCAAUUUAUCAAUUUUGUAGUAAUUUACUUAUUUUACUUUCCUUUUACAAUUCUUAUGUUUAAUUUCCAAAGUUUAUGUUUUAUUUUACAGUUGUUGAUGAUUUACUAGUUUUAUGUUAUGUUUGCAAGUUUUUGUUUUGUUUACUAGUAAUAGAUUAAUGGGUAAUUUUUAAUUGAGUCCUCAUUAGAUCUAGAAAAAUAAUUCAGUGACCAGAAGUUUACUAAAUGAAUCAAUUAAAUUCUUUCAAAUACAAACUAAUGUCAUUCAAGUCCUUAACUUAAUUGCUCAGUUAAAAAUACUAACAACGUUGAGGACAUUUUAGUAAAACAACAAUUGAGUCGUUUCUCAUUCUUUAUUUUUGACAGGUGGAAAUAGUUUAAAGUAAAAAAUAAUCAAGGCCUAACUGUUAACAUGUAGAUGUUCAUUAUAUUGAUUUUGAUGAUAACAAACUUUAAAUAUUUUUUAUUAAAAUGUUGGAGUUUUCAUUACUAAACAAUUUCUCAAAAGUCGUAUGAUCUUUCUAAAUGUGUUCAUGAAAUAUGGAGAAUCGUUAACUUUAACCGAAAAAUCAUUCCCUGCGAAAUUUGGUUAAAAUUGUGAUUCUGGAAGUAAAUGGUGAACCAUUAACUUCAAACGGCCAACCAAUAAUUUCCAGAAUGUCAUUCCAUGCUGACCUUCAAUCGUUUAGCAAGAACGGAUAGCAGAAAUUUGUUUUACAGGUUUAUGGAAAUUAACAGCAAACCGAUAGUGUCAAAAGAUCAACUGUUUAUUUGAAAUUUAUCGCAACGGUCACUUGAACCAGUCAAAACGGUUAACUGAUAACGGUUAACGGCGAUCCAAUUUCGGGAAAAAGUCAACAAUGGCUAUUUUUCAACUCCAACAUUAAAUAAGCUCAAUCAAAUUCAAACAAGAGCUGAUCACAACAUUAUCAUUGAGCUUAUAAUCGAGAAUACAACAUUCAUUGAGCUUCAAAUUCAUUCUUGUUCAUUUAUUCACACAUUAAGCGUUGAUUUGUAAUCUCAAAAAAUUGUGUGAGAGAAAAAUAAAUUUGUAAUCUUUAUUUUGAGUGAUUGUAAAUGUUGGGAUACAUUUGGGUUAAGAGAUUGGGGAUAAUCUCUUGAUGUAAAGGUUGAUUGACGCCUAAGAAGUUAGUUGUAAGUGUUCUUGAAGCCUUGAAGGCUUGACUAGUGGAAUGCCCAAGCUCCGUGUGCUUGGAGGCGUGGAUGUAGGCAAGGUUGGCCGAACCACGUAAAACUCUCUAUAUUUUAAUCUCUCUUCCCUUAUCUUUUUAUAUUUUGGUUGAUUUAUUUAUUAUUGCUUUAAAUUUGUUUAAGAUUUUCAUUAAGUUUUGUUUAAGAAUUGCAUAAUUUUUAGAAACCCAAUUCACCCCCCUCUUGGGUUGCUUAGAUAUUAUUUCACUAACAUGCCUCUGUUUGUGCAAAAUAUAAUAAGGUAAUUUAGAGUACUAACCAUAGUACUCUUCCUCGAAAUUCUAGAAUAGGUUCGGUAGUUCCAUGAGCCCAUAGAUUGGCCCAUGCUCAGCACUGUUAUAGCUCCACACAUCAUGCAAGAUUACUCCCGCAACUAUUCCACACGACCUAAAGCAACACAUUGCCGACUAGCCCAAUAAGAUCUGCCUUAGUUCAUUAGUUGAAUAAUUUAUUUUAAUUCUAAUUUAUAAUAAGAAUGGCACUGAUAAAAUUACUGUAGCAAUUCAUAUAAUAAUAAUCCUUGUGGAGACGAUCUUGAAUACUAAUCAUUAUAUUACUUGUUGUGUAUAUUUUCACAUUGACACUAAUAGCAUUAGAAAAUCGACAACAAGUUUUUUUGCGCCAUUGCUGGGGAUUGGUGCUUAUUGUGUUUUGUGAAAUCAAUUUUAGUUGGUACAAUAGAGUUCUUUGCCACCAGACUCCAUCACCACAUGGAAUGAUUUGGCUGACAAUAUUUUGAUGAAAUAUUUCCCACCAACAAAGAAUACAAAGUUGAAGAAUGAGAUCACAUCUUUCCAUCAACUUGAAGAUGAAAGCUUGUAUGAUGCAUGAGAAAGAUUCAAGGAGUUACUCAUGGUAUUCCUUAUUGCAUACAAUUGGAAACUUUCUACAAUGGGUUGAACUCAAGCACUAAGGGCUUUAUUGUCUAACUCAUAUAAUGAGGCUUAUGAAAUUUUGGAAAGGAUAACUAUCAAUGGCCAUCAACUAGACAAGCCACAGUGAGAGGAGCAGCAGGAGUACACAAUGUGGAUGCACUGACAACAUUAUCAGCCCAAGUAACCUCAUUGACAAAUAUGGUAAAAGCAACGGCCACUGCUCCAACAACAAUUAACCAAGUUGCUGAAGUCUCUUGUGUUUAUUAGAGAGAGGGACAUCUAUAUGAUAAUUAUCCUAGGAAUUCAGCUUCAGUCAAUUAUGUGGGCAAUUUUAAUAAACAAAAUCAAAGCAAUCAAUUUUCAAACACCUAUAACCUUGGAUGGAGACAUCACCCAAAUUUUUCAUGGAGCAAUCAGAAUCAGCAUGCUGCAGCAUCUAGUGGACAGAACAGACUUGCUCAACCACCUGGUUUUCACCAGCAAUUAUAAGGGUAAAGAAACACCAGUAAUGAUCAAUUUAGUUCCCUUGAAACUCUAAUUAAGGAGUAUAUUGUGAAGAUUGAAGUAGUGGUCUAAAGCCAAGUUGUAUUUUUAAGAAACUUGGAGAAUAAGAUUGGAUAGCUUGCUACAACAUUGAGCAACAUACCUCAGGACAGUUUACUAAACAAUACAGAGGAUCCAAAGAGAGAAGGAAAAGAGCAUUGUAAGGGGAUUAACUUAUGGUCUGGAAAGGAUGUUCAUAUUCUUGUUAAAGUACCAAAAAGAAAAGUGGAACCUAAUUCAACCCAAAGGGAAACUCAAAUUAAAGAAGAGACACAACAACCCAUUUUCCAGCACACUGGUGAGAGUUGCUAAGCUAUAACAACUGCAAAAAAACAUGAUUCAAUGCUUGUUGAGGAAGAAGCUGCAACACCAACAAUAACAGACCAUAAUAGAGCAAGAGAAAAGCAAUCUGUAUAGUCUGCUGCAGUACAACAAUUUACACAUCCACCAACAUUUCCACAAAGAUUUCAAAAGCGAAAGCAAGACAAGCAAUUCAAUAAAUUCUUGGAAGUAUUGAAACAAACUGCAUAUCAACAUUCCUUUUGUGGAAGCAUUAGAACAAAUGCCAAAUUAUGUAAAAUUUUGGAAAUGUAUAUUGGCAAGGAAAAUGAGGCUUGGAGAAUUUGAAAUAGUUGGUCUAACACAAGAAUGCAGCCAUAUGCUUCAAAGUAAAAUGCCUCAAAAGAUGAAGGAUCUAGGAAGUUUCACAAUUCCUUGUUCCAUAGGAACUAAAUAUAGUGGCAAGACACUUGGGUAAUUUUUUAGGGACCUCCCCUGAGGAUUGGUGUAUUAACACUUAGAUGGAAUGUAUUCGUGAAAUUACAAAUACCUCCCCUGCCGUUAGUAUAAAAAUACGUAUAACAUCAGUAUAGAAGGGUAAAUGUGUAAAAACAUAUUAAAAACUAAAAAUGUAUGCUUUUACUAGAUCAAUAAAAUUUUGACCACCACUUGCCCCCUGUUGACCCACCGUUGAGCAGCUGAUCAUGGCUCCACCGGUGGCUAGUGGUGGUGCUUUACUAGUGUGGGAGUUCCCUCCUCACACCGGCGACCAACCCAUUCACGGUCCUUGUGGCACUAAUUAUGGGACUAGUGUAGCAUAAAUACUAAUAUUGCUUUUUAUUUUGUAAAUUAAUUGUGCGUCAUAAUGUUUUUACAUACACAUUUUAUGUUUUAAAAUAUGAAUUUUUUUUUUGUAUUUAGGGUUAAUUUUACAAUUUCAUACUUUGUUCAAUUAUAUGUACAGGUCCUUAAUGUGUUGGUUGAUGUUGAAUAUUCAAAGAUCCACAAGCUAUCAACAAACGAAUCAAAUUAAACUAAUUAGUUAAUACAUAAUGACUGGGUUGUUUCCUAUGCUUGUUAAUGAUGUAGGACAUUAUUUUUAGGAUUUUAGAAUUUUAAUUAUUAGGUCUUCUGAUAUUUUCUUUUUUAAUUAAAGUCAGUGUCUUAGUUUUUUAUUUAUUUAUGUUAUAAUUAUAAUUUACUUUCUCUUUUGUUAACUUAGGAAAAUAUAUUUACUGUAUUAUAAAGAGAUCUUGUUAUUACUUUAUAACUUCAACUUCAGUUAUUCAAUUAAAAACCCCUCUUUAAAAGUUGUUUGAUUAGAGCAUCAUCUAGCCUUGCUUAACGCAUUAUUAAAAAUCCCUUUGAGUUUAAUCACACUUCUAUUAGAGCGUAACUUAAUCGCAUUAACUUGGUCCAGUACUUGAACGAUAUCAAGUGUUUUGCUUCCGCUAUGCCCAAGGAGAAAAUUAAUUUCACCGUGAGAUAAGAGCAUUAAAAGGAAUUCAUAAGAAAUUUAAAUUAAAGCUAAGUUAAAUAUAUCGCUAGCUACUUGUUUUCGGAGGAAUUAAAACAAUUAAUAAGCUGCGAAGUGAAAAUGAAUAAAUAAUGAAAUGAGGUUGAAAAUAAGUCUCGCCGCCUGGAUCCAAGGCCAAAACAUUCAUGAUAAGUUAGGUAAUUAAGUACAUGUUUUCAAGCUCUUCAUGAAGAAUAACGUUAUUGAAAUAAAUCACAAAGACUCCCUGCGCAAAUUAUUACAUUGAUUAAAAAAAAAAACCCAUAUCUUUAACAGGAUCGUGACUCUCGGACUGUUAAUUACUUUAUUCCCUGCUUGGCCAACAGCUGGCCACUAAACAAAAUCAUAAAAAUUUUUAAAUUUAGUCAAAUUGGUCCCACUUGAUGACAUCCUUUCCACAUAAAAUUGUUAACGUCAAGGUUAAAUAUGAGAAGUUUGGUAGAGAAGGUAAAAAGGACGUCUAUAUAAGGAGGGGAACGAGCUUUGUUUAUAGCACAAGUGAAACUCCACUUUAUUGAACGAUGGGGUCUCAAAUGGGCUGCCUCUUUGCCACUCUUUUGGUAGUAUCAGUCUCUUUAGCUACUUGCCGUUAGAAGCCUCCGCAAACAAAUACUACUACACAUCUCCUCCCCCUCCAAGUACAAGUCUCCACCACCACCCGCCACCGGUUCACAAUUCUCCACCACCACCCCGGUUUACCUGCCCCCGCCACCUCCUCCACCAGUCUACGUGCCUGCUCCGGCACCAACUCCAAUUUUCCCUUCUCCGCCACCUCCUGUCCCCAAGUCCCCACCACCACCUCACCCUUACGUCUAUGCAUCUCCCCCUCCUCCUUACUACUACUAGAAAGCGGCCAUGAAUAGCUCAUGCUUUUAUGGUAAUCUCAUUUAUUUUUAAAACUGUACAUGUAAAGACUAGUAGUUCAGAAUUACAUUAAGCAUUUCAAUUUUAAGCACCGUGUUCUGUUUAAUUGCGUUCCUAUUGAUUAAGUGACAAAUAAAAGAGAUUGAUUAAUUUGUUCUUGUAGGAGAGGCGAAUGGUAUCCGAAUAAAGAAAGCAAGGAUUUGAUGGAAGGCUUACUUGGAGCAAGAUAGCAUCAAUCGAGUUGCUGCGUUUUAUUCUCUUUUCUCUUUGUUUUUUAAGAAAAAUAAACUGCCACGUAGAAACAGAAAAUUAAGUUCUUGUCAUUUUCAUGCAUAUGGAUUGUUGCUGUGUGUGUCAAUCAAAUCUCCGUUGUGUCAUUUGUAAUUUUCAACCUUUAUGCAUGCAAAUGCGAGACCUCUUACGUAUAAUAAAAUUAAUAUACUUCCCAAGAUGGUCUUAUCUUGCGUUGACUUUUUACGUUCCUUUGGUGAUGAUUUUAACGUUUGAAAUUGAUGACUAUUGUUUUUGUAAACUCUGACAUGGAUUUUUCGUGCAACUAAAGAGCGCAUUAAUGAGAGGCUUAUCCAUGAGGGUCCAUGCAGAUCAGUGUCUAAUUAACCAAUAAUUAAUAUAACUUAAAAAAUAUAGAGUUAACAAUUUUUAUGGGUCAGGCUCAAUUGCAGAUGUUCGUACAAAAUUUCUUGCUAAUGUAUACUUGAGUAUGAUAAUAAGUUUUAAUCAUUAUUAAUAAUUCACUUGAUAAUAUUAAACAAAUUUUCAUAUCAAUUAAGUUACAAAAUUUCUGUGACAAAUUUCCACGUACUGGAACCAUGCAAAAGGACUUUAUUCAAACAAAGCUGCAUAGCCGUUGGCAAUUAAAAUUAUUUAUCAAUUACGUUAAGUAGUAAGAAUUGGAUUGUGGAUUCCAUUAAUUAUUUCAAGGAAAAUUUUAUAGAUAAUGCCGUAAUGAAAUUUACGGCAUCAAUACCAUGAUAAAUAUAAAUAUUGUAAAUUACAAAGAGAAUUAGUAAAGUAAAGUAAAACCAGUAAAUUCAUAAAAGAUUAUUAAUUAUUUAAAAAAUUAACAUUGUUUCUACAUAAUUUUAGUGAAAAAUAUUUUAUUCAUUUACAAAAUUUCUUUAAUUAAACAAAAAAAAUUCAUUAAUUAAGCAAAAAAAUUAUACUGAAAAAAAAGUGGAAUAAGUUUAAUUGAAUUGGUUAUCAUAAAUUCUAUAUUUUAGUCUAGACAUUUGUAUACAUUUUUUUUUCCCAUUUUCGAUAAUGAUAUCUAUUUGUUACACAUGUUAAUUAAGUGCAAUUAUUUAUCUUGAUGUGGACCAAGUAAAAAAAAAAAAAAGAGAUAUCAAUAAAAUUAGAUCUAAUUUUGAAUAUUAUGUAUACUUUAUGUAGUUUCAAACUUUUUACUUGUAUUUGGAGACCAUUUAAGGUUGUUGUUGAAGAAGUGUAGAAAGAUGUAAAAUAACUUCAUCUUACAACAACUAUGAAAGAUAUUAAAAUAAUAUUUUUUUCAAAAUCCGAUUUUGAGAAAAAAUUUCAUCCUUAAUUAAACAUCACAUGUAUUAUAGAAAUGAAAACUACCAUUGUUAUAUUUAAAUUAAAAAAUAAUAAAUAUAUAAGGUAAUAAACAUUAUAACGAGUUUUUAUUUUAAAAUUGUAAACUUUUGUUUCUGACAAUAACUCUUAUAUUAAUUAAUUUAUUUUGCAUUUUAUUCAUAAGUUUUAUGCAUAAUCUACAAACUUUAUGUUUUAUUUUGCAUUUAAUGUUGAUUUGGUUUUUUUAUAUUAUACGUAUAAGUUUUCAUUUUAUUUACCAGUAAUACAUCAAUUUAUCAGUUUUAUUGUAAUUUACUUAUUUUACCUUCCUUUUACAAUUCUUAUGUUUCAUUUUCAAAAUUUAUGUUUUAUUUUACAGUUGUUGAUGAUUUACUAGUUUUAUGUUAUGUUUGCAAGUUUUUGUUUUGUUUACUAGUAAUAGAUUAAUGGGUAAUUUUUAAUUGAGUCCUCAUUAGUUCUAGAAAAAAAAUUCAGAGACCAGAAGUUUACUAAUGAAUCAAUUAAAUUCUUUCAAGUACAAACUAAUGUCAUUCAAGUCCUUAACUUAAUUGCUCAGUUAAAAAUAUUAACAACAUUGAGGACAUUUUAGUAAAACACAAUUGAGUCGUUUCUCAUUCUUUAUUUUUGACAGGUGGAAAUAGUUUAAAGUUAACUCAAUUAACCUGAUUAAGUUAAGGAUCAGUUCUUUCAAAAAAAAAAAAAAAAAAGACCUACAGAAACUGCCAUAUUCUUCGUGUGAGAGGAGAGAUCGAGAGAACGUGGGAUGGUGCAAAAAAUGUUGUAUAAAACUACUGUGAUUUUGACCAAAGCUUUGGUAGCAUUGAUUGAGUUCAAGUACUGGAGAGAACCUAAGUUUAAAGGUUAGUAACUCUAUUUUUUUAGUGAUUUCUGCAAGCAUUUUCUGAUAAAAAAUUUUCCAUAUUGAGUGAUCGUUGUGAAAAUUAAGUUUUUCAAGUCUAUUUUUCAAAAUGACAAACUAUGUUUAAUUAUUGGUGGAUUCUUUUUUUUUGUUCAAUGUUGUAUUUUGUUAAUUUGUUGUUUUUAAUUUGCUCUUUAUGUAAUUGUUAGACCAAAUACACCAUUAUUAUACUUGUAUUCAUUUCAACAAUUUGGUAUCAUUAUAUAAAUAAGAUUGAAUUCAUUGUAUUUGCUUCUUUGUUCAUGUAAAAUUGAAUUCUAUGUAUUCUUAUGAGUGAUAAUUUUUCUAUCUAUUAGACUAAAUUCACUAUAUUCACUACUUUCUUUUUUUUUUUUUUUAGUUUAUAUUUUUUUAUAUGUAUUAGAUGAAUUUGCUUUUGUAUGUUUUUUUCGCCAAAUUGCAUGUAUAUUUCAUUUAGGUUGAGUUUUUUUUUGUUGUUUGCUAAAUAAAAUAUAUUGGUUUAUCCUUUUUUGAUGCAAUACUUUUGUUUAAAAUUAAUACAGGUAGCCAUGUUACCUUUUUUUUUCGGUUUAAAAUUAAUGGGGAUGUAUGCGAUAGGAUAUAGGGAACCAGAGGAAUAUAAGAUUAUUAGGCUGUUUCUUGAAAUUCAAGAUGUCAUGGUUAAGCAUGGACACAUUGAAAUGGAUUUGAUUGAAAUUUUUGUUGUAUUGCCAUGGACUACAAGUAGGCAGAGGAAGCUAAUUUCAAACGAUAGUGAAUUGUUUUNAUGAACAUGUACAAGAUCCCACUAGUUACAACAAAGCUCUAAUAGAUAGAGAUGUUGAAUUUUGGAAAAAGGCCAUGAAUCAAGAAAUGGAAUCUAUGUAUUCCAAUAAAGUCUGGGAACUUGUAGAGGCACCAAAUGGGGUAAAACCUAUAGGGUGCAAGUGGAUCUACAAGAGAAAAAGAGAGUAAACGGAAGGGUGGAAACAUUUAAAGCAAGAUUAGUAACCAAAGGGUUGUAUUUAGAAAGAGAAAUUGAUUAUGAGGAAACCUUUUCCCCGGUUGCUAUGCUUAAAUCCAUUAGGAUUCUGCUCUCCAUUGCUGCAGUGCUAGAUUAUGAAAUUUGGCAAAUGGAUGUCAAGACUGCCUUUCUUAACGGGCAUCUUGAAGAAAAUAUCUGCAUGCAGCAACCAGAUGGAUUUAUACAAAAAAGGCCAAGAACACAUGGUUUGUAAGUUGCAGAGAUCUAUUUUUGGAUUGAAGCAAACAUCCCAGUCAUGGAACAUCAGAUUUGAUCAAGCGAUUAAAUCGUUUGGAUUCAUUCAGAACAUUGAUGAAUCAUGUGUGUACAAGAAAAUUCAAGAAAAAUUUGUAGCCUUCCUAAUUCUUUAUGUAGACGAUAUUCUCCUAAUUGGAAAUGAUAUAGGAGUAUUGACUACAAUAAAAAGUUGGUUAGCAAAACAAUCUGAUAUGAAAGACCUGGGAGAUGUAAGUUAUAUUCUUGGUAUCAAGUUACUACGAAACCGGAAGAAUAAAAUUUUACCUUGUCUCAAGCAGUCUAUAUCAAUAAGAUAUUGGCUAGAUUUAGCAUGGAAAAUUCCAAGACUGGUUUAUUACCAUUCAAACAUGGAAUUACAUUCUCUAAAGAUCAAUCUCCUAAAACAUCUGAAGAGAUAGAGAGAAUGAGACGAGUUCCCUAUGCAGAAGCUGUGGGAAGUCUCAUGUAUGUCAUGCUUUGCACUAGGCCCGACAUCUGUUUUGCGGUAGGGAUAGUUAAUAGAUAUGAAUCUAAUCCUGGACCUAAACACUGGACUGCGGUCAAGCAUAUAAUGAAGUAUCUGAAAAGAACUAAAAAUUAUAUGCUUGUGUAUUCUGGUGAUGAACUCAUUCCAGUGGGUUAUACUGAUUCUGACUUUAUGUUAGAUAAGGAUUCCAGAAAAUCAACUUGCGGCUAUGUGUUUACAUUAGGAAGUGGAGCUAUUAGUUGGAGGAGUGUGAAACAAUCUUGUAUCGCAGACUCCACAACUGAAGCUAAAUAUGUGGCUGCAUCGAAGCUGCAAAAAGAAGCUGUAUGGCUCUGCAAGUUCCUACAAGAUCUUGAGGUGGUACCUGCUGUAACUGCACCCCUUAAACUAUUUUACGAUAAUAGUGGUGCGGUAGCUCAAUCUAAGGAACCACAAGAAACAAAAACAUAUUGAGAGGAAGUAUCAUCUUAUAAGGAAAUAGUGUAGAAAUGUUAUAUGACAGUGCCCCAAAUGACAUUAGAUGCUAAAUGACAGAUCUUAUUACAAUAGCCAUUAGUGGAAAACCUUUAUAACCUGCACUUAGAGCCCUAGAGCAUGUGCAAUAUGCCAGAUAUGCUUUAAGAGCUAGUGGGAGAUUGUUGGAAAAAUAUGCUCUUUAAAAGCAUAUGUGUUUAUUUAAUUGUAAUAAACAAUUUUUCUGAUUAAUAAAAUAAAUGAGGUAUUUUAUUCAAAUAUCUUAAUUGCAUUAAUAUUUUUAUUAAAGUCCAUUUAAUCAUAUUAUAUGUAUUUAUGUGAUCACCAUGUGGAUUCACAGAAGACAUAAAUACAAGUUAUCUUAUGAUUAAAUAAAUUUAGUUCGCAGUUGAUAAAUAAAGUUGGGCACUUUAUUUAGGUAUAUAGACUGUAAUAAAUUUAUUGAAUGAUUUGUCUUAAUCAUGUAUGAAUUUAUUGAUGUAGUACGACUACAUUGAACAGGAUCACAUAUGAGAUUUAAUUAACUUUGUAAUAACUGUCAGACUUAUAAAUCUCAUAGGCAUUGAUUUUACUGUAAUCUUAAUACUGAGUUAAUUAUGAUUUCAUGAUUGUAAUUGUUAUUCCAUUUGAGUUACCAAUGGGCACGACAUAUACUUGUGGUCAAGAUUACCCAGUAUCUUGGUGGGAGCAAUUAUGAGUAUUGGAGUUUAUGGAUUAACAAUAUAGAAUUUGUACAACACAUCUCUUGAUGGGUUUUGGCAGUUGAUCAUAUAAUUCUCUGGCCAGAGUGUGUCAAACAUAUUUAGUAUGUUGAAAAUAAUCAUUAACGAAAACCAGUAAGUAUUAAAAGAACACAAAUGUAAUUAAAUUGAUUGGAUAGUUGAGAUAUCGAUUUAAUUAAUGAUGUGGUACAAAGGAUUGUGCAGUAAAGAAAUCAAUGUGGCUUGAGACGAAUUAUUAUUCGAGCAUAUAAUUAUGGAAGUCAGUUCCAAUCUUUUAGUGGAGUAUUCCAAUCUUUUAGUGGAGUAGAUUUAGAAUUAAAUAAUUGGGCUAGUUUAAAUUACAGGCCUAAUUAUUGUAGCCACUAUUGUAUGUUCCCAAAUGAUCCCCGGGUUAGCUCAUUUAAUUGACUGCACCACUAUUGGAUUAAUAAGCAAGAUAACUAGCUAAUUUGGUCAAAAGCCUAAAUAUAUCAUUUAGUGGGAGGCUCCAUUUAAUUAGUUUGUGUGUAAGGGGCCUUAUGUUAUUUUACAAGGUAGGUCCCUUAUAGAAAAAGCAAGUAAUGUGAGUUUGUUUUUUAUUAUUUGGAGUCUAGGGUUUUCACUAAAGGGAGAUAUAAAAGGCUUAUUUUCUCUAAAGAAAAGAGAUAGCAGCCACUUUAUAUAGAUCAGAGAAAAAGAUUUUUCUCUCUAUUGUUGAGAGAAAAAUUUUCUCGUGCUAGUUGAUUUGGUAGUGAUAAAGGUGCCCACACGUCAAGUGCAGAUCAAACCUGAGUCAUAACCUGAAAGAUAAUUGGUGACAGUUCGUGAUCUAACAAGCGUGGUGGUGACGGAUCGUGAUUAGAAGCCUAAAUCACUUCAGCGGAAAAUCUAAAUCGAAUUUUCAAGGUACGAUUUCGAGAUUACGUAUUCUUAUAUAUUAUAUGAAGAGCGAUCUUAAAAAUGUUUUAUAAAAAAUUUAAAAAACUUAUCUUUCCCAACAUAUGGAACCAUGCAAAAGGGCUUUAUUUCAAACAAAGCUGCAUAGCCGUUGGCAAUCAAAAUACUUUAUCAAUUAAGUUAAGUAGUAAGAAUUGGAUUGUGGAUUCUAUUAAUUAUUUCAAGGAAAAUUUUAUAGAUAAUGGCGUAAUGAAAUUUACGGCAUCAAUACCAUGAUAAAUAUAAAUAUUGUAAAUUACAAAUAGAAUUAGUAAAUGUAAAGUAAAACCAGUAAAUUCAUAAAAGAUUAUUAAUUAUUUAAAAAAAUUAACAUUGUUUCUACAUAAUUUUAGUGAAAAAUAUUUUAUUCAUUUACAAAAAAAAAAUUCUUUAAUUAAAAAAAAUCAUUAAUUAAAUAAAAAUUAUACUGAAACAAAAGUGGAAUAAGUUUAAUUGAAUUGGUUACCAUAAAUUCUAUAUUUAGUCUAGAACAUUUGUAUACAUUUUUUUUCCCAUUUUCUAUAAUGAUAUCUAUUUAUUACACAUGUUAAUUAAGUGUAAUUAUUUAUCUUGAUGUGGAUCAAGUAAAAAAAAAAAAAGAGAUAUCAAUAAAAUUAGAUCUAAUUUUGAAUAUUAUGUAUACUUUAUGUAGUUUCAAACAUUUUACCUGUAUUUGGAGACCAUUUAAGGUUGUUGUUGAAGAAGUGUAGAAAGAUGUAAAAUAACGUCAUCUUACAACAAUUAUAAUGAUAUCUAUUUAUUACACAUGUUAAUUAAGCACAAUUAUUUAUCUUGAUGUGGAUCAAGUAAAAAUAAAAGAAAAGAUAUAUCAAUAAAAUUAGAUCUAAUUUUGAAUAUUAUGUAUACUUUAUGUAGUUUCAAACUUUUUACUUGUAUUUGGAGACCAUUUAAGGUUGUUGUUGAAGAAGUGUAGAAAGAUGUAAAAUAACUUCAUCUUACAACAACUAUGAAAGAUAUUAAAAUAAUAUUUUUUCAAAAUCCGAUUUUGAGCAAAAAUUUCAUCCUUAAUUAAAAAUCACAUGUAUUAUGGAAAUGCAAAACUACCAUUGUUAUAUUUAAAUUAAAAAAUAAUAAAUAUAUAAGGUAAUAAACAUUAUAACGAGUUUUUAUUUUAAAAUUGUAAACUUUUGUUUCUAACAAUAACUCUGAUAUUAAUUAAUUUAUUUUUUCCUUUUAUUCAUAAGUUUUAUGCAUAAUCUACAAACUUUAUGUUUUAUUUUGCAUUUAAUGUUGAUUUACUUUUUUUAUAUUAUACUUAUAAGUUUUCAUUUUAUUUACCAGUAAUACAUCAAUUUAUCAAUUUUGUAGUAAUUUACUUAUUUUACUUUCCUUUUACAAUUCUUAUGUUUAAUUUCCAAAGUUUAUGUUUUAUUUUACAGUUGUUGAUGAUUUACUAGUUUUAUGUUAUGUUUGCAAGUUUUUGUUUUGUUUACUAGUAAUAGAUUAAUGGGUAAUUUUUAAUUGAGUCCUCAUUAGAUCUAGAAAAAUAAUUCAGUGACCAGAAGUUUACUAAAUGAAUCAAUUAAAUUCUUUCAAAUACAAACUAAUGUCAUUCAAGUCCUUAACUUAAUUGCUCAGUUAAAAAUACUAACAACGUUGAGGACAUUUUAGUAAAACAACAAUUGAGUCGUUUCUCAUUCUUUAUUUUUGACAGGUGGAAAUAGUUUAAAGUAAAAAAAAUAAUCAAGGCCUAACUGUUAACAUGUAGAUGUUCAUUAUAUUGAUUUUGAUGAUAACAAACUUUAAAUAUUUUUUAUUAAAAUGUUGGAGUUUUCAUUACUAAACAAUUUCUCAAAAGUCGUAUGAUCUUUCUAAAUGUGUUCAUGAAAUAUGGAGAAUCGUUAACUUUAACCGAAAAAUCAUUCCCUGCGAAAUUUGGUUAAAAUUGUGAUUCUGGAAGUAAAUGGUGAACCAUUAACUUCAAAACGGCCAACCAAUAAUUUCCAGAAUGUCAUUCCAUGCUGACCUUCAAUCGUUUAGCAAGAACGGAUAGCAGAAAUUUGUUUUACAGGUUUAUGGAAAUUAACAGCAAACCGAUAGUGUCAAAAGAUCAACUGUUUAUUUGAAAUUUAUCGCAACGGUCACUUGAACCAGUCAAAACGGUUAACUGAUAACGGUUAACGGCGAUCCAAUUUCGGGAAAAAAGUCAACAAUGGCUAUUUUUCAACUCCAACAUUAAAUAAGCUCAAUCAAAUUCAAACAAGAGCUGAUCACAACAUUAUCAUUGAGCUUAUAAUCGAGAAUACAACAUUCAUUGAGCUUCAAAUUCAUUCUUGUUCAUUUAUUCACACAUUAAGCGUUGAUUUGUAAUCUCAAAAAAUUGUGUGAGAGAAAAAUAAAUUUGUAAUCUUUAUUUUGAGUGAUUGUAAAUGUUGGGAUACAUUUGGGUUAAGAGAUUGGGGAUAAUCUCUUGAUGUAAAGGUUGAUUGACGCCUAAGAAGUUAGUUGUAAGUGUUCUUGAAGCCUUGAAGGCUUGACUAGUGGAAUGCCCAAGCUCCGUGUGCUUGGAGGCGUGGAUGUAGGCAAGGUUGGCCGAACCACGUAAAACUCUCUAUAUUUUAAUCUCUCUUCCCUUAUCUUUUUAUAUUUUGGUUGAUUUAUUUAUUAUUGCUUUAAAUUUGUUUAAGAUUUUCAUUAAGUUUUGUUUAAGAAUUGCAUAAUUUUUAGAAACCCAAUUCACCCCCCUCUUGGGUUGCUUAGAUAUUAUUUCACUAACAUGCCUCUGUUUGUGCAAAAUAUAAUAAGGUAAUUUAGAGUACUAACCAUAGUACUCUUCCUCGAAAUUCUAGAAUAGGUUCGGUAGUUCCAUGAGCCCAUAGAUUGGCCCAUGCUCAGCACUGUUAUAGCUCCACACAUCAUGCAAGAUUACUCCCGCAACUAUUCCACACGACCUAAAGCAACACAUUGCCGACUAGCCCAAUAAGAUCUGCCUUAGUUCAUUAGUUGAAUAAUUUAUUUUAAUUCUAAUUUAUAAUAAGAAUGGCACUGAUAAAAUUACUGUAGCAAUUCAUAUAAUAAUAAUCCUUGUGGAGACGAUCUUGAAUACUAAUCAUUAUAUUACUUGUUGUGUAUAUUUUCACAUUGACACUAAUAGCAUUAGAAAAUCGACAACAAGUUUUUUGCGCCAUUGCUGGGGAUUGGUGCUUAUUGUGUUUUGUGAAAUCAAUUUUAGUUGGUACAAUAGAGUUCUUUGCCACCAGACUCCAUCACCACAUGGAAUGAUUUGGCUGACAAUAUUUUGAUGAAAUAUUUCCCACCAACAAAGAAUACAAAGUUGAAGAAUGAGAUCACAUCUUUCCAUCAACUUGAAGAUGAAAGCUUGUAUGAUGCAUGAGAAAGAUUCAAGGAGUUACUCAUGGUAUUCCUUAUUGCAUACAAUUGGAAACUUUCUACAAUGGGUUGAACUCAAGCACUAAGGGCUUUAUUGUCUAACUCAUAUAAUGAGGCUUAUGAAAUUUUGGAAAGGAUAACUAUCAAUGGCCAUCAACUAGACAAGCCACAGUGAGAGGAGCAGCAGGAGUACACAAUGUGGAUGCACUGACAACAUUAUCAGCCCAAGUAACCUCAUUGACAAAUAUGGUAAAAGCAACGGCCACUGCUCCAACAACAAUUAACCAAGUUGCUGAAGUCUCUUGUGUUUAUUAGAGAGAGGGACAUCUAUAUGAUAAUUAUCCUAGGAAUUCAGCUUCAGUCAAUUAUGUGGGCAAUUUUAAUAAACAAAAUCAAAGCAAUCAAUUUUCAAACACCUAUAACCUUGGAUGGAGACAUCACCCAAAUUUUUCAUGGAGCAAUCAGAAUCAGCAUGCUGCAGCAUCUAGUGGACAGAACAGACUUGCUCAACCACCUGGUUUUCACCAGCAAUUAUAAGGGUAAAGAAACACCAGUAAUGAUCAAUUUAGUUCCCUUGAAACUCUAAUUAAGGAGUAUAUUGUGAAGAUUGAAGUAGUGGUCUAAAGCCAAGUUGUAUUUUUAAGAAACUUGGAGAAUAAGAUUGGAUAGCUUGCUACAACAUUGAGCAACAUACCUCAGGACAGUUUACUAAACAAUACAGAGGAUCCAAAGAGAGAAGGAAAAGAGCAUUGUAAGGGGAUUAACUUAUGGUCUGGAAAGGAUGUUCAUAUUCUUGUUAAAGUACCAAAAAGAAAAGUGGAACCUAAUUCAACCCAAAGGGAAACUCAAAUUAAAGAAGAGACACAACAACCCAUUUUCCAGCACACUGGUGAGAGUUGCUAAGCUAUAACAACUGCAAAAAAACAUGAUUCAAUGCUUGUUGAGGAAGAAGCUGCAACACCAACAAUAACAGACCAUAAUAGAGCAAGAGAAAAGCAAUCUGUAUAGUCUGCUGCAGUACAACAAUUUACACAUCCACCAACAUUUCCACAAAGAUUUCAAAAGCGAAAGCAAGACAAGCAAUUCAAUAAAUUCUUGGAAGUAUUGAAACAACUGCAUAUCAACAUUCCUUUUGUGGAAGCAUUAGAACAAAUGCCAAAUUAUGUAAAAUUUUGGAAAUGUAUAUUGGCAAGGAAAAUGAGGCUUGGAGAAUUUGAAAUAGUUGGUCUAACACAAGAAUGCAGCCAUAUGCUUCAAAGUAAAAUGCCUCAAAAGAUGAAGGAUCUAGGAAGUUUCACAAUUCCUUGUUCCAUAGGAACUAAAUAUAGUGGCAAGACACUUGGGUAAUUUUUAGGGACCUCCCCUGAGGAUUGGUGUAUUAACACUUAGAUGGAAUGUAUUCGUGAAAUUACAAAUACCUCCCCUGCCGUUAGUAUAAAAAUACGUAUAACAUCAGUAUAGAAGGGUAAAUGUGUAAAAACAUAUUAAAAACUAAAAAUGUAUGCUUUUACUAGAUCAAUAAAAUUUUGACCACCACUUGCCCCCUGUUGACCCACCGUUGAGCAGCUGAUCAUGGCUCCACCGGUGGCUAGUGGUGGUGCUUUACUAGUGUGGGAGUUCCCUCCUCACACCGGCGACCAACCCCAUUCACGGUCCUUGUGGCACUAAUUAUGGGACUAGUGUAGCAUAAAUACUAAUAUUGCUUUUUAUUUUGUAAAUUAAUUGCUGCGUCAUAAUGUUUUUACAUACACAUUUUAUGUUUUAAAAUAUGAAUUUUUUUUUUGUAUUUAGGGUUAAUUUUACAAUUUCAUACUUUGUUCAAUUAUAUGUACAGGUCCUUAAUGUGUUGGUUGAUGUUGAAUAUUCAAAGAUCCACAAGCUAUCAACGACAACGAAUCAAAUUAAACUAAUUAGUUAAUACAUAAUGACUGGGUUGUUUCCUAUGCUUGUUAAUGAUGUAGGACGUUAUUUUAGGAUUUUAGAAUUUUAAUUAUUAGGUCUUCUGAUAUUUUCUUUUUUAAUUAAAGUCAGUGUCUUAGUUUUUUAUUUAUUUAUGUUAUAAUUAUAAUUUACUUUCUCUUUUUAAGUUAACUUAGGAAAAUAUAUUUACUGUAUUAUAAAGAGAUCUUGUUAUUACUUUAUAACUUCAACUUCAGUUAUUCAAUUAAAAACCCCUCUUUUAAAGUUGUUUGAUUAGAGCAUCAUCUAGCCUUGCUUAACGCAUUAUUAAAAAUCCCUUUGAGUUUAAUCACACUUCUAUUAGAGCGUAACUUAAUCGCAUUAACUUGGUCCAGUACUUGAACGAUAUCUAGUGUUUUGCUUCCGCUAUGCCCAAGGAGAAAAUUAAUUUCACCGUGAGAUAAGAGCAUUAAAAGGAAUUCAUAAGAAAUUUAAAUUAAAGCUAAGUUAAAUAUAUCGCUAGCUACUUGUUUUCGGAGGAAUUAAAACAAUUAAUAAGCUGCGAAGUGAAAAUGAAUAAAUAAAUGAAAUGAGGUUGAAAAUAAGUCUCGCCGCCUGGAUCCAAGGCCAAAACAUUCAUGAUAAGUUAGGUAAUUAAGUACAUGUUUUCAAGCUCUUCAUGAAGAAUAACGUUAUUGAAAUAAAUCACAAAGACUCCCUGCGCAAAUUAUUACAUUGAUUAAAAAAAAAAAACCCAUAUCUUUAACAGGAUCGUGACUCUCGGACUGUUAAUUACUUUAUUCCCUGCUUGGCCAACAGCUGGCCACUAAACAAAAUCAUAAAAAUUUUAAAUUUAGUCAAAUUGGUCCCACUUGAUGACAUCCUUUCCAAACAUAAAAUUGUUAACGUCAAGGUUAAAUAUGAGAAGUUUGGUAGAGAAGGUAAAAAGGAAGUCUAUAUAAGGAGGGGAACGAGCUUUGUUUAUAGCACAAGUGAAACUCCACUUUAUUGAACGAUGGGGUCUCAAAUGGGCUGCCUCUUUGCCACUCUUUUGGUAGUAUCAGUCUCUCUUAGCUACUUGCCGUUAGAAGCCUCCGCAAACAAAUACUACUACACAUCUCCUCCCCCUCCCAAGUACAAGUCUCCACCACCACCCCCGCCACCGGUUCACAAUUCUCCACCACCACCCCCGGUUUACCUGCCCCCGCCACCUCCUCCACCAGUCUACGUGCCUGCUCCGGCACCAACUCCAAUUUUCCCUUCUCCGCCACCUCCUGUCCCCAAGUCCCCACCACCACCUCACCCUUACGUCUAUGCAUCUCCCCCUCCUCCUUACUACUACUAGAAAGCGGCCAUGAAUAGCUCAUGCUUUUAUGGUAAUCUCAUUUAUUUUUAAAACUGUACAUGUAAAGACUAGUAGUUCAGAAUUACAUUAAGCAUUUCAAUUUUAAGCACCGUGUUCUGUUUAAUUGCGUUCCUAUUGAUUAAGUGACAAAUAAAAGAGAUUGAUUAAUUUGUUCUUGUAGGAGAGGCGAAUGGUAUCCGAAUAAAGAAAGCAAGGAUUUGAUGGAAGGCUUACUUGGAGCAAGAUAGCAAUCAAUCGAGUUGCUGCGUUUUAUUCUCUUUUCUCUUUGUUUUUUAAGAAAAAUAAACUGCCACACGUAGAAACAGAAAAUUAAGUUCUUGUCAUUUUCAUGCAUAUGGAUUGUUGCUGUGUGUGUCAAUCAAAUCUCCGUUGUGUCAUUUGUAAUUUUCAACCUUUAUGCAUGCAAAUGCGAGACCUCUUACGUAUAAUAAAAUUAAUAUACUUCCCAAGAUGGUCUUAUCUUGCGUUGACUUUUUACGUUCCUUUGGUGAUGAUUUUGACGUUUGAAAUUGAUGACUAUUGUUUUUGUAAACUCUGACAUGGAUUUUUCGUGCAACUAAAGAGCGCAUUAAUGAGAGGCUUAUCCAUGAGGGUCCAUGCAGAUCAGUGUCUAAUUAACCAAUAAUUAAUAUAACUUAAAAAAUAUAGAGUUAACAAUUUUUAUGGGUUAGGCUCAAUUGCAGAUGUUCGUACAAAAUUUCUUGCUAAUGUAUACUUGAGUAUGAUAAUAAGUUUUAAUCAUUAUUAAUAAUUCACUUGAUAAUAUUAAACAAAUUUUCAUAUCAAUUAAGUUACAAAAUUUCUGUGACAAAUUUCCACGUACUGGAACCAUGCAAAAGGACUUUAUUCAAACAAAGCUGCAUAGCCGUUGGCAAUUAAAAUUAUUUAUCAAUUACGUUAAGUAGUAAGAAUUGGAUUGUGGAUUCCAUUAAUUAUUUCAAGGAAAAUUUUAUAGAUAAUGCCGUAAUGAAAUUUACGGCAUCAAUACCAUGAUAAAUAUAAAUAUUGUAAAUUACAAAGAGAAUUAGUAAAUGUAAAGUAAAACCAGUAAAUUCAUAAAAGAUUAUUAAUUAUUUAAAAAAUUAACAUUGUUUCUACAUAAUUUUAGUGAAAAAUAUUUUAUUCAUUUACAAAAACAUUUCUUUAAUUAAACAAAAAAAAUUCAUUAAUUAAGCAAAAAAAUUAUACUGAAAAAAAAGUGGAAUAAGUUUAAUUGAAUUGGUUAUCAUAAAUUCUAUAUUUAGUCUAGGACAUUUGUAUACAUUUUUUUUUCCCAUUUUCGAUAAUGAUAUCUAUUUGUUACACAUGUUAAUUAAGUGCAAUUAUUUAUCUUGAUGUGGACCAAGUAAAAAAAAAAAAAAAAAAGAGAUAUCAAUAAAAUUAGAUCUAAUUUUGAAUAUUAUGUAUACUUUAUGUAGUUUCAAACUUUUUACUUGUAUUUGGAGACCAUUUAAGGUUGUUGUUGAAGAAGUGUAGAAAGAUGUAAAAUAACUUCAUCUUACAAUAACUAUGAAAGAUAUUAAAAUAAUAUUUUUUUCAAAAUCCGAUUUUGAGAAAAAAUUUCAUCCUUAAUUAAACAUCACAUGUAUUAUAGAAAUGCAAAACUACCAUUGUUAUAUUUAAAUUAAAAAAUAAUAAAUAUAUAAGGUAAUAAACAUUAUAACGAGUUUUUAUUUUAAAAUUGUAAACUUUUGUUUCUGACAAUAACUCUUAUAUUAAUUAAUUUAUUUUGCAUUUUAUUCAUAAGUUUUAUGCAUAAUCUACAAACUUUAUGUUUUAUUUUGCAUUUAAUGUUGAUUUGGUUUUUUUAUAUUAUACGUAUAAGUUUUCAUUUUAUUUACCAGUAAUACAUCAAUUUAUCAGUUUUAUUGUAAUUUACUUAUUUUACCUUCCUUUUACAAUUCUUAUGUUUCAUUUUCAAAAUUUAUGUUUUAUUUUACAGUUGUUGAUGAUUUACUAGUUUUAUGUUAUGUUUGCAAGUUUUUGUUUUGUUUACUAGUAAUAGAUUAAUGGGUAAUUUUUAAUUGAGUCCUCAUUAGUUCUAGAAAAAAAAUUCAGAGACCAGAAGUUUACUAAAUGAAUCAAUUAAAUUCUUUCAAGUACAAACUAAUGUCAUUCAAGUCCUUAACUUAAUUGCUCAGUUAAAAAUAUUAACAACAUUGAGGACAUUUUAGUAAAACAACAAUUGAGUCGUUUCUCAUUCUUUAUUUUUGACAGGUGGAAAUAGUUUAAAGUUAACUCAAUUAACCUGAUUAAGUUAAGGAUCAGUUCUUUCAAAAGAAAAAAAAAAAAAGACCUACAGAAACUGCCAUAUUCUUCGUGUGAGAGGAGAGAUCGAGAGAACGUGGGAUGGUGCAAAAAAUGUUGUAUAAAACUACUGUGAUUUUGACCAAAGCUUUGGUAGCAUUGAUUGAGUUCAAGUACUGGAGAGAACCUAAGUUUAAAGGUUAGUAACUCUAUUUUUUUAGUGAUUUCUGCAAGCAUUUUCUGAUAAAAAAUUUUCCAUAUUGAGUGAUCGUUGUGAAAAAUUAAGUUUUUCAAGUCUAUUUUUCAAAAUGACAAACUAUGUUUAAUUAUUGGUGGAUUCUUUUUUUUUGUUCAAUGUUGUAUUUUGUUAAUUUGUUGUUUUUAAUUUGCUCUUUAUGUAAUUGUUAGACCAAAUACACCAUUAUUAUACUUGUAUUCAUUUCAACAAUUUGGUAUCAUUAUAUUAAUAAGAUUGAAUUCAUUGUAUUUGCUUCUUUGUUCAUGUAAAAUUGAAUUCUAUGUAUUCUUAUGAGUGAUAAUUUUUCUAUCUAUUAGACUAAAUUCACUAUAUUCACUACUUUCUUUCUUUUUGCUGGGCUAUUUUUUUCUUUUUAGUUUAUAUUUUUUAUAUGUAUUAGAUUGAAUUUGCUUUUGUAUGUUUUUUUCGCCAAAUUGCAUGUAUAUUUCAUUUAGGUUGAGUUUUUUUUGUUGUUUGCUAAAUAAAAUUAUAUUGGUUUAUCCUUUUUUGAUGCAAUACUUUUGUUUAAAAUUAAUACAGGUAGCCAUGUUACCUUUUUUUCGGUUAAAAUUAAUGGGGUGAUGUAUGCGAUAGGAUAUAGGGAACCAGAGGAAUAUAAGAUUAUUAGGCUGUUUCUUGAAAUUCAAGAUGUCAUGGUUAAGCAUGGACACAUUGAAAUGGAUUUGAUUGAAAUUUUUGUUGUAUUGCCAUGGACUACAAGUAGGCAGAGGAAGCUAAUUUCAAACGAUAGUGAAUUGUAUUGGGUUUUCGAGGUGUUUUUUUUAUCAAUAGUUGUCCUGUCAUUGAGUUUGAGGUGCACACUGGGUCAGGUGGUCAGUUAUUUCAUGAAAGUGUUGUAAUAGGACCUGAAAAUCCUGUCAAUAUUAAAAAUUAGCGUUGUAAUAGUGAUAAGUUUGAAAAUCCUGUGGCUAAAAAGGGUUUGCCUAGAAUAAUUGGUUCUUCUUUAUUUGCCUCAAAGUCCAACACUAUGAAAUCCACUAGGAAAAAGAAUUUAUCCACUUUAACCAGCACGUCUUCAAUCUUACCUUCAGGAUAAGCAUGAGAUCUGGCAGCACAUUGCAAUGUCACUGUGGCUGGUCUGACUUCUCCAACUCCCAAUUGCUUGAAUUCUAAUAAUGUCAUAAGAUUGAUGCUUGGUCCCAAAUAGGGAUGACAAUUGUACCCGCAAACCCGCCCAAACCCACCUGCCAAAACCCGCCCAUUGCGGGUAAUUUUACCCAUUGCGGGCGGGUUUAGUAUUAUAAAUUAAAACCCGCGCAUGGAUGUGGGUGGGUUUAGUAUUAACCUUAUAUCCGGUGGAUACCCGCAUGGAUAUCCAUCAAACCCGCAAUAUUUUUUUUCAAAUAUUUUUAAUUUAAUUUAAAUAUAAAAAUGUAUAAAGAAAAUAAUGUCAUUAAUCAAAUUACCAAAUAGACAAAGGCUCAAAGUUGUGUAUGUGUGUAUGUGGCCCAUCUCUUAUUCUAAAGUCAUAACCUAAAGAAAACUAAAGGCAUUUCCCUUCGAAUUAGUAUUUAAAAAUAUUAAUCUUAAUUAUUAUUAUAGGCAUUGUGUUGGAUGGGUGCUUAUGGUGGUGAAUGAAAUGAAUAUCUUCUCUUGGAUCUUGUUUUAAAUGAUAAUAUGAAAUGUAAUUAUUAUUUUUAGAUACUAGUUUGUGUUUUUAAAAUAGAUUUGUGUAAUUUAUACUUAAAUUUGAGAAUUUGUAUUGAAUUGAUGUGGAAAUUUUAAUUUUUCAUUGACAUUGUUUAAAUAUAAAAUUGAGUAUGCUAUUUGGAAUUUGAGGUUAUUAUUAUAAAUUUAUAUAUUAAAUAUUUGUGAUUUUAAAUACGAAAACCCGCAAAAAUUCCGCCGGAUACUAUUGCGGGUUUGGUAAUUAUUAAAACCCGCUGCGGGUGGGUUUUUAAAAAAAAAUUAAAACCCGCGGCGGGUUGCGGGUGGGUUUAGUAAUUUAAAUUUUGUGCGGGUUUGGGUUUGAUAAUGGCAAAUCCGCUGCGGGCGGUGCCCAUUGCUAUCCCUAGUCCCAAAUCACAAAGUGUCUUGCCACUGUAUUUAGUUCCUAUGGAACAACGAAUUGUGAAACUUCCUGGAUCAUUCAACUUUUGAGGCAUUUUACUCUGAAGCAUAUGGCUGAAUUCUUGUGUUAGACCAACUAUUUCAACUAUUUCAAAUUAUUUGCCUCAAAGUCCAACACUAUGAAAUCCACUAGGAAAAAGAAUUUAUCCACUUUAACCAGCACGUCUUCAAUCUUACCUUCAGGAUAAGCAUGAGAUCUGGCAGCACAUUGCAAUGUCACUGUGGCUGGUCUGACUUCUCCAACUCCCAAUUGCUUGAAUUCUAAUAAUGUCAUAAGAUUGAUGCUUGGUCCCAAAUAGGGAUGACAAUUGUACCCGCAAACCCGCCCAAACCCACCUGCCAAAACCCGCCCAUUGCGGGUAAUUUUACCCAUUGCGGGCGGGUUUAGUAUUAUAAAUUAAAACCCGCGCAUGGAUGUGGGUGGGUUUAGUAUUAACCUUAUAUCCGGUGGAUACCCGCAUGGAUAUCCAUCAAACCCGCAAUAUUUUUUUUCAAAUAUUUUUAAUUUAAUUUAAAUAUAAAAAUGUAUAAAGAAAAUAAUGUCAUUAAUCAAAUUACCAAAUAGACAAAGGCUCAAAGUUGUGUAUGUGUGUAUGUGGCCCAUCUCUUAUUCUAAAGUCAUAACCUAAAGAAAACUAAAGGCAUUUCCCUUCGAAUUAGUAUUUAAAAAUAUUAAUCUUAAUUAUUAUUAUAGGCAUUGUGUUGGAUGGGUGCUUAUGGUGGUGAAUGAAAUGAAUAUCUUCUCUUGGAUCUUGUUUUAAAUGAUAAUAUGAAAUGUAAUUAUUAUUUUUAGAUACUAGUUUGUGUUUUUAAAAUAGAUUUGUGUAAUUUAUACUUAAAUUUGAGAAUUUGUAUUGAAUUGAUGUGGAAAUUUUAAUUUUUCAUUGACAUUGUUUAAAUAUAAAAUUGAGUAUGCUAUUUGGAAUUUGAGGUUAUUAUUAUAAAUUUAUAUAUUAAAUAUUUGUGAUUUUAAAUACGAAAACCCGCAAAAAUUCCGCCGGAUACUAUUGCGGGUUUGGUAAUUAUUAAAACCCGCUGCGGGUGGGUUUUUAAAAAAAAAUUAAAACCCGCGGCGGGUUGCGGGUGGGUUUAGUAAUUUAAAUUUUGUGCGGGUUUGGGUUUGAUAAUGGCAAAUCCGCUGCGGGCGGUGCCCAUUGCUAUCCCUAGUCCCAAAUCACAAAGUGUCUUGCCACUGUAUUUAGUUCCUAUGGAACAACGAAUUGUGAAACUUCCUGGAUCAUUCAACUUUUGAGGCAUUUUACUCUGAAGCAUAUGGCUGAAUUCUUGUGUUAGACCAACUAUUUCAACUAUUUCAAAUUAUUUGCCUCAAAGUCCAACACUAUGAAAUCCACUAGGAAAAAGAAUUUAUCCACUUUAACCAGCACGUCUUCAAUCUUACCUUCAGGAUAAGCAUGAGAUCUGGCAGCACAUUGCAAUGUCACUGUGGCUGGUCUGACUUCUCCAACUCCCAAUUGCUUGAAUUCUAAUAAUGUCAUAAGAUUGAUGCUUGGUCCCAAAUAGGGAUGACAAUUGUACCCGCAAACCCGCCCAAACCCACCUGCUAAAACCCGCCCGUUGCGGGUAAUUUUACCCAUUGCGGGCGGGUUUAGUAUUAUAAAUUAAAACCCGCGCAUGGAUGUGGGUGGGUUUGGUAUUAACCUUAUAUCCGGUGGAUACCCGCAUGGAUAUCCACCAAACCCGCAAUAUUUUUUUUCAAAUAUUUUUAAUUUAAUUUAAAUAUAAAAAUGUAUAAAGAAAAUAAUGUCAUUAAUCAAAUUACCAAAUAGACAAAGGCUCAAAGUUGUGUAUGUGUGUAUGUGGCCCAUCUCUUAUUCUAAAGUCAUAACCUAAAGAAAACUAAAGGCAUUUCCCUUCGAAUUAGUAUUUGAAAAUAUUAAUCUUAAUUAUUAUUAUAGGCAUUGUGUUGGAUGGGUGCUUAUGGUGGUGAAUGAAAUGAAUAUCUUCUCUUGGAUCUUGUUUUAAAUGAUAAUAUGAAAUGUAAUUAUUAUUUUUAGAUACUAGUUUGUGUUUUUAAAAUAGAUUUGUGUAAUUUAUACUUACUUUUGAGAAUUUGUAUUGAAUUGAUGUGGAAAUUUUAAUUUUUCAUUGACAUUGUUUAAAUAUAAAAUUGAGUAUGCUAUUUGGAAUUUGAGGUUAUUAUUAUAAAUUUAUAUAUUAAAUAUUUGUGAUUUUAAAUACGAAAACCCGCAAAAAAUCCGCCGGAUACUAUUGCGGGUUUGGUAAUUAUUAAAACCCGCUGCGGGUGGGUUUUUAAAAAAAAAUUAAAACCCGCGGCGGGUUGCGGGUGGGUUUGGUAAUUUAAAUUUUGUGCGGGUUUGGGUUUGAUAAUGGCAAAUCCGCUGCGGGCGGUGCCCAUUGCCAUCCCUAGUCCCAAAUCACAAAGUGUCUUGCCACUGUAUUUAGUUCCUAUGGAACAACGAAUUGUGAAACUUCCUGGAUCAUUCAACUUCUGAGGCAUUUUACUCUGAAGCAUAUGGCUGAAUUCUUGUGUUAGACCAACUAUUUCAAAUUCUCCGAGCCUCAUUUUCCUUGCCAAUAUACAUUUCCAAAACUUUACAUAAUUUGGCAUUUGUUCUAAUGCUUCUACAAAAGGAAUGUUGAUAUGCAGUUAUUUCAAUACUUCCAAGAAUUUACUGAACUGCUUGUCUUGCUUUCGCUUUUGAAAUCUUUGUGGGAAGGAUGGUGGAUGUGUAAAUUGUUGUACUGCAGCAGACUAUACAUAUUGCUUUUCUCUUGCUCUAUUAUGGUAUGAUAUUGUUGGUGCUGCAGCUUCUUCCUCAACAAGCACUGAAUCAUGUUUUUUUUGCAGUUGCUAUAACUUAGCAACUCUCACCAGUGUGCUGGAAAAUGGGUUGUUGUGUCUCUUCUUUAAUUUGAGUUUCCCCUUGGGUUGAAUUAGGUUCCACUCUUCUUUUUAGUACUUUAACAAGUAUAUGAACAUCCUUUCCAGACCUUAAGUUAAUCCCCUUACAAUGCUCUUUUCCUUCCCUCUUUCGAUCCUCUGUAUUGUUUAGUAAAUUGUCCUGAGGUAUGUUGCUCAAUGUUGUAGCAAGCUGUCCAAUCUUAUUCUCCAAGUUUCUUAAAAAUACAGCUUGGCUUUAGACCACUACUUCAAUCUUCACAAUAUACUCCUUAAUCAGAGUUUCAAUGGAACUAAAUUGAUCAUUACUGGUGUUUCUUUACCCUUAAAAUUUCUGGUGAAAAUCAGGUGGUUGAGCAAGUCAGUUCUGUCCACUGGAUGCUGCAGCAUGCUGAUUCUGAUUGCUCCUUUUAAAAUUUGGGUGAUGUCUCCAUCCUAGGUUAUAGGUGUUUGAAAAUGGAUUGCUUUGAUUUUGUUUAUUAAAAUUGCCCACAUAAUUGACGGAAACUGAAUUCCUAGGACAAUUAUCAUAUAGAUGUCCCUCUCCAUAAUAAACACAAGAGACUUCAGCAAUUUGGUUAACUGUUGUUGGAGCAGUGGCCGUUGCUUUUACCAUAUUUGUCAAUGAGGUUACUUGGGCUGAUAAUGUUGUCAGUGCAUCCACAUUGUGUACUCCUGCUGCUCCUCUCACUAUGGCUUGUCUAGUUGAUGGCCAUUGAUAGUUAUCCUUUCCAAAAUUUCAUAAGCCUCAUUAUAUGAGUUAAACAAUAAAGCCCCUAGUUAUUGAGUUCAACCCAUUGUAGAAAGUUUCCAAUUGUAUGCAAUAAGGAAUACCAUGAUGAGGGCAUCUCCUGAGUAACUCCUUGAAUCUUUCUCAUGCAUCAUACAAGCUUUCAUCUUCAAGUUGAUGGAAAGAUGUGAUCUCAUUCUUCAACUUUGCAUUCUUUGUUGGUGGGAAAUAUUUCAUCAAAAUUUUGUCAGCCAAAUAAUUCCAUGUGGUGAUGGAGUCUGGUUGCAAAGAACUCCACUGUACCAACUAAAAUUGAUUUCACAAAACACAAUAAGCACCAAUCCCUGGCAACGGCGCAAAAAACUUGUUGUCGAUUUUCUAAUGUUAUUAGUGUCAAUGUGAAAAUGUACACAACAAGUAAUAUAACGAUAAGUAUUCACUCCACAAGGAUUAUUAUUAUAGGAAUUGCUACAGUAAUUCUAUCAGUGCCAUUCUUAUUAUAAAUUAGAAUUUAAACAAAUUAUUCAACUAAUGAACUAAGGCAGAUCUUAUUGGGCUAGUCGGCAAUGUGUUGCUUUAGGUCAUGUGGAAUAGUUGCGGGAGUGAUCUUGCAUGAUGUGUGGAGCUAUAACAGUGCUGAGCAUGGGCCAAUCUAUGGGCUUAUGGAACUAGCGAACCUAAUCUAGAAUUUCGAGGAAGAGUACUCUGGUUAGUACUCUAAAUUACCUUAUUAUAUUUUGCACAAACAGAGGCAUGUUAGUGAAAUAAUAUCUAAGCAACCCAAGAGGGGGGUGAAUUGGGUUUCUAAAAAUUAUGCAAUUCUUAAACAAAACUUAAUGCAAAUCUUAAACGAAUUUAAAGUAAUAAUAAAUAAAUCAACCAAAGUAUAAAAAGAUAAGGGAAGAUAGAUUAAAAAACAGAGAGUUUUACGUGGUUCGGCCAACCUUGCCUACAUCCACGCCCCCAAGCACACCGAGCUUGGGCAUUCCACUAGUCAAGCCUUCAAGGCUUCAAGAACACUUACAAUUGACUUCUUAGGUGUCAAUCAACCUUUACAUCUAGAGAUUAUCCUCAAUCUCUUAACCCAAGUGUAUCCCAACAUUUACAAUCACUCAAAAUAAAGAUUACAAAUUUAUUUUUCUCUCACACAAUUUUUUAAGAUUACAAAUCAACGCUUAAUGUGUGAAUAAAUGAACAAGAAUGAAUUUGAAGCUCAAUGAAUGUUGUAUUCUCGAUUAUAAGCUCAAUGAUAACGUUGUGAUAAGCUCUUGUUUGAAUUUGAUUGAGCUUAUUUAUAGUUAGAGUUGAAAAAUAGCCAUUGUUGACUUUUUCCCGAAAUUGGAUCGCCGUUAACCGUUAUCGGUUAACCGUUUUGACUGGUCCAAGUGACCGUUGAGCUGAAUUUCAAAUAAACGGUUGAUCUUUUGACACUAUCGGUUUGCUAUUAAUUUCCAUAAACCUGUAAAACAAAUUUAUGCUAUCCGUUCUUGCUAAACGGUUGAAGGUCAGCAUGGAAUAACAUUCUAGAAAUUAUUGGUUGGCCGUUUGAAGUUCACGGUUCACCGUUUACUUCUAGAAUCACAGUUUUAACCAAAUUUCGCAGGGAAUGCUUUUUCGGUUAAAGUUAACGAUUAUCCAUAUUUCAUGAACACAUUUAGAAAAAUCAUACGACUUUUGAGAAAUUGUUUAGUAAUGAAAACUCUAACAUUUUAAUCAAAUACAUUUAAAGUUUGUUAUCAUCAAAAUCAAUAUAAUGAACAUCUACAUGUUAACAGUUAGGCCUUGAUUAUUUUUUAAAUCUUAUAAGAUAUAUUGUGAUAAUAGUAACUCAAUUUUCAUAAAACGUGGAAAGAUCAGUCGCCAAAUUUAUAGAUGCCAUAGAAAAUCUAGAUUUUAGUAAGGAAUAUCAAGUUAUUUAUACAAUGAAAAUUGUUAAAACUCGAUUAAUUGCAAGGAAACACUUUUAGAGAGAUAUGGAGAGAAUAAACUUUGAAGAUAACAAUGAAAUACAUGACACAUUUAAGGAAGAAAAUAUAAUAGUAUUAAUAGAAUCUAUUUUAACCGGUCUUAAGAUCAUUCAAGAUUGAUGCAAAAUAAAUAACAGGACUCUAAACCGUCCAUAAUAAGUCUAUUGAUUAAUAAUAACAAUAAUAGUGAUGUGAAAUUUUUUAUUCAGAAUGCUCAAUUUAGAUUAUAAUAUCUAUGUGAAAGCAUUGAUGGCAUGUACCUUGGUUAGGAAAAUAGAUUGGACACAUGGAUAUAUAUGUUGGAAGAACAAAUCUAGUUUAUAUCUCAAGAGAGAUAAUAAAUUAUAAAUGACGGUGCUAUAGUAUAUUCAGAUUUUAUAAAUCUUUAUAAAUUUAAUAAUCAUUUAGAUCUUCAUAAUAUUAUAAUAAAACUUUAAAAAUAUAUGUAGAAGAGAUGGAAGAAGAAAUCAUCCAGUUAUUCAAAAUCAAUUAAACAAAAAUAGAAGGUAAAAUCCUUGAAUUAUAUAAAUUAUACAAUUUCACAGAAAUUUUGCAUAUAUUGUGAAACGGUCCUUGUGGCACUAAUUAUGGGACUAGUGUAGCAUAAAUACUAAUAUUGCUUUUUAUUUUGUAAAUUAAUUGUUGCGUCAUAAUGUUUUUACAUGCACAUUUUUUGUUUUAAAAUAUGAAUUUUUUUUUUUGUAUUUAGGGUUAAUUUUACAAUUUCAUACUUUGUUCAAUUAUAUGUACAGGUCCUUAACGUGUUGGUUGAUGUUGAAUAUUCAAAGAUCCACAAGCUAUCAACGACAACGAAUCAAAUUAAACUAAUUAGUUAAUACAUAAUGACUGGGUUGUUUCCUAUGUUGUUAAUGAUGUAGGACGUUAUUUUAGGAUUUUAGAAUUUUAAUUUUUAGGUCUUCUGAUAUUUUCUUUUUUAAUUAAAGUCAGUGUCUUAGUUUUUUAUUUAUUUAUGUUAUAAUUAUAAUUUACUUUCUCUUUUUAAGUUAACUUAGGAAAAUAUAUUUACUGUAUUAUAAAUAAAGAGACCUUGUUAUUACUUUAUAACUUCAACUUCAGUUAUUCAAUUAAAAACCCCUCUUUUAUAAUUUCCUUUUGUAUUAUCUAUUAAAAACCCCUCUUUUAAAGUUGUUUGAUUAGAGCAUCAUCUAGCCUUGCUUAACGCAGUAUUAAAAAUCCCUUUGAGUUUAAUCACACUUCGAUUAGAGCGUAACUUAAUCGCAUUGACUUGGUCCAGUACUUGAACGAUAUCUAGUGUUUUGCUUCCGCUAUGCCCAAGGAGAAAAUUAAUUUCACCGUGAGAUAAGAGCAUUAAAAGGAAUUCAUAAGAAAUUGGGAAAAUAUCCACCGUCCACCUGAUUUUGUCCACUUUUUUAAAAAUACACAAAUCUUAAUUUUUUUUGCUGCGCUACACCUAAACUUAUUUUUUUUUUCACAUUUCCACCUCCGUUUGCAAACCGUCAAAACGUUGCUGACGUCAUAAGGAUAAAAUAAUAAUUUCACUUGGGCUUCAAAAACAACUUCGUUUAAGAUCUGUAAUUUAACCUUUUCGUUUGAUUCUGGAGUAAGGUUGGCCCUACAAACCGGGCAUGUCACGUGAGAGGCUAAGUAGAGUGGGCUCUGACCGAAAAACUAAAUUUUUAUCUAUUUUGUGUAAAUUUACUGAUUAACCACCUCGAAUUCAAUAAUAUUUGUUUCAACCCAAUUAAAUAAUAUUAUAACCCCUGCCGACCCAUAAAAUCAUGGUUCCACGCACUAUAACCAUAUAAAAGGGCUUUAUUAAAACAAAACUGCAAUUAAGAUCAUUUAUCAAUUAAAUUAAGUAGUAAUUAAGACUUUGAUGGUGGAUUCUAUUAAUUGUUUCAAAGGAGUGUCGGAUUUGUCUUCUUUCUAUUGUUUUUUCAACUUUCAGAUAACAAAUUAACAUUAACACAUACCUAGCUAAAAAAGGAAACAAGUGAAGUAAUAUAAUGUCAACUAGGAAUAGGUCUAGUGCUUUAACCAACACCUUCAGAUACCUUAAUUUGAUUUUUUAAAAAUCAAAACAAAUUAAUGAAUUAAAACAUUAUAAUACUCCAAAUGUACUUAUGAAGUAACUUAAUUUAUUAUCGAUAAAAAAAAAAUUUAAUAACAUAUUAAUAUUAUUUAGUUCUUCAUGGUCAGUCUUUUUCUAAUGUGAAAUUUUGACAUUCACAAGAAAUUAUAGAAUACAUCAGAGAUAUCGUGUCAAUCAUACAACAAAUAAUUGAUGUUAUAAUAUAUGUGCAUUUAUUUUAACAAAUUACCAUGCAAGUAAUUGUUAUAUUAAAUUCAAUUAUUCAUAUUAUACAUACAUUAGUUAGUUGUAUUACCUUUAAUGAAUAAAGUUUUGAGAAGUGUGCUCAAAUCUUUUCGACCAUGAGGUCAUUACCAUUAGAGGUAUGUCUUGUUACAUCAAUAAAAGUCAUCACUUUCCUUUUGGUAAAUCAUCCAUUAAGAGUUCCAGACCAUUAGAGAUUAUAUAUUCUAAUGUAUGGGGUCCUGCUCUUAUUACUUCCAUUGAUGGUUUUAGAUAAUACAUUAUUUUUAUUAACCAUAUUACUAAAUAUGUCUGGCUCUAUCCUUUACGUAUUAAAUCAUAUGUUUUCUCAACAUUUAAUUCAAUAUAAAAAUGUAGUUGAAAAAUUUUUUCACACUAAGAUUGCUUCAGUAUAUACUGAUGGUGGUGGUGAAUUUAUUAAAUUAAAACAAUUUUUCAAUCAAACAGGAAUCUCUCAGUUACUCACACCACCAUAUACAUCUCGACUAAUCAUGAUCUUUCCGUUGUUUGGAUUGUAAAGCUUGUAUCCUUUGGAGUUGUUGUCAUAGCCGAUUCAGAUGAACUUCUCACUUUUGUCAUCCAGCUUAGCUCUUCUUUCGUCUGGUAUAUGUACAUGGGCAAUGCUUCCAAAACUCUUAGAUGGGUGAUGCCGGGCUUUCUUUCACUCUAAGCUUCUUGUGGCGUCUUGCCCCACACACUUCUUGUUGGAGAUUGAUUGGAUAAGUAGACUGCACAUGCAACAACUUCAGCCCAAAAUUCUUUAGGUAGCCUCUUACUCUUGAGCAUGCUUCUUGCAAUGUCGAGGAUGGUUCUGUUAUUCCUUUCCUCAACACCAUUUUGUUAGGGGGAUCUUGGAACUGUCCAAGGGCGUCAAAUUCCAUUUAUUUUAAAAAACUCUACAAAUUCUUUGGAAGUGAACUCUCCACCUCAAUUAUAUCUCAUGGCUUUAAUCUGGUAUCCACUUUCUUUUUCAACUACUGCUUUAAAAUUUUUGAAAGCUUUAAAAACUUUUGAUUUAAAAAAAAAAACACCUAAGUUUUCCUGAAAAAUCAUCUAUGAAGAGAAGGAAGUAGUUACUUUUACCAAGGGAGCUUGGCUUGAAUGGACCGCACACAUCAGUAUAAAUGAGCUCAAGUGGCUUCUGAGCUCUUGAGUUUGACUCCUUUGGAAAGCUCUUUCUGAACUGCUUGCUAAGUAAACAUCCUUCACAAAGUUAUUUGGUGGCUACCAUCUUUUGCACAAAAAAGAAUGUUACCUCUACCCUUUACUGGUACUUUUGAAUCAUCUCCAAAAGAGACACUGCCAUUUACAGAUUCAUUUAGUUCCACGAACAUGCUUCUGUUUCCGCUCAUAUGAUUGCUAGCACCUGUGUCAAGAUACCAUGUAUUUUCUUGACCUCCACUUGUGUCAUUGCGUGCUAGUAAAAGGGUUUCAUCUUCACCAUUUUUCUCUUCAACACAAUUCACUCUCUCAUCAAUUCUGGUAGUUGCAGCUCUACAUUCUGAAGCAUAAUGCCCAAACUUUUGACAAUUAUAGAAUUAUACUUGAGAUUUGUCAUACCUCGAUCUUGGAUUGCCUUUUCAUCGUCCUCUGGUUGAGCUUUCUCCUUCGGCAUAAUUGGAGUUGUUGUUCUUGAAAUUCCAACCUCAUCCAUGACCACGACCUCUACCUCGUCCUCGACCUCUACCUCGGACAUAAUGCCUUCUCUCAUUGUCGGAGCUUUCUUCUAUUUUCUUUGGAUUGACUUCUAUAUUGAGAAGUUGUUCUUUGAUUCCUUACUUCUUUUCCAGUUUUUCUUCAUAAGCUUGCAACCUUCCUUAAAAUUGCUUGAUCGUCAUAUCUUACAGAUUUUUUGUUUCCUCAAUUGUCACAAUAAUAUGGUCAAACUUCGAGUUUACUGAUCGAAGUAUCUUUUCAAUGAUCCUUACCUCUUUUAACUCCUCGCCAUUUCUUUUUAAUUUAGAGGAAACGGUCAUAACCUGAGUAAAGUAGUAAAAAAUUGACUAUAAUGCCUUCAUGUGUAAAGACUCAAAUUUUCCUCGUAAUGUUUAGAGAUGAACCUUCUUAACUUGGUCCACUUCUUUAUAAGAGAUCUCUAACUUCUCUUAUGCUUCUUUUUAAGAGAUUGCACUUGCAAUCUAUCUUCAUCUAAUGAUUGAAAGAUGAGAUACUUUGUUUUAUUCUCUUUCUUCUUCAAGUUUUUUAAAUUCUCCUUCUGUGCUGCAGUUAAAGUGGCUUCAUUUUCUGGCAGAAUAAAGUCUUUUUUCAUGACAUCUCAUACAUCAUGUGCACCCAAUAGAGCCUUCAUUUUAAUACUCCAGUUGUCAAACUUACUCCCCUUUAAUUGUGGAACUUAAAAUGACAUCAUACCACUAUUUGCCAUAACUCACAAAUUGACUGAGAAUUUGGAGAUUCUGAGUGGAUGGAUGGAACCGGCACGUCGAAAAACCUUGGAAGGGACUCAAGUCAACUUUCAGUCAAUGGUCAACACCGAUCAACGAUCUACGUCAGUCAACGGUCAACGUCGGCUUAGUUGACUUGGUUCGGUCCGGCUUGGUUCGGUUCGAGUUGGCUUGGUUUGACUUGAUUCGGUUCGGCUCAGCUCGACUUGGUUCGGUUUGGUUUAGCUUAGUUCAACUCGUUGAGUCGACUCAGCUUCAGAACAGAAAACUUCCGGUGGCUAGUACAGGUGCAUCUGAUCUCUUAUCGGGCUGAGUUUUAUGGCGUCGCGUUCCUCUUGUCGAGAUAUUCGAUUUGAUAUGUUAUAUGACUAUAUAUAACAUUGAUCACUAGCUCUGAUACUACUUUGUUGGAGAAUCAACAAAUUAAACACUAAAAAAACACUCUAUUUUAUUUCUUCAACAACACUCCUCAACUACAACUCUUAUUUUUCACUCUCUACAACUUAGAGAUUUUGUUACUUCACUUGAUGCAUAACCAAAUGACACAAGGGGGUAUUUAUAGUAUAUGAGAAGAAAUCUAAACUAUUCAAAUAAGAAAUUACAAAAAAUUAAUAACCAUUCAUCUUCACCUACUAAACCUACCACACCUAAAAUAAAUAAUUCAAACCUCACCAACCAUACCUACUCAUGGAACCUUCCAUGGGUUGGGCUUAUUAAUUUGUUUUUGAAUUUUUUUUUUAUCUUGGAUCAAGUCUAUGAUCCAACAAAAUUAACCACAAUAGUUUAUGGAAAACAAAUAAAUAAAAUUACACUAUCACAAAAUUUAGGUUGCAUGUGUAGUGCUAUAAAUGCACACCUGUUAGAGUAUUAUAAAAAAAUAAAGCAUCGCUUAGUUUGGCAUUAGAUUCAAAUACAUGUGCAUAAAUCUUUGUGUUUUUAUACAAAUUAAUAAAAGCACUCUGGUUGAAGUUGAAAGAAAUUUAGAUUUAUUGCAAAUAGAUGUAGGCAAUCAAAAAAACUAGAAUUAACAACUUAAUUAAUUUUCGUAAAUAUUGGUCAUCGUUACUGUUUACCGUUACUGUUCUUUGGCAUUGUUCAUGGUUACUGUUCAUCCGCAUCACGAAUAUAAGUUUCCAAAAACACAAUAAAUUGCAGAAAUUAAAUGACGCGGAGAUUUUUACGUGGUUCAGAUUAAUCAAUCCUACAUCCAUGGGGUUACGCCCAAGUGAAAAGUAAUUCAUUAAGUUGAGAUGUUAUAACCUAUGGAUUUAUCAAACUUAAAACUCUCAUUUACAGUUUAUCACCAUACAAUUUACUCAACCUUAGAGUGAAUAUGCUUCUCUUGAAUAAUUACUACCCCUCUUGAUCCACGAUCCUUAAGACACUUUGUAAAGUGAUCAAUAGGAAUUUUUUAAUAUCCAGUGAUCCAAGAUCCACAUAGACUCUUCAUAAAGAUGAAAAGAAGAUAAGAAAAUAAAUCAACACAACAUUAUGCACAAAAUUUGAAUUCUCUAGGGAGGAGACCGAAUUUUGCUUCUUUGUUUUAUGUCAAAUUCCUCACUGCUUGUCCUAAGGACUGUAAUAAUAAAUGGUACUCAGCAUAACAUAUGAUACAAGUUAGAAUCAACAGUAAAAGGGUUAAUCAAACCAUUGACUUAAAUCGAGUCUAUAAUGACUGUAAUCCUGAAUUAUUUGAGCCUAAAGCUCUUACCAGCAAAUGGGUAGUUGAGAUGAAAGUCCUCUAUAAACAACUUGAACGAAUAAGUAAAGAAUAAAAUAUGGCUUCACCAAGUCAUGACAGAAAAUAUAAGCAAAAAAGAAAACAUUUUAGCCAAACAAGCCAUCUUGAAAAAGAAGAAGGCAAUAUAUGAGAAUCUUGUGGAAUCUAGCUUACUAACACACCAUAGGAUAUGCAAGGUGCUUAAGCAUUGUGGCUUUUGCUAUAAAAAAUCAAAAGAAGAAUUUAGCGAGAAAAGACAUGUCACUAGAUGAAGAGCUUGUACUUAGUAUGUGAUAGGAGACCACUAAAAAGAUAAAAGAUGCUAGCUAAAAGCAUCAAUAAUUCAUAGAGAAUCCAAGGGAAAAGAUAAGGCUUAUCAGAAUCCUUACCUCAACCAUAUGAAGACUGUUAACCAUAAAAAAAAGAAGACAAUAGUUGUCUUCAAUAAUGCAAGGGGAAGGGUUAGCUUGUUUCUAGGAAGUCUACCAUGUAACAAGUGCUAUGUAAAAAAAGAUAAUCUCAUCUCUAAAAUCCAUAUGUGUCCUAUAAGAAGGGAUUAUGUUAUCUGUUCAAGUCUAUAAAUAGGGUCAUGUUAGAUAGGAGAUGUAUAACUCACGAAUAUACUCUUAUUCCCAUCUUUAUUCUCUCUUUAAAUUCAUAAAUAAAUUGAAAAAAAAAAACUCUUUUUGAGUGAAAUUAUCAUCUUUAUAUCUAUCUUAUUUAGACUUGAGAAAAAAAAUCAAGAAUCUUACAUGCCAACACUUGUGUUAAAUGAAAAAGAUUUCAUUUUAUUAAGCACUCUUCUAAAGGCAAUUGCAAGGGAUUCACAUAGAUAGAUCUUAUUAGGCAAGUCUGUAGUGUGUUGCAUUAGGCCGUGUAGAACAGUUACAGAAGUGAUCUUGCAUGAUGCGUGCAGCUAGAGCGAUGUUGACCAUGGGCCAAUCUAUGGUCUCGAGUUAUUAGCGAAUUUAUUCCCGAAUUUUGAGGAAUAGUACAUUGGCUAGUACAUGGAAUUAUCUUAUUAUAUUUUGGACAAACAGAAGCAUGUUAGACCUAGAUUAUCUUUUAGAUCUUACAAGAUAUAAAGUGAUAAGUGUAACUUAAUUUUCAUAAAACGUUGAAUGAUAAGUCAAGAAACUUCUAGAUGCCACAGAUAAUCUAGACUUUAGUUAGGAAUUUAAGUUAUUUAUGCAAUGGAAAUUGUUAAAACUCGAUUAAUUGCAAGCAAACGCUUGUAUAAAGACAUAAAGAAAAUAAACUUUGAAGAUAACAAUGAAAUAUAUGAGACCUUUUAGGAAGAAAAUAGAAUAACAUUAAUAGAAUCUAUCUAACCAAUCUUGAAAAAAUUUAAAACAGAUGUAAAACAAAUAACAGGACUCUAAACCAUCCAUAAUAAGUCUAUUGAUGGAUAAUAACAAUAAUAAUGAUGUGAACUUUUUGAUUGGGAAUGCUGAAUUUAGAUUACAAUACCAAUGUGAAAGGAUUGAUGGCAUGUACCUUGGUUGGGAAAAUAGAUUGGACAUCUCUAUAGAUUUGUUGGAAGAAAAAAUCUAGUUUAUGUCUCAAGAGAGACAAGAAAUGAUGAAUGCCGGUGCUAUAAUAUAUGAUGAUUUUUAUGAAUUUGAUAAUCAUUUAGAUCUUUAUAACAAUAUAAUUAAAACUUCAAAAAGCUUUAAAAAUAGAUGCAGAAGAGAUUGGAAAAAAAAAAUCGUCUAGUUGUUCAAAACCAAUUAAACAAAAAUAAAAUGUGAAAUCCUUGAAUUAUAUAAAUUAUAUAAUUUCACAAAAAAUUGUGCUUUGGUGCUUAGUAUGGGUAAUUAGUGCGGUAUAAAUGCUCAUUUUUCUUUUUCUUUUGUAAAUAAAUUAUUGCAUCUUAAUUUUGUUACAUGUUACGAAUUUUGUGUUUUAAAAUACGCAAUUUUGUUUUCGUAUUUUGGGUUAAUUUUAUAAUUUCGUACUUUGUUCGACUAUAUGCACAGGUCCUUAACAUGUUGAUUGAUGUUGAAUAUAUAUUCAAAGAUCCACAAACUACCAAUGACAACAAAAGAAAUUAAACUAAAUAGUUAAUACAUAAUGAUUGGGUUGUUUUUACUACUUGUUAAUGAUGUAGGACGUUAUUUUAAGAUUUUAAGAUUUUAUUACUUUAGCCAUUUGAUAUUUCUUUUUUUAAUUAAGGUGUGUGUCUUAAUUUUUUUAUUUCUAUUAUAAUUAUGAUGUAGUUUCCAUUUUUAAGUUAACUUAGGUUAGUAGAUUUACUCUAUUAUAAAUACAGAGGUCUUGUAAUUAUUUUUGUAACUUCAACUUCAAUUAUUCAAUUAAAAACUCCUAUUUCAUAAUUUCCUUUGCUAUUAUAUAUUAAAAAUCUCUCUUGUAGAGUUGUUUAGAUUAUAGCAUCAUCUAACUUUGCGUAAUGCAAUAUUAAAAAUCCCAUUUAGUUAUUUGAAUUAGAACGAGAUCUAAUAACACUUCGAUUAGAAUGUAACUUAAUUGUGUUGUCUUGAUUCAGUACUUAAACGAUGUGUAGUGUUUCUCUUCCGCUACGUUGCUCCGUCGAUUAACAUUUCUAGGGGAAAAUUAAUUUCACCGUGAGAUAAGAGCAUUAAAAGGAGUUCAUAAGAAAGUAAAAUUAAUGCUAUGUUAAAUGUAUCGCAAGCUACUUAUUUUUCUGGAAAUUGAAACGAUUAAUUAACUACGAGGUGAAAAUAAAUAAAUAAAUGAAUAUGAAGUUGAAAAUAAGUCUCGCCGCCUGGACCCAAGGCCAAAACAUUCAUGAUAAGUUAGGUAAUUAAAUACAUGUUUCAAGCUACAUGUUUUCAAUCUCUUCAUGAAGAAUGAUGAUAUUGAAGUAAAUCACAGAGACUUGCUGUUCAAAUCAUUACUUUGAUACAAAAAAUGCCAUAUCAUUAAAAGGAUCGUGACUUUUAAUUACUUUAUUCCCUGUUUGGGCAACAGCUAGCCACUAAAGAAAAUCAUAAAAUUUUAUGUUUAGUCAAAUUUGUGCCAACCUGAUGACACCGUUUUCAUCAUUUGGUUACUAAUGUUUAACAUCAAGGUUAUAUAUGACAAGUUUGGUAGAGCAGGUGAAAAGCCUAAGUCUAUAUAAGGAGGGGAAGGAGCUUGGUUUAUAGCACAACCGAAACUCCACUUUGCAUUGAACGAUGGGGUCUCAAACGGGCUAUCUCUUUGCCACUCUUUUGGUAAUAUCAGUCUCUCUUAGCCACUUGCCAUUAGAAGCCUCCGCAAACAAUUACUACUACACAUCUCCUCCCCCACCAAAGAAAUAUCCACCACCACCACCUCCCCCUCCCCAGUACAAAUCUCCACCACCCCCGCCACCGGUUCACAAGUCUCCACCACCACCCCCGGAUUACAAGUCCCCGCCACCUCCUCCACCAGCCUGCGAGCCUGCUCCGCCACCAACUCCAAUUUUCCCUUCUCCGCCACCUCCUGUCCCCAAGUUCUCGCCACCACCGCCUCACCCUUACGUCUAUGCAUCUCCCCCUCCUCCUUACUACUACUAGAAAGCGGCCAUGAAUAGCUCAUGCUUUUAUGGUAAUCUCAUUUAUUUUUAAAACUGUACAUGUAAAGACUAGUAGUUCAAAAUUACAUUAAGCAUUUCAAUUUUAAGCACCGUGUUCUGUUUAAUUGUGUUCCUAGUGAUUAAGUGACAAAUAAAAGAGACUGAUGAAUUUGUUCUUGUAGGAGAGGCGAAUGGUAUCCGAAUAAAGAAAGGGUUUGAUGAAAAGCUUACUGAGAGCAAGAUAGCGGUCGACCGAGUUGCCGCGUUUGAUUCUUUUUUGUCUUUUAUUUUUAAUGAAGAAUAAACAGCCACAUGUAGAAACAGAAAAGUUCUUGUCAUUUUCAUGCUUGUGGAUUGUUGCUGUGCGUGUCAAUCGAAUCUCUGGUGCGUCUUUUGUAAUUUUCAACUUUUAUACUUGCAAAUGCGAGACCUUUUUCGUAUAAUAAAAUUAAUAUACUUCGCAAGAUGGUCUUAUCAUGCGUUAAACUUUAUGUUCCUUUGGUGAUGAUUGUGACGUUUAAAAUUGAUGACUAUUGUUUUUGUAAACUCUGCAUGGAUUUUUCGUGCAACUAUAGAGCGCAUUGACGAGAGUCUUAUCCAUGAGGGUCCAUGUAGAUCAGUGUCUAUUAACCAAUAAUUAAUAUAACUUAAAAAAUAUAGUUAAUCAGUCAUGCUCGAGUGCAAAUGUUGGUACAAAAUUUCGUGCCAAUGUGUACUUGAGUAUGAUUAUAAGUUUUAAUCAUUAUUAAUAAUUCAACCAACAAGUGCAUAGAUCAACUGGCGUGGGGUUGUUCUAACUUAACCAAGGUUCUCGGUUCGAAACUUGGGAAUGCAGCUGCGUUAAAUACUUGUUGGGAGAGCUUUGCCGCCCUAGUGGUCCUACCCGACUCGAAUCUGAAUUAGUUCAGGCCCAAUGUGGUCUUCAGAUACCAGAUGGUUUAAUACACCGAAAAAAAUAAUUCACUUGAUAAUAUUAAACAAAAUUUCACAUCAAUUAAGUUAUAAUAUUGAUUACCUUAUAUAUUUAGUGAUUUUGUAUUUAAAUUGAAUAAUGAUAAUUUUGGUUUCAUAGGGAAAAUGACUAACGCACACCAAAUGUUUAAGGAAAGGGACAUGAAAGUCCCUAACAUUUUAGAAAAGACACUUAAACCCCAAAUUGUUAAUAAAUUCUGUUAAUUUUAACAGAUUUUUUUUUUUCAACUUAUAAUUACUAUUAUCUCCCUAAAACAUACAAGUCAAUAUAUUAACUUGUCAUUUUGCCCAUUAAUUAUUAAUAAAAUUAUGAAUAUACCCUAAUUUAUAAGGUUGAAAUGCAUGUAACAUAUCCAAAGUCCCUACAAAUUAGAAUAGGAGUUAAACACCGCACACAGAUACUAAUGACAUUUUAAAAUGGAAUGGAGUUAUUACCUUAACUAAUCCUUGUGUAACGGAUUCCAAAAGCCUUUUAUUGCUACCAAUACCAAAUUAGUCCAAAUCUCCCUUUGUCUGGAGACCAAAUAAUACAGUAAGGCAAGCUUGAGGUUCAUCACGCAGCACAUCUCCAAUCAGCAUCGGAGCUCCAUUUCUCUGUCUCCUAAACAGCACUUCACAAGUUAUUCCUGUUCACUCUUUCAGGACUAUCAGUAGGGCAGUAAUCUCCAUGUCUACGAUGGGAAGAUUGCCCUGGAGUUGGGAUGUUUUCAGGAAAUACAAACCCUAAAGAAGUGACCGGCCUUAAUCAAUUGUUGGUUCCAGGGAUAAUUAGGGUACAAAUGGCACGGCUUCAGGAGCGAUAGAUGGAUUAUAAAUGCAUUGGACCUCAUAAGGGCGAUCUUAAGCAGUCUUGGGAGUGGGACUAGAACUACGAUAGUGUUAGGCUUCAGAUGGUUGCUCUUGGCGAAGAUUAGCCGGAGCAACAAAGGCAGGAUUGUCGGCAGGAUUGUCAAGUGCAACAUUCUUAGCUUGUCUUUGAUUGAGUCACUAACCGAAACCAUCUGAGUGUCAUUUUUAUCAGCAGGACCAGUCAGAAAUUCAUCCUCAAAUGUUUUCUUGAUUGAAAAGUAGCUUUGUCAAUGACUCAAUCAGCAGUGUCAAAAUCAAAGAAAUCACUUUCCCUUAUCUUAAAUUUUCUCCACGAAGAAAGAUGAUCCAAAGGAGAAAUCUUCAUGCAUUUUUCAGGAAAAAGUGUAUCAUCCGAGUAACCCCAGAGAAAGAAGAACUCAUCAUGGUUAGUUAAUGUUGUUGAUAAUUUCAUGUACUAGCAUAGACCAGAAAGCACUUAAUUCAUGACGAACCUAGAAGAAAGGUUAAAAAACAAUAUAACACACCACUUAUAAAGAAGAGAGGUGGCAGGGAGAGGAAAUAACUAAUUCAGCAAGCGCAUAAGACAUAGAAGAUAAUAAUGUUACCUUUUGUAGGAUAACUAACUCAAAAGGAUAGGCCUUUGAAGAUCUAGUGACCUGCUUGCUUUCCAGCAAAACUUCCAUGCAUUCAAGCACUGAAUUUGACGUAAAGCCAAGAUUGUAGCCUCCUUCCAAUGCCAAAACAAUCUUGCCUUUUGCAAAAUCCAUCAACUGGAGAAAGAAAAUUACAGAUGUGGAAUGCGCCAAAGACUCGAAAGUCAACCCAAAAUCAGUAGCUUGCAAGAAAAGCCACAAGAUAAAUACAACAAAAUGAAAAUAUUAAACCAUAUCAUCUUGUUGUCAGCCUUAGAAAUUUAGCAUUCCCUCCAUUCUGUGUUCUACAAUUUGAAACAUCAAUAUAAAAAUGCUAAAAUAUUAGAGUAAAGAGAAGAUAAAAUUUGAAUGCUACUCUUUUUUAAUAUAAUUGAAUAUCCAUAUGGUGUGCCCCAACAGUCCCCUAAAGAAUCACCAGUGGCUGUUCUGUUCCAAGCAUUGUGUUAGAAAGAUUUAUCAGAAAAAAAGAUUAAAAAAUAACGAAAGUAGGCAUGUUGGAGUUAUGAAGCUCAAAUAUGAACUUAGGGAUAUGUAUGACACGUCGCUUGUUUGUCAGGAAGAAUAACGACAUGUUGAGCAUUGGAGUUCAGAGCAGCUGAAUGAUACAAACGUUAUGUCGGCUGGAUGUGUUAGUAAUGCACGUGAUGCGUCACAUGUUCCACUAAUUCAAACGGCAGCCACAUCUGCGUUUUAGUUAGCAGAUUGCGUGAACAAUUGACAAGUGUCCCAGAGCAAAUUCAAGAAGUGGUUUUUUCGGUUAGAUCAUGCGGGAGGCAGCUGGAGAUCUUCUUGGUUGGAAACCCAGGAGGUGAUCAGGUUGAUACUCAGCUUUCAACGCCUGUUACAAAACAGGAAGAACAGCAACAACCAGAUGAUCAACACAAGAAUAUCCCUGAACAACCAUCACUUUUAGAACCUCGUCGUAGUGGGAGGGUAACUAGGUUACCUGCGAGAUACAUACUUUUGGGAGAAACUUAUACAGCUAUCUCAGAUGAACAUGUACAAGAUCCCACUAGUUACAACAAAGCUCUAAUAGAUAGAGAUGUUGAAUUUUGGAAAAAGGCCAUGAAUCAAGAAAUGGAAUCUAUGUAUUCCAAUAAAGUCUGGGAACUUGUAGAGGCACCAAAUGGGGUAAAACCUAUAGGGUGCAAGUGGAUCUACAAGAGAAAAAGAGAAGUAAACGGAAGGGUGGAAACAUUUAAAGCAAUAUUAGUAACCAAAGGGUUGUAUUUAGAAAGAGAAAUUGAUUAUGAGGAAACCUUUUCCCCGGUUGCUAUGCUUAAAUCCAUUAGGAUUCUGCUCUCCAUUGCUGCAGUGCUAGAUUAUGAAAUUUGCCAAAUGGAUGUCAAGACUGCCUUUCUUAACGGGCAUCUUGAAGAAAAUAUCUGCAUGCAGCAACCAGAUGGAUUUAUACAAAAAAGGCCAAGAACACAUGGUUUGUAAGUUGCAGAGAUCUAUUUUUGGAUUGAAGCAAACAUCCCAGUCAUGGAACAUCAGAUUUGAUCAAGCGAUUAAAUCGUUUGGAUUCAUUCAGAACAUUGAUGAAUCAUGUGUGUACAAGAAAAUUCAAGAAAAAUUUGUAGCCUUCCUAAUUCUUUAUGUAGACGAUAUUCUCCUAAUUGGAAAUGAUAUAGGAGUAUUGACUACAAUAAAAAGUUGGUUAGCAAAACAAUCUGAUAUGAAAGACCUGGGAGAUGUAAGUUAUAUUCUUGGUAUCAAGUUACUACGAGACCGGAAGAAUAAAAUUUUACCUUGUCUCAAGCAGUCUAUAUCAAUAAGAUAUUGGCUAGAUUUAGCAUGGAAAAUUCCAAGACUGGUUUAUUACCAUUCAAACAUGGAAUUACAUUCUCUAAAGAUCAAUCUCCUAAAACAUCUGAAGAGAUAGAGAGAAUGAGACGAGUUCCCUAUGCAGAAGCUGUGGGAAGUCUCAUGUAUGUCAUGCUUUGCACUAGGCCCGACAUCUGUUUUGCGGUAGGGAUAGUUAAUAGAUAUGAAUCUAAUCCUGGACCUAAACACUGGACUGCGGUCAAGCAUAUAAUGAAGUAUCUGAAAAGAACUAAAAAUUAUAUGCUUGUGUAUUCUGGUGAUGAACUCAUUCCAGUGGGUUAUACUGAUUCUGACUUUAUGUUAGAUAAGGAUUCCAGAAAAUCAACUUGCGGCUAUGUGUUUACAUUAGGAAGUGGAGCUAUUAGUUGGAGGAGUGUGAAACAAUCUUGUAUCGCAGACUCCACAACUGAAGCUAAAUAUGUGGCUGCAUCCGAAGCUGCAAAAGAAGCUGUAUGGCUCUGCAAGUUCCUACAAGAUCUUGAGGUGGUACCUGCUGUAACUGCACCCCUUAAACUAUUUUACGAUAAUAGUGGUGCGGUAGCUCAAUCUAAGGAACCACAAGAAACAAAAACAUAUUGAGAGGAAGUAUCAUCUUAUAAGGAAAUAGUGUAGAAAUGUUAUAUGACAGUGCCCCAAAUGACAUUAGAUGCUAAAUGACAGAUCUUAUUACAAUAGCCAUUAGUGGAAAACCUUUAUAACCUGCACUUAGAGCCCUAGAGCAUGUGCAAUAUGCCAGAUAUGCUUUAAGAGCUAGUGGGAGAUUGUUGGAAAAAUAUGCUCUUUAAAAGCAUAUGUGUUUAUUUAAUUGUAAUAAACAAUUUUUCUGAUUAAUAAAAUAAAUGAGGUAUUUUAUUCAAAUAUCUUAAUUGCAUUAAUAUUUUUAUUAAAGUCCAUUUAAUCAUAUUAUAUGUAUUUAUGUGAUCACCAUGUGGAUUCACAGAAGACAUAAAUACAAGUUAUCUUAUGAUUAAAUAAAUUUAGUUCGCAGUUGAUAAAUAAAGUUGGGCACUUUAUUUAGGUAUAGACUGUAAUAAAUUUAUUGAAUGAUUUGUCUUAAUCAUGUAUGAAUUUAUUGAUGUAGUACGACUACAUUGAACAGGAUCACAUAUGAGAUUUAAUUAUAACUGUCAGACUUAUUAAAUCUCAUAGGCAUUGAUUUUACUGUAAUCUUAAUAUUGAGUUAAUUAUGAUUUCAUGAUUGUAAUUGUUAUUCCAUUUGAGUUACCAAUGGGCACGACAUAUACUUGUGGUCAAGAUUACCCAGUAUCUUGGUGGGAGCAAUUAUGAGUAUUGGAGUUAUGGAUUAACAAUAUAGAAUUUGUACAACACAUCUCUUGAUGGGUUUUCGGCACUUGAUCAUAUAAUUCUCUGGCCAGAGUGUGUCAACAUAUUUAGUAUGUUGAAAAUAAUCAUUAACGAAAACCAGUAAGUAUUAAAGAACAAGAUGUAAUUAAAUUGAUUGGAUAGUUGAGAUAUCGAUUUAAUUAAUGAUGUGGUACAAAGGAUUGUGCAGUAAAGAAAUCAAUGUGGCUUGAGACGAAUUAUUAUUCGAGCAUAUAAUUAUGGAAGUCAGUUCCAAUCUUUUAGUGGAGUAUUCCAAUCUUUUAGUGGAGUAGAUUUAGAAUUAAAUAAUUGAGCUAGUUUAAUUACAUGUCUAAUUAUUGUAGCCACUAUUGUAUGUUCCCAAAUGAUCCCCGGGUUAGCUCAUUUAAUUGACUGCACCACUAUUGGAUUAAUAAGCAAGAUAACUAGCUAAUUGGGUCAAAAGCCUAAAUAUAUCAUUUAGUGGGAGGCUCCAUUUAAUUAGUUUGUGUGUAAGGGGCCUUAUGUUAUUUUACAAGGUGGGUCCCUUAUAGAAAAAGCAAGUAAUGUGAGUUUGUUUUUGAUUAUUUGGAGCCUAGGGUUUUCACUAAAGGGAGAUAUAAAAGGCUUAUUUUCUCUAAAGAAAAGAGAUAGCAGCCACUUUAUAUAGAUCAGAGAAAAAGAUUUUUCUCUCUAUUGUUGAGAGAAAAAUUUUCUCGUGCUAGUUGAUUUGGUAGUGAUAAAGGUGCCCACACGUCAAGUGCAGAUCAAACCUGAGUCAUAAUCUGAAAGAUAAUUGGUGACAGUUCGUGAUCUAACAAGCGUGGUGGUGACGGAUCGUGAUCUAACAGACGUGGUGGUGACGGAUCGUGAUCUAGGAGCCUAAAUCACUUCAGCGGAAAAAUCUAAAUCGAAUUUUCAAGGUACGAUUUCUAGAUUACGUAUUCUUAUAUAUUAUAUGAGAGCGAUCUUAAAAAUGUUUUAUAAAAAAUUUAAAAAACUUAUCUUUCCCCAACAUAUGGAACCAUGCAAAAGGGCUUUAUUCAAACAAAGCCGCAUAGCCGUUGGCAAUCAAAAUACUUUAUCAAUUAAGUUAAGUAGUAAGAAUUGGAUUGUGGAUUCUAUUAAUUAUUUCAAGGAAAAUUUUAUAGAUAAUGGCGUAAUGAAAUUUACGGCAUCAAUACCAUGAUAAAUAUAAAUAUUGUAAAUUACAAAUAGAAUUAGUAAAUGUAAAGUAAAACCAGUAAAUUCAUAAAAGAUUAUUAAUUAUUUAAAAAAUUAACAUUGUUUCUACAUAAUUUUAGUGAAAAAUAUUUUAUUCAUUUACAAAAAAAAAAUUCUUUAAUUAAAAAAAAUCAUUAAUUAAAUAAAAAAUUAUACUGAAACAAAAGUGGAAUAAGUUUAAUUGAAUUGGUUACCAUAAAUUCUAUAUUUAGUCUAGAACAUUUGUAUACAUUUUUUUUCCCAUUUUCUAUAAUGAUAUCUAUUUAUUACACAUGUUAAUUAAGUGUAAUUAUUUAUCUUGAUGUGGAUCAAGUAAAAAAAAAAAAAGAGAUAUCAAUAAAAUUAGAUCUAAUUUUGAAUAUUAUGUAUACUUUAUGUAGUUUCAAACAUUUUACCUGUAUUUGGAGACCAUUUAAGGUUGUUGUUGAAGAAGUGUAGAAAGAUGUAAAAUAACGUCAUCUUACAACAAUUAUAAUGAUAUCUAUUUAUUACACAUGUUAAUUAAGCACAAUUAUUUAUCUUGAUGUGGAUCAAGUAAAAAUAAAAAAAAAGAUAUAUCAAUAAAAUUAGAUCUAAUUUUGAAUAUUAUGUAUACUUUAUGUAGUUUCAAACUUUUUACUUGUAUUUGGAGACCAUUUAAGGUUGUUGUUGAAGAAGUGUAGAAAGAUGUAAAAUAACUUCAUCUUACAACAACUAUGAAAGAUAUUAAAAUAAUAUUUUUUUCAAAAUCCGAUUUUGAGCAAAAAUUUCAUCCUUAAUUAAACAUCACAUGUAUUAUGGAAAUGCAAAACUACCAUUGUUAUAUUUAAAUUAAAAAAUAAUAAAUAUAUAAGGUAAUAAACAUUAUAACGAGUUUUUAUUUUAAAAUUGUAAACUUUUGUUUCUAACAAUAACUCUUAUAUUAAUUAAUUUAUUUUUCCUUUUAUUCAUAAGUUUUAUGCUUAAUCUACAAACUUUAUGUUUUAUUUUGCAUUUAAUGUUGAUUUACUUUUUUUAUAUUAUACUUAUAAGUUUUCAUUUUAUUUACCAGUAAUACAUCAAUUUAUCAAUUUUGUAGUAAUUUACUUAUUUUACUUUCCUUUUACAAUUCUUAUGUUUAAUUUCCAAAGUUUAUGUUUUAUUUUACAGUUGUUGAUGAUUUACUAGUUUUAUGUUAUGUUUGCAAGUUUUUGUUUUGUUUACUAGUAAUAGAUUAAUGGGUAAUUUUUAAUUGAGUCCUCAUUAGAUCUAGAAAAAUAAUUCAGUGACCAGAAGUUUACUAAAUGAAUCAAUUAAAUUCUUUCAAAUACAAACUAAUGUCAUUCAAGUCCUUAACUUAAUUGCUCAGUUAAAAAUACUAACAACGUUGAGGACAUUUUAGUAAAACAACAAUUGAGUCGUUUCUCAUUCUUUAUUUUUGACAGGUGGAAAUAGUUUAAAGUAAAAAAUAAUCAAGGCCUAACUGUUAACAUGUAGAUGUUCAUUAUAUUGAUUUUGAUGAUAACAAACUUUAAAUAUUUUUUAUUAAAAUGUUGGAGUUUUCAUUACUAAACAAUUUCUCAAAAGUCGUAUGAUCUUUCUAAAUGUGUUCAUGAAAUAUGGAGAAUCGUUAACUUUAACCGAAAAAUCAUUCCCUGCGAAAUUUGGUUAAAAUUGUGAUUCUGGAAGUAAAUGGUGAACCAUUAACUUCAAACGGCCAACCAAUAAUUUCCAGAAUGUCAUUCCAUGCUGACCUUCAAUCGUUUAGCAAGAACCGAUAGCAGAAAUUUGUUUUACAGGUUUAUGGAAAUUAACAGCAAACCGAUAGUGUCAAAAGAUCAACUGUUUAUUUGAAAUUUAUCGCAACGGUCACUUGAACCAGUCAAAACGGUUAACUGAUAACGGUUAACGGCGAUCCAAUUUCGGGAAAAAGUCAACAAUGGCUAUUUUUCAACUCCAACAUUAAAUAAGCUCAAUCAAAUUCAAACUCAAACAAGAGCUGAUCACAACAUUAUCAUUGAGCUUAUAAUCGAGAAUACAACAUUCAUUGAGCUUCAAAUUAAUUCUUGUUCAUUUAUUCACACAUUAAGCGUUGAUUUGUAAUCUCAAAAAAUUGUGUGAGAGAAAAAUAAAUUUGUAAUCUUUAUUUUGAGUGAUUGUAAAUGUUGGGAUACACUUGGGUUAAGAGAUUGGGGAUAAUCUCUUGAUGUAAAGGUUGAUUGACGCCUAAGAAGUUAGUUGUAAGUGUUCUUGAAGCCUUGAAGGCUUGACUAGUGGAAUGCCCAAGCUCCGUGUGCUUGGAGGCGUGGAUGUAGGCAAGGUUGGCCGAACCACGUAAAACUCUCUAUAUUUUAAUCUCUCUUCCCUUAUCUUUUUAUAUUUUGGUUGAUUUAUUUAUUAUUGCUUUAAAUUUGUUUAAGAUUUGCAUUAAGUUUUGUUUAAGAAUUGCAUAAUUUUUAGAAACCCAAUUCACCCCCCUCCUGGGUUGCUUAGAUAUUAUUUCACUAACAUGCCUCUGUUUGUGCAAAAUAUAAUAAGGUAAUUUAGAGUACUAACCAUAGUACUCUUCCUCGAAAUUCUAGAAUAGGUUCGCUAGUUCCAUGAGCCCAUAGAUUGGCCCAUGCUCAGCACUGUUAUAGCUCCACACAUUAUGCAAGAUUACUCCCGCAACUAUUCCACACGACCUAAAGCAACACAUUGCCGACUAGCCCAAUAAGAUCUGCCUUAGUUCAUUAGUUGAAUAAUUUAUUUUAAUUCUAAUUUAUAAUAAGAAUGGCACUGAUAAAAUUACUGUAGCAAUUCCUAUAAUAAUAAUCCUUGUGGAGACGAUCUUGAAUACUAAUCGUUAUAUUACUUGUUGUGUACAUUUUCACAUUGACACUAAUAGCAUUAGAAAAUCGACAACAAGUUUUUUGCGCCAUUACCGGGGAUUGGUGCUUAUUGUGUUUUGUGAAAUCAAUUUUAGUUGGUACAAUAGAGUUCUUUGCCACCAGACUCCAUCACCACAUGGAAUGAUUUGGCUGACAAUAUUUUGAUGAAAUAUUUCCCACCAACAAAGAAUACAAAGUUGAAGAAUGAGAUCACAUCUUUCCAUCAACUUGAAGAUGAAAGCUUGUAUGAUGCAUGAGAAAGAUUCAAGGAGUUACUCAGGAGAUGCCCUCAUCAUGGUAUUCCUUAUUGCAUACAAUUGGAAACUUUCUACAAUGGGUUGAACUCAAGCACUAAGGGCUUUAUUGUCUAACUCAUAUAAUGAGGCUUAUGAAAUUUUGGAAAGGAUAACUAUCAAUGGCCAUCAACUAGACAAGCCACAGUGAGAGGAGCAGCAGGAGUACACAAUGUGGAUGCACUGACAACAUUAUCAGCCCAAGUAACCUCAUUGACAAAUAUGGUAAAAGCAACGGCCACUGCUCCAACAACAGUUAACCAAGUUGCUGAAGUCUCUUGUGUUUAUUAGAGAGAGGGACAUCUAUAUGAUAAUUGUCCUAUGAAUUCAGCUUCAGUCAAUUAUGUGGGCAAUUUUAAUAAACAAAAUCAAAGCAAUCCAUUUUCAAACAGCUAUAACCUUGGAUGGAGACAUCACCGAAAUUUUUCAUGGAGCAAUCAGAAUCAGCAUGCUGCAGCAUCUAGUGGACAGAACAGACUUGCUCAACCACCUGGUUUUCACCAGCAAUUAUAAGGGUAAAGAAACACCAGUAAUGAUCAAUUUAGUUCCCUUGAAACUCUAAUUAAGGAGUAUAUUGUGAAGAUUGAAGUAGUGGUCUAAAGCCAAGUUGUAUUUUUAAGAAACUUGGAGAAUAAGAUUGGAUAGCUUGCUACAACAUUGAGCAACAUACCUCAGGACAGUUUACUAAACAAUACAGAGGAUCCAAAGAGAGAAGGAAAAGAGCAUUGUAAGGGGAUUAACUUAUGGUCUGGAAAGGAUGUUCAUAUUCUUGUUAAAGUACCAAAAAGAAAAGUGGAACCUAAUUCAACCCAAAGGGAAACUCAAAUUAAAGAAGAGACACAACAACCCAUUUUCCAGCACACUGGUGAGAGUUGCUAAGCUAUAACAACUGCAAAAAAACAUGAUUCAAUGCUUGUUGAGGAAGAAGCUGCAACACCAACAAUAACAGACCAUAAUAGAGCAAGAGAAAAGCAAUUUGUAUAGUCUGCUGCAGUACAACAAUUUACACAUCCACCAACAUUUCCACAAAGAUUUCAAAAGCGAAAGCAAGACAAGCAAUUCAAUAAAUUCUUGGAAGUAUUGAAACAACUGCAUAUCAACAUUCCUUUUGUGGAAGCAUUAGAACAAAUGCCAAAUUAUGUAAAGUUUUGGAAAUGUAUAUUGGCAAGGAAAAUGAGGCUUGGAGAAUUUGAAAUAGUUGGCCUAACACAAGAAUGCAGCCAUAUGCUUCAAAGUAAAAUGCCUCAAAAGAUGAAGGAUCUAGGAAGUUUCACAAUUCCUUGUUCCAUAGGAACUAAAUAUAGUGGCAAGACACUUGGGUAAUUUUUAGGGACCUCCCCUGAGGAUUGGUGUAUUAACACUUAGAUGGAAUGUAUUCGUGAAAUUACAAAUACCUCCCCUGCCGUUAGUAUAAAAAUACGUAUAACAUCAGUAUAGAAGGGUAAAUGUGUAAAAACAUAUUAAAAACUAAAAAUGUAUGCUUUUACUAGAUCAAUAAAAUUUUGACCACCACUUGCCACCUGUUGACCCACCCUUGAGCAGCUGAUCAUGGCUCCACCGGUGGCUAGUGGUGGUGCUUUACUAGUGUUGGAGUUCCCUCCUCACACCGGCGACCAACCCCAUUCACGGUCCUUGUGGCAAUAAUUAUGGGACUAGUGUAGCAUAAAUACUAAUAUUGCUUUUUAUUUUGUAAAUUAAUUGUUGCGUCAUAAUGUUUUUACAUACACAUUUUAUGUUUUAAAAUAUGAAUUUUUUUUUUGUAUUUAGGGUUAAUUUUACAAUUUCAUACUUUGUUCAAUUAUAUGUACAGGUCCUUAACGUGUUGGUUGAUGUUGAAUAUUCAAAGAUCCACAAGCUAUCAACAACAACGAAUCAAAUUAAACUAAUUAGUUAAUACAUAAUGACUGGGUUGUUUCCUAUGCUUGUUAAUGAUGUAGGACAUUAUUUUAGGAUUUUAGAAUUUUAAUUAUUAGGUCUUCUGAUAUUUUCUUUUUUAAUUAAAGUCAGUGUCUUAGUUUUUUAUUUAUUUAUGUUAUAAUUAUAAUUUACUUUCUCUUUUUAAGUUAACUUAGGAAAAUAUAUUUACUGUAUUAUAAAUAAAGAGAUCUUGUUAUUACUUUAUAACUUCAACUUCAGUUAUUCAAUUAAAAACCCCUCUUUUAAAGUUGUUUGAUUAGAGCAUCAUCUAGCCUUGCUUAACGCAUUAUUAAAAAUCCCUUUGAGUUUAAUCACACUUCUAUUAGAGCGUAACUUAAUCGCAUUAACUUGGUCCAGUACUUGAACGAUAUCAAGUGUUUUGCUUCCGCUAUGCCCAAGGAGAAAAUUAAUUUCACCGUGAGAUAAGAGCAUUAAAAGGAAUUCAUAAGAAAUUUAAAUUAAAGCUAAGUUAAAUAUAUCGCUAGCUACUUGUUUUCGGAGGAAUUAAAACAAUUAAUAAGCUGCGAAGUGAAAAUGAAUAAAUAAAUGAAAUGAGGUUGAAAAUAAGUCUCGCCGCCUGGAUCCAAGGCCAAAACAUUCAUGAUAAGUUAGGUAAUUAAGUACAUGUUUUCAAGCUCUUCAUGAAGAAUAACGUUAUUGAAAUAAAUCACAAAGACUCCCUGCGCAAAUUAUUACAUUGAUUAAAAAAAAAAAGCCAUAUCUUUAACAGGAUCGUGACUCUCGGACUGUUAAUUACUUUAUUCCCUGCUUGGCCAACAGCUGGCCACUAAACAAAAUCAUAAAAAAUUUAAAUUUAGUCAAAUUGGUCCCACUUGAUGACAUCCUUUUCAUACAUAAAAUUGUUUAACGUCAAGGUUAAAUAUGAGAAGUUUGGUAGAGAAGGUAAAAAGGACGUCUAUAUAAGGAGGGGAACGAGCUUUGUUUAUAGCACAAGUGAAACUCCACUUUAUUGAACGAUGGGGUCUCAAAUGGGCUGCCUCUUUGCCACUCUUUUGGUAGUAUCAGUCUCUCUUAGCUACUUGCCGAUAGAAGCCUCCGCAAACAAAUACUACUACACAUCUCCUCCCCCUCCCAAGUACAAGUCUCCACCACCACCCCCGCCACCGGUUCACAAUUCUCCACCACCACCCCCGGUUUACCUGCCCCCGCCACCUCCUCCACCAGUCUACGUGCCUGCUCCGGCACCAACUCCAAUUUUCCCUUCUCCGCCACCUCCUGUCCCCAAGUCCCCACCACCACCUCACCCUUACGUCUAUGCAUCUCCCCCUCCUCCUUACUACUACUAGAAAGCGGCCAUGAAUAGCUCAUGCUUUUAUGGUAAUCUCAUUUAUUUUUAAAACUGUACAUGUAAAGACUAGUAGUUCAGAAUUACAUUAAGCAUUUCAAUUUUAAGCACCGUGUUCUGUUUAAUUGCGUUCCUAUUGAUUAAGUGACAAAUAAAAGAGAUUGAUUAAUUUGUUCUUGUAGGAGAGGCGAAUGGUAUCCGAAUAAAGAAAGCAAGGGUUUGAUGGAAGGCUUACUUGGAGCAAGAUAGCGAUCAAUCGAGUUGCUGCGUUUUAUUCUCUUUUCUCUUUGUUUUUUAAGAAAAAUAAACUGCCACACGUAGAAACAGAAAAUUAAGUUCUUGUCAUUUUCAUGCAUGUGGAUUGUUGCUUUGUGUGUCAAUCAAAUCUCCGUUGUGUCAUUUGUAAUUUUCAACCUUUAUGCAUGCAAAUGCGAGACCUCUUACGUAUAAUAAAAUUAAUAUACUUCCCAAGAUGGUCUUAUCUUGCGUUGACUUUUUACGUUCCUUUGGUGAUGAUUUUAACGUUUGAAAUUGAUGAGUAUUGUUUUUGUAAACUCUGACAUGGAUUUUUCGUGCAACUAAAGAGCGCAUUAAUGAGAGACUUAUCCAUGAGGGUCCAUGCAUAUCAGUGUCUAAUUAACCAAUAAUUAAUAUAACUUAAAAAAUAUAGAGUUAACAAUUUUUAUGGGUCAGGCUCAAUUGCAGAUGUUCGUACAAAAUUUCUUGCUAAUGUAUACUUGAGUAUGAUAAUAAGUUUUAAUCAUUAUUAAUAAUUCACUUGACAAUAUUAAACAAAUUUUCAUAUCAAUUAAGUUACAAAAUUUCUGUGACAAAUUUCCACGUACUGGAACCAUGCAAAAGGACUUUAUUCAAACAAAGCUGCAUAGCCGUUGGCAAUUAAAAUUAUUUAUCAAUUAAGUUAAGUAGUAAGAAUUGGAUUGUGGAUUCCAUUAAUUAUUUCAAGGAAAAUUUUAUAGAUAAUGCCGUAAUGAAAUUUACGGCAUCAAUACCAUGAUAAAUAUAAAUAUUGUAAAUUACAAAGAGAAUUAGUAAAGGUAAAGUAAAACCAGUAAAUUCAUAAAAGAUUAUUAAUUAUUUAAAAAAUUAACAUUGUUUCUACAUAAUUUUAGUGAAAAAUAUUUUAUUCAUUUACAAAAACAUUUCUUUAAUUAAACAAAAAAAAUUCAUUAAUUAAGCAAAAAAAUUAUACUGAAAAAAAAAAGUGGAAUAAGUUUAAUUGAAUUGGUUAUCAUAAAUUCUAUAUUUAGUCUAGGACAUUUGUAUACAUUUUUUUUCCCAUUUUCGAUAAUGAUAUCUAUUUGUUACACAUGUUAAUUAAGUGCAAUUAUUUAUCUUGAUGUGGACCAAGUAAAAAAAAAAAAAAAAAAAGAGAUAUCAAUAAAAUUAGAUCUAGUUUUGAAUAUUAUGUAUACUUUAUGUAGUUUCAAACUUUUUACUUGUAUUUGGAGACCAUUUAAGGUUGUUGUUGAAGAAGUGUAGAAAGAUGUAAAAUAACUUCAUCUUACAACAACUAUGAAAGAUAUUAAAAUAAUAUUUUUUUCAAAAUCCGAUUUUGAGAAAAAAUUUCAUCCUUAAUUAAACAUCACAUGUAUUAUAGAAAUGAAAAACUACCAUUGUUAUAUUUAAAUUAAAAAAUAAUAAAUAUAUAAGGUAAUAAACAUUAUAACGAGUUUUUAUUUUAAAAUUGUAAACUUUUGUUUCUGACAAUAACUCUUAUAUUAAUUAAUUUAUUUUGCAUUUUAUUCAUAAGUUUUAUGCAUAAUCUACAAACUUUAUGUUUUAUUUUGCAUUUAAUGUUGAUUUGGUUUUUUUAUAUUAUACGUAUAAGUUUUCAUUUUAUUUACCAGUAAUACAUCAAUUUAUCAGUUUUAUUGUAAUUUACUUAUUUUACCUUCCUUUUACAAUUCUUAUGUUUCAUUUUCAAAAUUUAUGUUUUAUUUUACAGUUGUUGAUGAUUUACUAGUUUUAUGUUAUGUUUGCAAGUUUUUGUUUUGUUUACUAGUAAUAGAUUAAUGGGUAAUUUUUAAUUGAGUCCUCAUUAGUUCUAGAAAAAAAAUUCAGAGACCAGAAGUUUACUAAAUGAAUCAAUUAAAUUCUUUCAAGUACAAACUAAUGUCAUUCAAGUCCUUAACUUAAUUGCUCAGUUAAAAAUAUUAACAACAUUGAGGACAUUUUAGUAAAACCACAAUUGAGUCGUUUCUCAUUCUUUAUUUUUGACAGGUGGAAAUAGUUUAAAGUUAACUCAAUUAACCUGAUUAAGUUAAGGAUCAGUUCUUUCAAAAGAACAAAAAAAAGACCUACAGAAACUGCCAUAUUCUUCGUGUGAGAGGAGAGAUCGAGAGAACGUGGGAUGGUGCAAAAAAUGUUGUAUAAAUCUACUGUGAUUUUGACCAAAGCUUUGGUAGCAUUGAUUGAGUUCAAGUACUGGAGAGAACCUGAGUUUAAAGGUUAGUAACUCUAUUUUUUUAGUGAUUUCCGCAAGCAUUUUCUGAUAAAAAAAUUUUCCAUAUUGAGUGAUCGUUGUGAAAAAUUAAGUUUUUCAAGUCUAUUUUUGAAAAUGACAAACUAUGUUUAAUUAUUGGUGGAUUCUUUUUUUGUUCAAUAUUGUAUUUUGUUAAUUUGUUGUUUUUAAUUUGCUCUUUAUGUAAUUGUUAGACCAAAUACACCAUUAUUAUACUUGUAUUCAUUUCAACAAUUUGGUAUCAUUAUAUUAAUAAGAUUGAAUUCAUUGUAUUUGCUUCUUUGUUCAUGUAAAAUUGAAUUCUAUGUAUUCUUAUGAGUGAUAAUUUUUCUAUCUAUUAGACUAAAUUCACUAUAUUCACUACUUUCUUUCUUUUUGCUGGGCUAUUUUUUCUUUUUAGUUUAUAUUUUUUAUAUGUAUUAGAUUGAAUUUGCUUUUGUAUGUUUUUUUCGCCAAAUUGCAUGUAUAUUUCAUUUAGGUUGAGUUUUUUUUGUUGUUUGCUAAAUAAAAGUAUAUUGGUUUAUCCUUUUUUGAGGCAAUACUUUUGUUUAAAAUUAAUACAGGUAGCCAUGUUACCUUUUUUUCGGUUAAAAUUAAUGGGGUGAUGUAUGCGAUAGGAUAUAGGGAACCAGAGGAAUAUAAGAUUAUUAGGCUGUUUCUUGAAAUUCAAGAUGUCAUGGUUAAGCAUGGACACAUUGAAAUGGAUUUGAUUGAAAUUUUUGUUGUAUUGCCAUGGACUACAAGUAGGCAGAGGAAGCUAAUUUCAAACGAUAGUGAAUUGUAUUGGGUUUUCGAGGAGUUUUUUUUAUCAAUAGUUGUCCUGUCAUUGAGUUUGAGGUGCACACUGGGUCAGGUGGUCAGUCAUUUCAUGAAAGUGUUGUAAUAGGACCUGAAAAUCCUGUCAAUAUUAAAAAUUAGCGUUGUAAUAGUGAUAAGUUUGAAAAUCCUGUGGCUAAAAAGGGUUUGCCUAGAAUAAUUGGUUCUUCUUUAUUUGCCUCAAAGUCCAACACUAUGAAAUCCACUAGGAAAAAGAAUUUUAUCCACUUUAACCAGCACGUCUUCAAUCUUACCUUCAGGAUAAGCAUGAGAUCUAGCAGCACAUUGCAAUGUCACUGUGGCUGGUCUGACUUCUCCAACUCCCAAUUGCUUGAAUUCUAAUAAUGUCAUAAGAUUGAUGCUUGGUCCCAAAUAGGGAUGACAAUUGUACCCGCAAACCCCGCCAAACCCACCUGCCAAAACCCGCCCGUUGCGGGUAAUUUUACCCAUUGCGGGCGGGUUUUAGUAUUAUAAAUUAAACCCGCGCAUGGAUGUGGGGUGGGUUUUGGUAUUAACCUUAUAAUCCGGUGGAUACCCGCAUGGAUAUCCACCAAACCCGCAAUAUUUUUUUUCAAAUAUUUUUAAUUUAAUUUAAAUAUAAAAAUGUAUAAAGAAAAUAAUGUCAUUAAUCAAAUUACCAAAUAGACAAAGGCUCAAAGUUGUGUAUGUGUGUAUGUGGCCCAUCUCUUAUUCUAAAGUCAUAACCUAAAGAAAACUAAAGGCAUUUCCCUUCGAAUUAGUAUUUGAAAAAUAUUAAUCUUAAUUAUUAUUAUAGGCAUUGUGUUGGAUGGGUGCUUAUGGUGGUGAAAUGAAAUGAAUAUCUUCUCUUGGAUCUUGUUUUAAAAUGAUAAUAUGAAAUGUAAUUAUUAUUUUUAGAUACUAGUUUGUGUUUUUAAAAUGGAUUUGUGUAAUUUAUACUUAAAUUUGAGAAUUUGUAUUGAAUUGAUGUGGAAAUUUUAAUUUUUCAUUGACAUUGUUUAAAUAUAAAAUUGAGUAUGCUAUUUGGAAUUUGAGGUUAUUAUUAUAAAUUUAUAUAUUAAAUAUUUGUGAUUUUAAAUACGAAAACCCGCAAAAAUCUGCCGGAUACUAUUGCGGGUUGGUAAUUAUUAAAACCCGCUGCGGGUGGGUUUUAAAAAAAAAUUAAAACCCGCGGCGGGUUGCGGGUGGGUUUGGUAAUUUAAAUUUUGUGCGGGUUUGGGUUUGAUAAUGGCAAAUCCGCUGCGGGCGGUGCCCAUUGCCAUCCCUAGUCCCAAAUCACAAAGUGUCUUGCCACUGUAUUUAGUUCCUAUGGAACAACGAAUUGUGAAACUUCCUGGAUCAUUCAACUUCUGAGGCAUUUUACUCUGAAGCAUAUGGCUGAAUUCUUGUGUUAGACCAACUAUUUCAAAUUCUCCGAGCCUCAUUUUCCUUGCCAAUAUACAUUUCCAAAACUUUACAUAAUUUGGCAUUUGUUCUAAUGCUUCCACAAAAGGAAUGUUGAUAUGCAGUUAUUUCAAUACUUCCAAGAAUUUACUGAACUGCUUGUCUUGCUUUCGCUUUUGAAAUCUUCGUGGGAAGGAUGGUGAUGUGUAAAUUGUUGUACUGCAGCAGACUAUACAUAUUGCUUUUCUCUUGCUCUAUUAUGGUAUGUUAUUGUUGGUGCUGCAGCUUCUUCCUCAACAAGCACUGAAUCAUGUUUUUUUUGCAGUUGCUAUAACUUAGCAACUCUCACCAGUGUGCUGGAAAAUGGGUUGUUGUGUCUCUUCUUUAAUUUGAGUUUCCCCUUGGGUUGAAUUAGGUUCCACUCUUCUUUUUAGUACUUUAACAAGUAUAUGAACAUCCUUUCCAGACCUUAAGUUAAUCCCCUUACAAUGCUCUUUUCCUUCUCUUUCGAUCCUCUGUAUUGUUUAGUAAAUUGUCCUAAGGUAUGUUGCUCAAUGUUGUAGCAAGCUGUCCAAUCUUAUUCUCCAAGUUUCUUAAAAAUACAGCUUGGCUUUAGACCACUACUUCAAUCUUCACAAUAUACUCCUUAAUCAGAGUUUCAAUGGAACUAAAUUGAUCAUUACUGGUGUUUCUUUACCCUUAAAAUUUCUGGUGAAAAUCAGGUGGCUGAGCAAGUCAGUUCUGUCCACUGGAUGCUGCAGCAUGCUGAUUCUGAUUGCUCCUUUUAAAAUUUGGGUGAUGUCUCCAUCCUAGGUUAUAGGUGUUUGAAAAUGGAUUGCUUUGAUUUUGUUUAUUAAAAUUGCCCACAUAAUUGACGGAAGCUGAAUUCCUAGGACAAUUAUCAUAUAGAUGUCCCUCUCCAUAAUAAACACAAGAGACUUCAGCAAUUUGGUUAACUGUUGUUGGAGCAGUGGCCGUUGCUUUUACCAUAUUUUGUCAAUGAGGUUACUUGGGCUGAUAAUGUUGUCAGUGCAUCCACAUUGUGUACUCCUGCUGCUCCUCUCACUAUGGCUUGUCUAGUUGAUGGCCAUUGAUAGUUAUCCUUUCUAAAAUUUCAUAAGCCUCAUUAUAUGAGUUAGACAAUAAAGCCCCUAGUUAUUGAGUUCAACCCAUUGUAGAAAGUUUCCAAUUGUAUGCAAUAAGGAAUACCAUGAUGAGGGCAUCUCCUGAGUAACUCCUUGAAUCUUUCUCAUGCAUCAUACAAGCUUUCAUCUUCAAGUUGAUGGAAAGAUGUGAUCUCAUUCUUCAACUUUGCAUUCUUUGUUGGUGGGAAAUAUUUCAUCAAAAUUUUGUCAGCCAAAUAAUUUCAUGUGGUGAUGGAGUCUGGUUGUAAAGAACUCCACUGUACCAACUAAAAUUGAUUUCACAAAACACAAUAAGCACCAAUCCCUGGCAACGGCGCAAAAAACUUGUUGUCGAUUUUCUAAUGCUAUUAGUGUCAAUGUGAAAAUGUACACAACAAGUAAUAUAACGAUAAGUAUUCACUCCACAAGGAUUAUUAUUAGGAAUUGCUACAGUAAUUCUAUCAGUGCCAUUCUUAUUAUAAAUUAGAAUUUAAACAAAUUAUUCAACUAANAGAAAAUCUAGAUUUUAGUAAGGAAUAUCAAGUUAUUUAUACAAUGAAAAUUGUUAAAACUCGAUUAAUUGCAAGGAAACACUUUUAGAGAGAUAUGGAGAGAAUAAACUUUGAAGAUAACAAUGAAAUACAUGACACAUUUAAGGAAGAAAAUAUAAUAGUAUUAAUAGAAUCUAUUUUAACCGGUCUUAAGAUAAUUCAAGAUUGAUGCAAAAUAAAUAACAGGACUCUAAACCGUCCAUAAUAAGUCUAUUGAUUAAUAAUAACAAUAAUAGUGAUGUGAAAUUUUUAUUCAGAAUGCUCAAUUUAGAUUAUAAUAUCUAUGUGAAAGCAUUGAUGGCAUGUACCUUGGUUAGGAAAAUAGAUUGGACACAUGGAUAUAUAUGUUGGAAGAACAAAUCUAGUUUAUAUCUCAAGAGAGAUAAUAAAUUAUAAAUGACGGUGCUAUAGUAUAUUCAGAUUUUAUAAAUCUUAUAAAUUUAAUAAUCAUUUAGAUCUUCAUAAUAUUAUAAUAAAACUUUAAAAAACUUUAAAAAUAUAUGUAGAAGAGAUGGAAGAAGAAAUCAUCCAAUUAUUCAAAAUCAAUUAAACAAAAAUAGAAGGUAAAAUCCUUGAAUUAUAUAAAUUAUACAAUUUCACAGAAAUUUGCAUAUAUUGCGAAACGGUCCUUGUGGCACUAAUUAUGGGACUAGUGUAGCAUAAAUACUAAUAUUGCUUUUUAUUUUGUAAAUUAAUUGUUGCGUCAUAAUUUUUUUACAUACACAUUUUAUGUUUUAAAUAUGAUUUUUUUUUUGUAUUUAGGGUUAAUUUACAAUUUCAUACUUUGUUCAAUUAUAUGUACAGGUCCUUCACGUGUUGGUUGAUGUUGAAUAUUCAAAGAUCCACAAGCUAUCAACGACAACGAAUCAAAUUAAACUAAUUAGUUAAUACAUAAUGACUGGGUUGUUUCCUAUGUUGUUAAUGAUGUAUAACGUUAUUUUAGGAUUUUAGAAUUUUAAUUUUUAGGUCUUCUGAUAUUUUCUUUUUUAAUUAAAUUAGUGUCUUAGUUUUUUAUUUAUUUAUGUUAUAAUUAUAAUUUACUUUCUCUUUUUAAGUUAACUUAGGAAAAUAUAUUUACUGUAUUAUAAAUAAAGAGAUCUUGUUAUUACUUUAUAACUUCAACUUCAGUUAUUCAAUUAAAACCCCUCUUUUAUAAUUUCCUUUUGUAUUAUCUAUUUAAAACCCUCUUUUUAAAGUUGUUUGAUUAGAGCAUCAUCUAGCCUUGCUUAACGCAGUAUAAAAAAUCCCUUUGAGUUUAAUCACACGUCGAUUAGAGCGUAACUUAAUCGCAUUGACUUGGUCCAUGACUUGAACGAUAUCUAGUGUUUUGCUUCCGCUAUGCCCAAGGAGAAAAUUAAUUUCACCGUGAGAUAAGAGCAUUAAAAGGAAUUCAUAAGAAAUUUAAAUUAAAGCUAUAUAUGUUAAAUAUAUCGCUAGCUACUUGUUUUUGGAGGAAUUAAAACAAUUAAUAAGCUGCGAAGUGAAAAUGAAUAAAUAAAUGAAAUGAGGUUGAAAAUAAGUCUCGCCGCCUGGAUCCAAGGCCAAAACAUUCAUGAUAAGUUAGGUAAUUAAGUACAUGUUUUCAAGCUCUUCAUGAAGAAUAACGUUAUUGAAAUAAAUCACAAAGACUCCCUGCGCAAAUUAUUACAUUGAUUAAAAAAAAAAGCCAUAUCUUUAACAGGAUCGUGACUCUCGGACUGUUAAUUACUUUAUUCCCUGCUUGGCCAACAGCUGGCCACUAAACAAAAUCAUAAAAAUUUUAAAUUUAGUCAAAUUGGUCCCACUUGAUGACAUCCUUUUCAUACAUAAAAUUGUUAACGUCAAGGUUAAAUAUGAGAAGUUUGGUAGAGAAGGUAAAAAGGAAGUCUAUAUAAGGAGGGGAACGAGCUUUGUUUAUAGCACAAGUGAAACUCCACUUUAUUGAACGAUGGGGUCUCAAAUGGGCUGCCUCUUUGCCACUCUUUUGGUAGUAUCAGUCUCUCUUAGCUACUUGCCGUUAGAAGCCUCCGCAAACAAAUACUACUACACAUCUCCUCCCCCUCCCAAGUACAAGUCUCCACCACCACCCCGCCACCGGUUCACAAUUCUCCACCACCACCCCCGGUUUACCUGCCCCCGCCACCUCCUCCACCAGUCUACGUGCCUGCUCCGGCACCAACUCCAAUUUUCCCUUCUCCGCCACCUCCUGUCCCCAAGUCCCCACCACCACCUCACCCUUACGUCUAUGCAUCUCCCCCUCCUCCUUACUACUACUAGAAAGCGGCCAUGAAUAGCUCAUGCUUUUAUGGUAAUCUCAUUUAUUUUUAAAACUGUACAUGUAAAGACUAGUAGUUCAGAAUUACAUUAAGCAUUUCAAUUUUUAAGCACCGUGUUCUGUUUAAUUGCGUUCCUAUUGAUUAAGUGACAAAUAAAAGAGAUUGAUUAAUUUGUUCUUGUAGGAGAGGCGAAUGGUAUCCGAAUAAGAAAGCAAGGGUUUGAUGGAAGGCUUUACUUGGAGCAAGAUAGCGAUCAAUCGAGUUGCUGCGUUUUAUUCUCUUUUAUCUUUGUUUUUUAAGAAAAUAAACUGCCACACGUAGAAACAGAAAAUUAAGUUCUUGUCAUUUUCAUGCAUAUGGAUUGUUGCUGUGUGUGUCAAUCAAAUCUCCGUUGUGUCAUUUGUAAUUUUCAACCUUUAUGCAUGCAAAUGCGAGACCUCUUACGUAUAAUAAAAUUAAUAUACUUCCCAAGAUGGUCUUAUCUUGCGUUGACUUUUUACGUUCCUUUUGUGAUGAUUUUGACGUUUGAAAUUGAUGACUAAUUGACUAUUGUUUUUGUAAACUCUGACAUGGAUUUUUUCGUGCAACUACAGAGCGCAUUAACGAGAGACUUAUCCAUGAGGGUCCAUGCAGAUCAGUGUCUAAUUAACCAAUAAUUAAUAUAACUAAAAAAAUAUAGAGUUAACUUUUUUAUGGGUCAGGCUCAAUUGCAGAUGUUCGUACAAAAUUUCUUGCUAAUGUAUACUUGAGUAUGAUAAUAAGUUUUAAUCAUUAUUAAUAAUUCACUUGAUAAUAUUAAACAAAUUUUCAUAUCAAUUAAGUUACAAAAUUUCUGUGACAAAUUUCCGCGUACUGGAACCAUGCAAAAGGGCUUUAUUCAAACAAAACUGCAUAGCCGUUUGGCAAUUAAAAUUAUUUAUCAAUUAAGUUAAGUAGUAAGAAUUGGAUUGUGGAUUCCAUUAAUUAUUUCAAGGAAAAUUUUAUAGAUAAUGCCGUAAUGAAAUUUACGGCAUCAAUACCAUGAUAAAUAUAAAUAUUGUAAAUUACAAAUAGAAUUAGUAAAUGUAAAGUAAACCAGUAAAUUCAUAAAAGAUUAUUAAUUAUUUAAAAAAUUAACAUUGUUUCUACAUAAUUUUAGUGAAAAAUAUUUUAUUCAUUUACAAAAACAUUUCUUUAAUUAAACAAAAAAAUUCAUUAAUUAAGCAAAAAAAUUAUACUGAAAAAAAAGUGGAAUAAGUUUAAUUGAAUUGGUUAUCAUAAAUUCUAUAUUUAGUCUAGGACAUUUUUAUACAUUUUCUUCCCAUUUUCGAUAAUGAUAUCUAUUUGUUACACAUGUUAAUUAAGUGCAAUUAUUUAUCUUGAUGUGGAUCAAGUAAAAAAAUAUCAUAAAUAAGAUAUCAAUAAAAUUAGAUCUAAUUUUGAAUAUUAUGUAUACUUUAUGUAGUUUCAAACUUUUUACUUGUAUUUGGAGACCAUUUAAGGUUGUUGUUGAAGAAGUGUAGAAAGAUGUAAAAUAACUUCAUCUUACAACAACUAUGAAAGAUAUUAAAAUAAUAAUUUUUUCAAAAUCCGAUUUUGAGAAAAAAAUUCAUCCUUAAUUAAACAUCACAUGUAUUAUAGAAAUGCAAAACUACCAUUGUUAUAUUUAACUUAAAAAAUAAAAAUAUAUAAGGUAAUAAACAUUAUAAAGAGUUUUUAUUUUAAAAUUGUAAACUUUUGUUUCUGACAAUAACUCUUAUAUUAAUUUAUUUAUUUUGCCUUUUAUUCAUAAGUUUUAUGCAUAAUUUACAAACUUUAAGUUUUAUUUUGCAUUUUAUGUUGAUUUGGUUUUUUUAUAUUAUACGUACAAGUUUUUUUUUAUUUACCAGUAAUACAUCAAUUUAUCAGCUUGAUAGUAAUUUACUUAUUUUACCUUCCUUUUACAAUUCUUAUGUUUCAUUUCCAAAAUUUAUGUUUUAUUUUACAGUUGUUGAUGAUUUACUAGUUUUAUGUUAUGUUUGCAAGUUUUUGUUUUGUUUACUAGUAAUAGAUUAAUGGGUAAUUUUUAAUUGAGUCCUCAUUAGUUCUAGAAAAACAAUUCAGAGACCAGAAGUUUACUAAAUGAAUCAAUUAAAUUCUUUCAAGUACAAACUAAUGUCAUUCAAGUCCUUAACUUAAUUGGUCAGUUAAAAAUAUUAACAACGUUGAGGACAUUUUAGUAAAACAACAAUUGAGUCGUUUCUCAUUCUUUAUUUUUGACAGGUGGAAAUAGUUUAAAGUAAACUCACUUAACCUGAUUAAGUUAAGGAUCAGUUCUUUCAAAUGAAAAAAAAAAAAAAAACCUACAGAAACUGCCAUAUUCUUCGUGUGGGAGGAGAGAUCGAGAGAACGUGGGAUGGUGCAAAAAAUGUUGUAUAAAUCUACUGUGAUUUUGACCAAAGCUUUGGUAGCAUUGAUUGAGUUCAAGUACUGGAGAGAACCUGAGUUUAAAGGUUAGUAACUCUAUUUUUUUAGUGAUUUCUGCAAGCAUUUUCUGAUAAAAAAUUUUCCGUAUUGAGUGAUCGUUGUGAAAAAUUAAGUUUUUCAAGUCUAUUUUACAAAAUGACAAACUAUGUUUAAUUAUUGGUGGAUUCUUUUUUUUGUUCAAUGUUGUAUUUUGUUAAUUUGUUGUUUUUAAUUUGCUCUUAAUGUAAUUGUUAGACCAAAUACACCAUUAUUAUACCUGUAUUCAUUUCAACAAUUUGGUAUCGUUAUAUUAAUAAGAUUGAAUUCAUUGUAUUUGCUUCUUUGUUCAUGUAAAAUUGAAUUCUAUGUAUUCUUAUGAGUGAUAAUUUUUCUAUCUAUUAGACUAAAUUCACUAUAUUCACUACUUUCUUUCUUUUUGCUGGGCUAUUUUUUCUUUUUAGUUAUAUUUUUUAUAUGUAUUAGAUUGAAUUUGCUUUUGUACGUUUUUUUAGCCGAAUUACAUGUAUAUUUCAUUUAGGUUGAGUUUUUUUUGUUGUUUGCUAAAUAAAAUUAUAUUGGUUUAUCCCUUUUUUAUGCAAUACUUUUUGUUUAAAAUUAAUACAGUUAGCCAUGUUACCUUUUUUUUCGGUUAAAAUUAAUGGGGUGAUGUAGGCGAUAGGAUAUAGGGAACCAGAGGAAUAUAAGAUUAUUAGGCUGUUUCUUGAAAUUCAAGAUGUCAUGGUUAAGCAUGGACACAGUGAAAUGGAUUUGAUUGAAAUUUUUGUUGUAUUGCCAUGGACUACAAGUGGCCAGAGGAAGCUAAUUUCAAACGAUAGUGAAUUGUAUUGGGUUUUCGAGGAGUUUUUUUUAAUCAAUAGUUGUCCUGUCAUUGAGUUUGAGGUGCACACUGGGUCAGGUGGUCAGUCAUUUCAUGAAAGUGUUGUAAUAGGACCUGAAAAUCCUGUCAAUAUUAAAAAUUAGUGUUGUAAUAGUGAUAAGUUUGAAAAUGUUGUGGCUAAAAAGGUCUGCCUAGAAUAAUUGGUACUUCUUUAUUUGCCUCAAAGUCCAACACUAUGAAAUCCACAAGGAAAAAGAAUUUAUCCACUUUAACCAGCACGUCUUCAAUCUUGCCUUCAGGAUAAGCAUGAGAUCUGGCAGCACAUUGCAAUGUCACUGUGGUUGGUUUGACUUCUCCAACUCCCAAUUGCUUGAAUUCUGAUAAUGUCAUAAGAUUGAUGCUUGCUCCCAAACCACAAAGUGUCUUGCCACUGUAUUUAGUUCCUAUGGAACAAUGAAUUGUGAAACUUCCUGGAUCCUUCAACUUCUGAGGCAUUUUACUCUGAAGCAUAUGGCUGCAUUCUUGUGUUAGACCAACUAUUUCAAAUUCUCCGAGCCUCAUUUUCCUUGCCAAUAUACAUUUCCAAAACUUUACAUAAUUUGGCAUUUGUUCUAAUGCUUCCACAAAAGAAAUGUUGAUAUGCAGUUCUUUCCAUACUUCCAAGAAUUUACUGAACUGCAUGUCUUGCUUUCGCUUUUGAAAUCUUGUGGGAAGGGUGGUGGAAUGUGUAAAUUGUUGUACUGCAGCAGACUAUACAUAUUGCUUUUCUCUUGCUCUAUUAUGGUAUGUUAUUAUUGGUGUUGCAGCUUCUUCUCAACAAGCAUUGAAUCAUGUUUUUUGCAGUUGCUAUAACUUAGCAACUUCUCACCAGUGUGCUGGAAAAUGGGUUGUUGUGUCUCUUCUUUAAUUUGAGUUUCCCCUUGGUUGAAUUAGGUUCCACUCUUCUUUUGGUACUUUAACAAGUAUAUGAACAUCCUUUCCAAACCUUAAGUUAAUCCCUUACAAUGCUCUUUUCCUUCUCUCUUUCGAUCCUCUGUAUUGUUUAGUAAAUUGUCCUGAGGUAUGUUGCUCAAUUUUGUAGCAAGCUGUCCAAUCUUAUUCUCCAAGUUUCUUAAAAAUACAGCUUGGCUUUAGGACCACUACUCCAAUCUUUACAAUAUACUCCUUAAUCAGAGUUUCAAUGGAACUAAAUUGAUCAUUACUGGUGUUUCUUUACCCUUCAAAUUUCUGUUGAAAUCAGGUGGCUGAGCAGUCUGUUCUGUCCACUGGAUGCUGCAGCAUGCUGAUUCUGAUUGCUCCUUUUUAAAAUUUGGGUGAUGUCUCCAUCCUAGGUUAUAGGUGUUUUGAAAAUGGAUUGCUUUGAUUUUGUUUAUUAAAUUGCCCACAUAAUUGACGGAAGCUGAAUUCCUAGGACAAUUAUGAUAUAGAUGUCCCUCUCCAUAAUAAACACAGAGACUUCAGCAAUUUGGUUAACUGUUGCCGGAGCAGUGGCCGUUGCUUUUACCAUAUUUUGUCAAUGAGGUUACUUGGGCUGAUAAUGUUGUCAGUGCAUCCACAUUUGUGUACUCCUGCUGCUCCUCUCACUGUGGCUUGUCUAGUUGAUGGCCAUUGAUAGUUAUCCUUUUCUAAAAUUUCAUAAGCCUCAUUAUAUGAGUUAGACAAUAAAGCCCCUAGUUAUUGAGUUCAACCCAUUGUAGAAAGUUUCCAAUUGUAUGCAAUAAGGGAAUACCAUGAUGAGGGCAUCUCCUGAGUAACCCUUGAAUCUUUUCUCAUGCAUCAUACAAGCUUUCAUCUUCAAGUUGAUGGAAAGAUGUGAUCUCAUUCUUCAACUUUGCAUUCUUUGUUGGUGGGAAAUAUUUCAUCAAAAGUUUGUCAGCCAAAUAAUUCCAUGUGGUGAUGGAGUCUGGUUGCAAAGAACUCCACUGUACCAACUAAAAUUGAUUUUCACAAAACACAAUAAGCACCAAUCCCCGGCAACGGCGCAAAAAACUUGUUGUCGAUUUUCUAAUGCUAUUAGUGUCAAUGUGAAAAUGUACACAACAAGUAAUAUAACGAUAGUAUUCACUCCACAAGGAUUAUUAUUAUAGGAAUUGCUACAGUAAUUCUAUCAGUGCCAUUCUUAUUAUAAAUUAGAAUUUAAACAAUUAUUCAACUAAUGAACUAAGGCAGAUCUUAUUGGGCUAGUCGGCAAUGUGUUGCUUUAGGUCGUGUGGAAUAGUUGCGGGAGUGAUCUUGCAUGAUGUGUGGAGCUAUAACAGUGCUGAGCAUGGGCCAAUCUAUGGGCUCAUGGAACUAGCGAACCUAAUCUAGAAUUUCGAGGAAGAGUACUCUGGUUAGUACUCUAAAUUACCUUAUUAUAUUUUGCACAAACAGAGGCAUGUUAGUGAAAUAAUAUCUAAGCAACCCAAGAGGGGGGUGAAUUGGGUUUCUAAAAUUAUGCAAUUCUUAACAAAACUUAAUGCAAAUCUUAAACGAAUUUAAAGCAAUAAUACAUAAAUCAACAAGGUAUAAAAAGAUAAGGGAAGAGAGAUUAAAACACAGAGAGUUUUACGUGGUUCGGCCAACCUUGCCUACAUCCACACCCCAAGCACACCGAGCUUGGGCAUUCCACUAGUCAAGCCUUCAAGGCUUCAAGAACACUUACAAUUGACUUCUUAGGUGUCAAUCAACCUUUACAUCUAGAGAUUAUCCCCAAUCUCUUAACCCAAGUGUAUCCCAAUAUUUACAAUCACUCAAAUAAAGAUUACAAUUUAUUUUUCUCUCACACAAUUUUUUAAGAUUACAAAUCAACGCUUAAUGUGUGAAUAAAUGAACAAGAAUGAAUUUGAAGCUCAAUGAAUGUUGUAUUCUCGAUUAUAAGCUCAAUGAUAACGUUGUGAUAAGCUCUUGUUUGAAUUUGAUUGAUCUUAUUUAUAGUUGGAGUUGAAAAAUAGCCAUUGUUGACUUUUUCCCGAAAUUGGAUCGCCGUUAACCGUUAUCGGUUAACCGUUUUGACUGGUCAAGUGACCGUUGAGCUGAAUUUCAAAAUAAACGGUUGAUCUUUUGACACUAUCGGUUUGCUGUUAAUUUCCAUAAACCUGUAAAACAAAUUUAUGCUAUUCGUUCUUGCUAAACGGUUGAAGGUCAGCAUGGAAUGACAUUCUAGAAAUUAUUGGUUGGCCGUUUGAAGUUCACGGUUCACCGUUUACUUCUAGAAUCACAGUUUUAACCAAAUUUCGCAGGGAAUGCUUUUUCGGUUAAAGUUAACGAUUAUCCAUAUUUCAUGAACACAUUUAGAAAAAUCAUACGACUUUUGAGAAAUUGUUUAGUAAUGAAAACUCUAACAUUUUAAUCAAAUACAUUUAAAGUUUGUUAUCAUCAAAAUCAAUAUAAUGAACAUCUACAUGUUAACAGUUAGGCCUUGAUUAUUUUUUAAAUCUUAUAAGAUAUAGAGUGAUAAUAGUAACUCAAUUUUCAUAAAACGUGGAAAGAUCAGUCGCCAAAUUUAUAGAUGCCAUAGAAAACCUAGAUUUAGUAAGGAAUAUCAAGUUAUUUAUACAAUGAAAUUGUUAAAACUCGAUUAAUUGCAAGGAAACACUUUUAGAGAGAUAUGGAGAGAAUAAACUUUGAAGAUAACAAUGAAAUACAUGACACAUUUAAGGAAGAAAAUAUAAUAGUAUUAAUAGAAUCUAUUUUAACCGGUCUUAAGAUAAUUCAGAUUGAUGCAAAAUAAAUAACAGGACUCUAAACCGUCCAUAAUAAGUCUAUUGAUUAAUAAUAACAAUAAUAGUGAUGUGAAAUUUUUAUUCAGAAUGCUCAAUUUAGAUUAUAAUAUCUAUGUGAAAGCAUUGAUGGCAUGUACCUUGGUUAGGAAAAUAGAUUGGACACAUGGAUAUAUAUGUUGGAAGAACAAAUCUAGUUUAUAUCUCAAGAGAGAUAAUAAAUUAUAAAUGACGGUGCUAUAGUAUAUUCAGAUUUUAUAAAUCUUUAUAAAUUUAAUAAUCAUUUAGAUCUUCAUAAUAUUAUAAUAAAACUUUAAAAAACUUUAAAAAUAUAUGUAGAAGAGAUGGAAGAAGAAAUCAUCCAAUUAUUCAAAAUCAAUUAAACAAAAAUAGAAGGUAAAAUCCUUGAAUUAUAUAAAUUAUACAAUUUCACAGAAAUUUUGCAUAUAUUGCGAAACGGUCCUUGUGGCACUAAUUAUGGGACUAGUGUAGCAUAAAUACUAAUAUUGCUUUUUAUUUUGUAAAUUAAUUGUUGCGUCAUAAUUUUUUUACAUACACAUUUUAUGUUUUAAAAUAUGAUUUUUUUUUUGUAUUUAGGGUUAAUUUUACAAUUUCAUACUUUGUUCAAUUAUAUGUACAGGUCCUUCACGUGUUGGUUGAUGUUGAAUAUUCAAAGAUCCACAAGCUAUCAACGACAACGAAUCAAAUUAAACUAAUUAGUUAAUACAUAAUGACUGGGUUGUUUCCUAUGUUGUUAAUGAUGUAGAACGUUAUUUUAGGAUUUUAGAAUUUUAAUUUUUAGGUCUUCUGAUAUUUUCUUUUUUAAUUAAAGUUAGUGUCUUAGUUUUUUAUUUAUUUAUGUUAUAAUUAUAAUUUACUUUCUCUUUUUAAGUUAACUUAGGAAAAUAUAUUUACUGUAUUAUAAAUAAAGAGAUCUUGUUAUUACUUUAUAACUUCAACUUCAGUUAUUCAAUUAAAAACCCCUCUUUUAUAAUUUCCUUUUGUAUUAUCUAUUAAAAACCCCUCUUUUAAGUUGUUUGAUUAGAGCAUCAUCUAGCCUUGCUUAACGCAGUAUAAAAAAUCCCUUUGAGUUUAAUCACACGUCGAUUAGAGCGUAACUUAAUCGCAUUGACUUGGUCCAUGACUUGAACGAUAUCUAGUGUUUUGCUUCCGCUAUGCCCAAGGAGAAAAUUAAUUUCACCGUGAGAUAAGAGCAUUAAAAGGAAUUCAUAAGAAAUUUAAAUUAAAGCUAUAUAUGUUAAAUAUAUCGCUAGCUACUUGUUUUUGGAGGAAUUAAAACAAUUAAUAAGCUGCGAAGUGAAAAUGAAUAAAUAAAUGAAAUGAGGUUGAAAAUAAGUCUCGCCGCCUGGAUCCAAGGCCAAAACAUUCAUGAUAAGUUAGGUAAUUAAGUACAUGUUUUCAAGCUCUUCAUGAAGAAUAACGUUAUUGAAAUAAAUCACAAAGACUCCCUGCGCAAAUUAUUACAUUGAUUAAAAAAAAAAGCCAUAUCUUUAACAGGAUCGUGACUCUCGGACUGUUAAUUACUUUAUUCCCUGCUUGGCCAACAGCUGGCCACUAAACAAAAUCAUAAAAAUUUUAAAUUUAGUCAAAUUGGUCCCACUUGAUGACAUCCUUUUCAUACAUAAAAUUGUUAACGUCAAGGUUAAAUAUGAGAAGUUUGGUAGAGAAGGUAAAAAGGAAGUCUAUAUAAGGAGGGGAACGAGCUUUGUUUUAUAGCACAAGUGAAACUCCACUUUAUUGAACGAUGGGGUCUCAAAUGGGCUGCCUCUUUGCCACUCUUUUGGUAGUAUCAGUCUCUCUUAGCUACUUGCCGUUAGAAGCCUCCGCAAACAAAUACUACUACACAUCUCCUCCCCCUCCCAAGUACAAGUCUCCACCACCACCCCCGCCACCGGUUCACAAUUCUCCACCACCACCCCCGGUUUACCUGCCCCCGCCACCUCCUCCACCAGUCUACGUGCCUGCUCCGGCACCAACUCCAAUUUUCCCUUCUCCGCCACCUCCUGUCCCCAAGUCCCCACCACCACCUCACCCUUACGUCUAUGCAUCUCCCCCUCCUCCUUACUACUACUAGAAAGCGGCCAUGAAUAGCUCAUGCUUUUAUGGUAAUCUCAUUUAUUUUUAAAACUGUACAUGUAAAGACUAGUAGUUCAGAAUUACAUUAAGCAUUUCAAUUUUAAGCACCGUGUUCUGUUUAAUUGCGUUCCUAUUGAUUAAGUGACAAAUAAAAGAGAUUGAUUAAUUUGUUCUUGUAGGAGAGGCGAAUGGUAUCCGAAUAAAGAAAGCAAGGGUUUGAUGGAAGGCUUACUUGGAGCAAGAUAGCGAUCAAUCGAGUUGCUGCGUUUUAUUCUCUUUUAUCUUUGUUUUUUAAGAAAAAUAAACUGCCACACGUAGAAACAGAAAAUUAAGUUCUUGUCAUUUUCAUGCAUAUGGAUUGUUGCUGUGUGUGUCAAUCAAAUCUCCGUUGUGUCAUUUGUAAUUUUCAACCUUUAUGCAUGCAAAUGCGAGACCUCUUACGUAUAAUAAAAUUAAUAUACUUCCCAAGAUGGUCUUAUCUUGCGUUGACUUUUUACGUUCCUUUGGUGAUGAUUUUGACGUUUGAAAUUGAUGACUA